UCUUGAACUCCUAAUAAGUAAACUCUCUCUUUCCUCUUUCACUCCGAGGCAUCUCUAUUUACUGCUUUCGAGGGUAGACAGGGGAAUUUGCCAGCAGGUAUUCUUUAUUUCUUAUGAAUUCAAUGAAUGGAGUUCCACUCGCUUAAGGCUAGGCCCAUAACGUUCAAUUCAGAAUUCUUGCCAUAGUAGAGGUCGGUGCAGACUUAUAUAGGUUGGUGCAGACUUAGAUGGAGAUGAGGCUUCUAUAUAAGAUUCAAGAGUAUAUGCCCUACUGGACAAGCUGACAAGGAACUACUGGAGCAAUAAACCCUGUCUCUACUCCGAUAACUAUACUAGCUCAUAUGUAAAUCAGGUCUUCAAGCCACCAAGCAACUACUACAAACUAGACUUCCACUUAGGCUCUGUGAACUCAGGCUCAUCCACAGGGGAGUCAACAACUACUGUUAUUGCUCUGGACUACUCUCCUCAAGCUACUACUACUACUACUAGAAGUCACAACUACUGAUGAAACGGGACUACUACUAGUUUCAGGGUGAAAAACCCAUUCUUUAGCUGUCAACUCCCUUUCCUUACUUAACUGUCACUGAUAGAGACUAUAAGCCAACUAGCACUUGCACUGAUAGAGACUAUAAGCCAACUAGCACUUGCACUGAUAGAGACUCUAAGCCAACUCAUUCCCUUAUGGCUUCGAAGCCCGCACUUUCUUCUUCCUCGGACACCAAUAACUUAAGGGAAGGGCAAAGGACUCCUCAAGGUCAGAAAGAUGUAGAAUGAUGUUUACUUUACACAGUGGGAAUCCCCAUAGAUGAGCCAAGACACAAGGCAAGUCACUCUACUAACGACCGCCAAGGCACGACUAAUGACCCAGCAACUAGGCAAGGUCUAGAACACAACUUGGCCAAGACACGACUAAUGUGUAGCGUCAGUGAAUAGUUAUUUGAGAGUUAUGUACGAGUCCAGUUUUCAUUGUCUAGUAGUUUCUUGUCUGGUUAUAUAAUAUGUUGUUUUUCAUGUUGUUUUUCUCUUAGCGCCCUUACUCGACUUUCAGAUACGCUUGCAGAUGACCUUACUUUAGUUAACUCCCUGAUUUCUGUCCCGCUGACUUCAGACGGAACCUCAUAUUCCUCUAUGAUUCAAUAAUAACAACCUACUACAUAGAAGAUACAUUAAAUAAGUGUGUGACGCCCUUGACACUUGACCGACACUGUUGAUGUUGAGAAUUGUGUCUUAACUGUAAAAGAUAUAGGAUGAAACUCUAACUGCUUCUUUAUAAUAAGAUGAAACUUAUUGUUUUGUCCCGCCUUACCCUUCCUUUAAGUAAUCACUUAUUGUUCCUUUGAAACUGUCCGGAUAAUGCAUUGACGCCUAAGAACAUAGAAAAAAGACCUCCUGCUCGGCUCUUGGCUUGAGUCAGUCCACGGCAGCUACAGGGGUAAGUGGUGCAAGAGAGAUUCAAAGAGAACAACGCUUUGAGAGAGAUUCAAAGAGUGCGCAAUCAAGAUAUCUGAAAACACCUUUGAAAUGGAAUGAAAGGUUGACCUUCUUCACUGGCCCAACAAACUAGCCCUUCCAUACUGUUCCCCUACUAGAUUAUUGCAAGUAUAAAGUGAACCCUUCCAUACUGCUAUCCUACUAGAUUAUUGCAAGUAUAAAGUGAAGUUGAAAGAAAGGAAGCAAAGGAAGCAAAGCUGGUGGGAGUGCUCUUUAAAGUAGGUAGCUCGCUGGUAGGAGUGCGCCGCCCACUAAGUACUUUUGUAUAUAGUUCCAUAAGAGAAAGAAGCGCUUGUGCUAACGCUAAUGGGAGUUUCGGGACGCUAACGCUUAUUGUCUCCGGAUGGGGUGGCAUUGUUUGGAGUGAACAAGUCACUACUUCAGUCGGUAAAGUCGAAGAGAAAGAAGAGGUUAAGGCAGCAAGAUCCAAUCUUUCUUAUGGACUCCCCCGUAGGUCUGGUCGGUCUUCUUAACUAUAAUGGCAAGAUUCGCUGCUCCUCUAGAAUCCGUAUUCUUAUUCUUAUUAAAUCUGUCGGUCUCAAUUCCCGUCUUUCAAUCUUUACUGCUUGGUUAGCUAUUAUAGAGUUUGGUAAUGAAACGGAUUGCCUUAACUCUCAAGUAGGAAUUCAAGAAUGCACUUAAGUAGUUAGAGAAUGAAAGUAAGCAUAGUGGGAGUCAAAGACAGACUCAAAACAAUUAGAUAAAGUAGGUAGGGUUGUUCUCCCUAGUGGGUGUGCUAGAUAAGUACCUGUAUUCUUCAUUCCUUGAUUCAUUCCUUCCAUUAGUCUUGAUUCAUUCCUUCCAUUAGUGGUAUAGUUCUUCCUAUUCGUAUUUGAUUUCUUUAUCACUGCCUAGUUGGUAACUCCUUAUUCUUAGUUUCCAGUAUAAGUGCUUCUUACUAGAUUCAUUCUUUUGAGUGGCUUGGCUCUUACUUUCAACUAGCACUCCCGGCUCAUCUCAUCUCUUUUCACUCCGGCUUCUAUCUAUACCUCUGGCUAGGUAAGUGAACUAGACUUAACGAGUUCAGAUCCUUUGCCCACAACCAGACUGAAACUUAUAUGCUCAACUCAGUUAGUGCUUCUGCCUCGCCUCUUUCUCUUAGGAAUGACGCAACUACCGGAGUAACUGAAUGAAACAAUAAUCUAUCAUUUGAAACUAGGCUCUUAGCACCUUAUAAUUCAUUUGAACCAAACAUCUUAGUGGGUUCGACUUAGGAUUCCACGCCUGUCAUGUAAGAGAGUCUGCCCCGACCCAUAUCAUGAGUUUAGUAAAACUCUGAUCCAACAAGGGGAGCUUCUUGCUUCGGUGUUAUAGGGAUGGAAUUGGGAACUUGGAAUGCAGGAAGGGCUAACAAGAAUCGAUCCCUGGGGGCAUAAAAAAGCACUCGUCAAGCAACUAUACUAGCUAUUAGAAUAGAACUGUGACUAACAAGGCUUCACCUCUCCACUGCAGACUUGCCCCAGCGCUUCUCAUAAGAAAACUACUAAUUGAAGGGGCUAAUCCACUACUCAAAAGUCUAAGAACCAAGCCCUCUCGCCUGGAAUGAAUUGCACUAAUUAAAGAAUUGUCAUUACAGAAUUGCACUCAGUAUUUCCCUUGUAUAUCUUGCUAAAUCCUCUGGUUCUUAUGCUUCCUUACCAGCUCUGGCUACUGCUACUACUGAUUCAUUCUCAUCCCAAGUCCUGUGCUCGGGAACUCACUAAUACACAAGCAAAUAAGCCUUUGAUGUCCCCCACCAAGUCAUAGAGAUAAGAGUGGUAUGUAUCUAUAGGCCAGUUCAUUCUUUAAUGCAUCAACACCUUUCAUAGCUUCCCUUGCCCACCCCUAUCCCAGUAUUGGAAUGAAACAAGGCAGACUACGACCUACACUAACUCCUUAUUUACCACAAUAGCGCAUGUCACUAGUGAUUACCGGGUAGUUACGGACUUAUUCUGAAGUUGACCCUGGCUUUCCCCUACAAGUAUUCUCAGAGCAUUGUCGGUAGGCAAGAUUGGGAAUUUCUUCCAACAAUGGAAGUUUACCCCCCGUAGAGCUCAGUUCUUUGCUUUCCCCUGCCCUGACGCACUUGAGCAAUUGGGCCCUAAUACUACAUUGCUAGCGCAUAUCUCAUAUCUGAAUUCUUCUGAAGCACUAACAGAGCUGCCAAGUAGUCCAUUUGGAGAGUUGAGAUCAGAAAGAGAGAUUCUUGUUUAUAAAGAUCGAAUUUAUAUGUCAUUUCUUAUACUUGGUGUGUACUGAGUGUGUAUAGUGAAAAUCCAAGUGGUUUUCUAGUUUCCGGUGUGCGAGGACAGGACACAGAUCUUUCUUCUGCCGUUGCUAGUUUGCUUGGUUAUGCGCUAGGAGUAGAGUUAGAAGCUUACGGAGUGAAAGCUGAAACAAGUAUUCAGGUAAUUAAUUAUACCACUUAGCAGGCAACUAAUAGGCAAGAAAGAAUAAGGUAUGACCCAUACUCUGCAUAUAAACUAAAGUAAGGCAAUAAGCCAUAAGUAUUAGUAUAAGGCAACUCUGUAAGGCAAUAAAGUGAUACGCUAAAGUAUGUCAGGGAAUUAAGUUACUAGUGAAUGACUUAGCAACAAGGCAAUAAAGGUUUCAAAGAAAUAGUAUAUCCCCUCACUCAGUAAGGAAAGACAGAAUAGUUAGUCUUAGCUACAAGGCAAGAAGGAAUACUAACAAUAUCCUAAGUAACAGACAGAAUUGAACUUAGCUACAUUGCCUCCAAGACUAUUUAAUUAGCAACAAGGCAAUCAGGGAAUAAAUGAUGACUGAACUCCUUUGCUACUAAUAAGCAUCUAGUUAAUCACUUAGCUCCAAGGCAUAGCUCAGUAGCAAUUAGUAUAUAACUCCUUAGCUACAUUGCUUCCAAAGUUCGAAUUCCACCCCUUAUUAGAAUCCGUAAAAGAAGAAGAAUCAAACUCAUAAGUAGGCGAGUAAGAGACAACCUCCGAAGUCGGAAUGAAAGAAUGAAAAGGGCUGUUCCAGAAUGCAACUAAGAGGUGAGCUAGUGCGGCUAAGCCUGAUGCUACGGAUACUAAGGCUGAAGCUGCUAAGGGAGAGAAUGGAACAGUGCCUGCUAAGUCCGAUGCUAAUGGUAUUGAUGCUAGGUAUUGCUGCUAAGACUUAUGCGGUGUCUACUGAUUCUAGGUAUUACUCUAAGAGGUCCUAUGUUCGUGGUGCUAAUGUCGUUGCGCAAGACAAGACUUAAGUGUGUUAGAGAGUUCAGAGCUCACCGAACAAGUAAGGGCCGAGCUGAAGAAGAGACGAUACUUAAGUAAAAGGAGCUACUGCGAGCGGAACAGAGAACUCAACCAAUUUAUGGCAUUUGAUUGUUUGCACCACUGUAGGGAUAGAAUUAUGUAACCAAACAGCCUCUAUACCUGCCAAAUAGCUGACUCGCAACUCGGGGUGUCGAUAUGAGUGAUUAAAGCUAUGCUAUGGUUGGUAACUCCACUUCUUGUCCUGCAGGAGCUCCUUCCCCUUGUCGUUUCGAGUUCCGUUAUUGGCUUGACGACGUCUAUGAGAGAGGUUAAGUUCUUGGCUUGAUCAGUGUAAUCGUAUAUUAAGUAAUUAAGGGUCAGAAUAGAAUCAGAGGCGACGGGGUAUCAACAGGGUUGCGCAAGCAAAGUUAAUGAGUGCUAUCCAUAUAAAUCUCAAAUGGAAUGCUUGUUCGCAAGUCAGCGCUAAAGGAAUCUCAGCAGCCCGCUCAAAGUACUUUACUUCAGUGGAUUCUCUUAAAGCAAGGGUGCAAGACAGUAUAGACAGAGCGAGGCCCCCAGGUAGUAAGAGUUCAAGAAAGGAGUCUAAGCCUAAGAGUCAAAGAGUGAAGUCAAAGGCCUUGAGGGGAUCCAGUUUUCAAUCAAGGAGUAGCAGACUGAUGGAUAGACACAGGAAUGUCAGUAACAAGCCUAUUCGCAGUUUUUGUUUCCCCAGAUUUCGAUUCCGGAGUGGAAGAAUGAGCUAACGGAGUAGUUACUUUUAUCUUGUGCUAAUGAGUUAAAGUCUGAUGCUUACAACUAUGAGUAUUAGAGCGUAGGAGCUCUGUUCGAAACACGGAAUAGGGAAAUAUAGACUUUCAGCAAGGAGAGGAGAUGGGUCUAAAUGGGACUACUACUUGUUGGGGCACUGAUGGUCUGUGUUCCUAGACUUAACGAGCAGAUUUGGUCAUUAUAGAUCUAAUUUCUUUCUUAUUAAGAUAGAAUUCUCGUAGGAAUGUUUUUCACUGUAUCCGUAGAGGGUGAAGAGAAGUAGUUUCUCAUCUUUUUGAUCAUCUGUGUUUCUCGAUUCCGAAGGUGUUAAGCCCACUCACUACUACUAAAAAGGUGUUGGUCAAGAAGGAGCCAAUGGGGUGGAUAACUUACUUGGGGAAUUGGUCAUAUCGGAAUAGGAGAUUUCAUGGGGCGAGCAACUCUUACUUUCAAACGGAAACCCUGAAACUGCAUUCGAGGUAAAAUACAAAGGAAGCAGGUGCAUUCGAGGUCAAAUAGAAAGGAAGCAGGCGCAAGGGAAAGGGAACAACCAUAAAGAAUAGGGUGCAAAAUGCACUAUUUAACCACUUUAGAAGUGUUAUGGCAAAUUACUCAUGUCAUACCCCAAUUGGGGCCUAUAAAUUCAUUAAUUACUAUAAUCUUUCUGGGCUAAUAAAGUCUACAUCGACAACUGAAUCAUAAGUGGAAAGUAUUGUUUCGGGUGUUGGUGCUUACGCUCUAAGUCUGCAAGUGAGGUUUGAUAGACCUAAGUGGUCAAGUGCCGGUGCUUCUGAAAGUAGUAAUCCAAGUUGUAGUGCUUUUGAAUCAGUAUGAGUUUACAGAGGAGAAGUAGAUUAGUUUACCCUUCUUUAAGUAGUGGUGCCUGUUGUCGAGUUAGAGUUGCCCUUAUAUUAAGUCCUGGGUUUCAGUAUUACCUUCCUUGCGUUGAGGCUGUCACUGCUGCUUCUCAUAACUACUAUAGUAAUAGAGAAUCAAAGUAGUAAGUAUCGGAUUGGAAAUAAGGAGUGAACUAACGCUUCUCAGCAUUAAGCUUAUAACAAGGAGGGAUUGUUUUAGGUUCAGUAGUGACAGAAACAGAUAAAUCAGUAGAAGCCUAUGCCCGUGGGGAAAGGAUCAGAAGCCAACUCAAGGGACUUCAACUCUCAAGUAAUAAUUCCAUAAAGAAUGCAGAACCAAACGGGUAAGUCAAAUGUUGAUCUAAGCCCGAUAUGUACUUGUGUUGAUCUAAGUCCGAUCCGAUAUGUACUUGUUGGUCUAAUCACGUGACACGCAUUAAAGGAAUGCGAGGGACAACUACAAGAGUGGAAGAGCCAAAGGUCAAAUACAUAAUUGGAGAUAGGAAUUUGCCAGAUAUAGUUUUGUAUUUAAUAGAAACAUAGGGUGUAAUUAGGGAAUCAGAGCCAGAGGUAUUGUUGGCGACAGAAAGAGAUAAGGUAGGUUUCAGAUCAGAAUAAGAUAAAGCGGAGUAUGUGUUUGGGAGCAAGGGAAGGCGUGCUAACUAUAUCUAUGAAAACAGAAUUUCAGGCAUAUGGGUGGAAGGCUCACUUCUCUGUUUCACUCCGCUUCGAUCAGGACUGCGAUAAGGUAGUGUUCGACUAACCUCUGAUGGGGUCAAGCAAGGCUUCAACGAAGGAAUGGAGAUCCAGAUAGUCUAAUAAGAUAAAGGAAUAUCCGUUUGAUAACUAUGUUUGUCGUUUUUAGGGCCCAUCUUUUGGGGCGAUAUUGAAGAAUCCGAGGUUAACAUAGGAUAUGAGAUCAGGAGAGACAGACAAAAACCAGAGCUAGGGAGUUUUGAGAUCAAGAGCGGUGGACUCGAGCUAACAAGUAAGGCUUGGGCUGUAUUAUCAUAUAGGUAAGUUUGUAGAGUUCGGAGUUUGUUUACUAUACUCUAAUUAGUGACUAACCUGUAACAUUCCAUUCUUAAAGCAACUGGUAGAUCAGGAGAAGCGAUGGAAUUAAUAUACUUUCGUUUUCGCCUUGUUAGCACUGGUGGUAUUCUAUGCCAUGAGCUAAAGCCUUAGUUUAGAGUUGCAUUCCUUAGGAUGAGUUUGAUUACUUAUGCCGGUGUUUUAGCCUGUUUUCUUUGUUAGAUGACGUUACUGCUAAAUUGAAUCCUGUGUUUCUUGGUUCUUAGAAGCUCUAUUCUUAUUGGACUCUUUCUUUUAGCGAUCGUGAACUCGUUCGUAGUUCGGUCGUGCACCAACUAAUUAUGAUUUCUCUAUUGAAUCAUGAAAUGUACUUAUUGAGUUAUGGUAUAGUAACACUUAUUAGUGAUUCAUUAGCAAAAUAAGGUAAUAAAGGGGUUAAUAUCGCAAUGCGUAACACAUACUAUUCUAAACACUCUUUUUGGUUCACUACCAAUUCUUUUGACUACUGUACUGAGUUCGAUUCUCGUACUAGAAGAGCUAGCCCCUUUCUUGUUAGCAGAGGAAUCUGAUCUGGAUGUUAGUAAGUCGGAUUUCUAUUUCUCUGGGGAAAAGGCAGAGUUUGCUACGUACUAACGAGAAUGAAAAACAGUAGAGUAUGGGCGCCCGGGAAGCCAGGUUCAUGCCUUGCGUCUGUAUUUAAAGAAUUCAAAGUAAGGCUGUUUGCUAGUGGCUCUAUUCUGUAUUUGGUAGUCCAAUCGGGUAGGUGAGAAAUCUUUGUUCUCAGUGGCAACACUGCCGCACGCAAAGACAACGGGGAUAAUAACUUAUAUUAAAUACAUGACCCUUCCCCUGCAAUUCCGUGUUCUUCUCUUUCGUCCUUGCUCCUAGUAUACGAGUUCUGACUUUCCAUUAUUAGGCUUAUAGCUUGAAUACUUUAUAAGUCAACUUCUUUUCUAUCUCUUGAAAACAGGUUUCCUCUUCUAUUAUUUGCUUUGAUCCUAACUGCCCGUCUUGCUUGACUUUAUCUAAGAAUAGGCUACCCCAGUCUAAUACCUUUCAUUAGAACAAAGAAUGUACUAAAUAAAGAAUGGACUAGUGCACAACGAGACUUACACUCAGAAAGUGGGCUUCCCCUACCUUAUAGCAUUAUGAAACUCACUGCUUUUAGUCUGCCAAGUCACUACAAACGACUAUCAGAUGCAACUUGCUACUAUAAGAGAAUGGAUCUACUGCUUCUAAGCUUAAGGCUCGGAACUCCCUGUAGUAGUAUGCUUAUUCGCUUAGAAAGGUCUCCUUGUUCACUUAGCCAGGUAUCCUCGUUAGAGCAUUUGUGGAAUUAUUACUUCUUUUAUUACUCUUAUACUGAUGACUGGGCUGCUCCUUCACUAGAUGCACUGGAUCGAUCAUACCAUACCCUAUAGAGGCUAUUGACUCCAACUUCCCAUACGUAUUCUAUCGGCUCUAACUUUACAUACCUAUUCUACUGGCUCUACUUUGAAUAAUGAUGUUGACCGAGCACCGCGCAAGAGCUAUCAUCAAAAGAGAAAAGAAAUAGACCCUUUGGGACCAAAAGGACAAUAGUGAUUCUAAUUCCAUUGAUAGCUAUGGUGCCAAUGUUAGGUAAACAGAACUCUGUAUUUGUUUACUAUCUAAUGUAUCCUGACUUUCCUGUUUCCUUCUUCAAUAACUUAUUCCGUGUUGGGUCUUAAUAAACUUCAUUCUGUGUUGGGAGUUGUUCUCUCAGCUAGGUGUUCUUUGAUGCAAGGCAAGGUAGAGUCAAUCAAUAGGGUGGGUUUUUCAGAGUAAAGUCAGUAAGUGGGUCUUUCAAGUCCACUUAUUUUCUUUGGGUAAGUAAGGGAAUAGUCCUUGGGUAAGUAAAUAGUCCUUGGGUAAGUAAGGGAAUAGCUUAGCUUGGUGUUACGCGGAGAAUAGAAAAGUAGAUGAAAGAUAUAGUAUUGAUAUUACAAAUCAGGUAGGCAGUUAAUCCUAUUCGCCUAGGAAAUGCAUAGGUUAUAUUACAUUUUGCUUAUACAAAUCAGAAUUCAAGACAGAAGUAAGAGAAUGGAAAGUGAGCAUCUAGUCUAGUGGAGCCCCGAGUAAGCAAGAAUUCACUGCAGGAAUGAUACCACCAAGCCUGGAUACUAAUGCUAACAGAGCGCUACAAGACUGAGUAGGUGUCCUGGGGUCUGCUCGUUUACUGAGUUACUGAUAGAGGUUUUCUAUUCUCAAUUCAGAAUGACAUUGUUGAUGUGCAAAAUAAGAAUGACAUUGUAGUAGUACUACCAGUGUGUUUAGCAUAGAAGGUUAGAGAGGGUAAAUAAAGAACUCAAUCAAUAAGUAACAGAACUCAACCCAGCGGCACAAGAAGAAGUAGGCGUAUAACAGCAAUCGACAGGUAACUAUGCCUAGGGGGGUUAAGCUGAGAACUUACAUUACUGCUCAAAAGCCUUAAUUCGUGGGGGCGCAGAUGAUCUUGUAACCACUGAUUCUCUGGUGACUAUUGGUUAACGCCUAUAACUCUCUAUCAGAUGUAUGGGUUCGGGUCCCUAGCCGGGCCGGAGGGAGUCAUUCGUUGAGAUCGAUUCUGCAAGUGUAGUUCGAGGUCUGUUAUGAAAGUCUAGUUCUUGCCCCAACUGGUAGUAUAUUAGUCUAAAGGUCGGGUCGGGUAGUUUAGGAAUUCAUAUGGGCUUGGUUCAAGAAGUCUUGCCUUAGAUGCACUGGUUGGGGUCUGUAACUACCUAUAAUAAGUCAAUUCUGAGUGGUACCGAUUUGAGUCUGAGCGGUAUGGGUUGCAUUCUUAGUAGCAGUAGUUGAAGCCUGUUUCUCAGUGCACUGAUUCUGGUCGGUAGUGGUUGAGGUCUGCCUAUACUCCUGGGUGAAAGCCUUCCUUGUGUGCUUUAGUAUUAUAGUAGCUUAGCCUCAUUCCACGGUCCCGUGUUUUAGUCUGCCCCCAAAAGCGAACUCGAAAGCUGACACUACCUAUUUCCAUUCUUAUAUGCGAGUGUUUGUAUCCCAUUAACAAUAAGAGUCUUUAGUUGUGACUUUUGAGUUGAAGUCAGCCUUUCCUUUAGCUUAUUCUUUUAUGGCUUAUACUGUUAUCUUAUUCUUUCAGUGUUAUACUGUUAUCUUAUGAAUCUAUUGCUUAUAUUUUUGUGCUGUGGUGUGCGCAUGAUGAUAAUUUCUCUGAUUGACGCAUAAGCCCUAAGGGGGCAAUCCAGAAUGAAAGAAGCAAGUAUCAGACCAAGCCCUACUCUAUGCCAUGCCCCAGCAGAACAAGCAUUAUUACCCGCAUACACUUGAAAACCAUACUUAAUAUAUAAUAAUUGGCUCAAGGUAAAGUUCAGAGAAUAAUUGUCAUUAAUAGAAUCAUAGUAAUUGGUUCCAAAGCGAAAUAAGAUAAUGAGUACGCCCGGAGUCCUAUAGCUCCAUUCUUGCUUGUCCACCCCGACAUUCUCCUUUUUGUUCUGAACCGACUUAACCCAUUAACGGAAUUGAUUAUGCUCCUUAUCUAGCUUAAACACUUGAUUGACCUGAUUGAGAGUCGACAACAAACACGGAUUUCUUUCGAACAGACAAUUCAGCAUCUUAUUCUGUUGAAACGGAUUCUUCCCUCUAUGAUUCGUACUCCAAAUAAUCACCUCUCUAGCAAACAGUAUAGCUUGAAGAUAAGUAAAGGCAAAGGUCUAAUGUUAUUAAUAAGAAAUUCACUAUAACAGCAUUUCGGGGUAUAUGAGUAGGGAUUUCCUCUAUUCUAAGUAAUUCGUUGCAUAUCGAGAUUCAUAUGCUUCUUCUGGAUUUAGUAGUAGAUCUCUGGGCUUGCAGUCAAGUCCGGCAAUGGUCUUUUUUCUACUAGCAUUCCGGGAGGGAAAUAAGACAGAAAGUCUAAAUGUAGAGAACUGCGUCAUCACGGCAGCGAAGGCGGAAGGUGAUUGAGCUCGCGUAUAGAAUGCUUUAUGUAAACUAAAACCCUUACUUUGAGCUAACGACUGAACAUAUAAGUAAUAAAAUAAUAGUAGUGUUUGGAAUAUUGUAUAAAUAUAGAGUCAACAACCCCUCCCUCCUAUUCGUUUUUCCAAAAGAUGUUCUAUAGUGGAGGUACAAGUCACAUUAAUUUGUUGACCGACAAGAAUCAAAGGGCAGGCAAAGGCACCAAUCAAGAAAUGAGAGAGUAUUUGUCGCACCGUUGAGUCCAAUUCCGAAGCGGAGCUAGUCCACUCCUUGAGAAUAAAGUGUAUAAGGCGAUUUGGGCUCAAGAUUUGAUGCAUGCAUAGUUUGGUUGGAUAAAGCGGAAAAGACUAGCCGAACUCUUAGAUGGGAUAUAACCCUAUUAACUGAUGUGUAGAAAUAUGUAAAGCUUUUAUGUCCUUUCCCUGGGGAGCCCGAGCCCUGGUUCCGUUCGCCCAGUUCUUCUUUCAUCAUAUACAGAAGCCGAAUCCGAAUCUAGCUCGAAGAGAAUGCCCACUCGGGGCGAGGAACAAGCACCAAAAGAGACUACCGCUAUCAUAUACCGCGCAGGAGAAGAACAGCCAUCAACAAAGUCAAGGCAAAUAGUUUAGUGUGUUAAUAAGUUCCUCUGGCCGACCACUACUCUGGAAAGGCAGGAAACCCAGAUUGAGAGUACUAAUACCUAUGCCCAUGUUCAAGGACUAAGGGCGAACCUCCGUUUCAAAUGCUAAUACAGAGCUUCUUUAUCGCUCACUUUAGCCUGCCUCUGAUUCAUUCUUAAAGCGCAGUGAGGAACUACAUUUUCUGAAUAAAUAUGAAGUCCGCCAUUGGAAGAAGCACUUCUUUGUCUUGCCCGAACUCUCCUUGCCUUGAAGAACCGUUUGCAUCAGCCUCAGAUGGAAAUGUUGUUUCUGUUUGAAAUGAAAAUGGAGUGGCUUUACCCUUUGCUUGAUUGGCUUUCCCUUUGUUGUCUAUGAGUGCUGUUAUUUCUUGGCUUGACCUUGUAGUGGUGCCAGUUCUAGUGAUUUUGUUGUCGACUCGAAUUGCCUGAUAGUUUGUGCUUCUGAUGCGCGGUGCAGAAGUUCAAUAUGGAUUUCCUUUCAGAUUACUGGUCUGCUACAUGUGAUUGUAAUGAUUGUUUGUAGGAAAACCUUAGCCUUAUUGUUACUUCUGAGAAUCCAAGUAAAGGGGAAUUUGUGACUUCGCCAAGCUACGACUAACGGACAAAGAUAGGGGGUUAAUAAGUGAAAGCAACUACUUGCUAUGUGUUUGUGAGCCAGAGGAGAGCCCUGUUAGAAUAACUAAGUAAUCAAGAAGAACCAGAGGUAUAGUGGCAAUAGGUAUAGUAGCCUUAGUGAGAUUAGAUGCUCUAGUAUUGACUGGCAAGAAGAGAGUGGAAGACCACUUAGUACAACUACUUAUCCCAUAUUAUUCUAAGUAUAUAUACCUCGGAGUUUCAGACCGAUCCUAAGUAUUAGUAGGAAUACGGGCACUGCUAAUUCUAGAUACCCUAACUUCAUUCUUACUUGCGGAAUGAGGCUCAUCUCAUCUAAUAUUGGCUUUCCCAAGUAGUGGAGAGAGAGGUUCCAGAGUUAUUACAAGUCCUGUAUUAAGGGUUGGCAAGAAGAUAGUAGUCCUUUUCUUGUUCUUGUCCCUAGUUUGACUGCUCCGGUUCUUGUGAGCAACUGUAGGAGUGAGUUCAGAUAGUAGCUAAGUAGGAGUGAGUGAUUCCUCAAGUGUUGUUCGAGAGCCCUAUUUACUAUAUAGUAAUAGUUAACACCAAGUCCUGUGUUGGGGGGUAGGUCAGGGAACCCGUUUUCUCUUUAUUUGUAGCCUUAGUUGGUAUCGGGUAUCAUUACGGGUAUCAUUAGAAUAGAAUAGAAUAUAUGUGGGUGCCGCUAUGUGUUAACUAAAUUAAGAUAGGGGCAUAUGUGUUAACUAAAUCAAGAUAGGGGCAUAAAGUGCACUAAAACAUAGCUUUUUGAGUUUGAUAGGAAAUCUAUCAUGUCAUACCCCCAUUGGAGCCUAGAAAUGCAUUUAUUACUAUAAGAUUAAGGGUUCCCUUGGGGCAGUUUCAUCCCCAGUGCCAGGUCCUGUGACAAAGUAUGGUGAGCAGAGGUGGGCAAGAAGAUCUUUGCUAUGUUUUUUCCCAGGAUGCUUUGCCGGGUAUUUAGAUAGAAGCCGGGAGCUCAGGUGUUGAUGACGAAGCGGGUAAUUAACAAUGAAAUUACUCAGUGGUUGCCUGGUGUUUGGGCUUGUUAAAAGAAGUAUGAGUUUACAGAGUUAUAGGAGUAGUGAGAUUAGAGUAGAGGUGGGUUCAAGAGUCGAGGUAGUCAAGCUAGUCCAGAGUGGAGGGAGAUGAGAAAGCAGCUCAGUAGUCAAUAUCAGAAUGAACCACAAGUCCUGUGUUCGGCUAGUGCAUUCUAAGAAUAUAUUAGCAGUAAUAGAAUAAGACAAGUCAGUAUUAGAAUGGAACAAGUAAGUGCGGGUACGAUCUACCGACCUAGUAUACGCUUGGCGGGAGCUGACUUAAGCGGAUGCGUUAGUGACCGGCUUAUGAACGAGGUCUCAAUUCUAUUGCUAUCUAGAUGAAAUUCAAGGAACGCGCUAACACUUCUUAGAUAGAGGUGAUUGAUUGGCUGUACCUUAGCUGUCAUAGAGAUAAUCCACAGUUGGAGAACCAGCUGUUAAUCGAUUGGCCUUAGUUGUCAUAGAAAUAAUCCGCAGUUAGAGAACCUUCUUUUUAGUACCUAAAGUCACUCUUUGCCAGUAACCACUCCGGCUACUUGUCGUUAGUAUAAGACUCCGGCGACUAUCUUUGUAUGUAUAAGUCAGUGGAAGAAUUGGGUACGAUCCAGACAGGUACCUGAGUUAGGAGUUAUAUGAAAUACAGGCACCGGAGUUCCCGACCUCGACCUAGAGCGUAAGCACCAACACUCGCCCACAAAGAGAUUCCCACUACCCUAAACAUAAAGUAAGCCUUAGAAAUACCAGAGGAUAGGUAGGAAAGGGAAGCAGUUAGAAUAGAAAUAGGUAAUCGAAUUGCUUCUAUAGUUAGAGCAGAGCCAGUAGUAAGUGGGUCCGCCCCUGUUCUUGUGUGAGUUUAAGACCGGUUAGUAGAUCCCUUAUUCUGAGUAUCUGAUUUGUAUAUCCCUUAUUAGUAGUAGUAGAUAGGUCGGGUGUUUGACUUGAAGUGGCCAGUUGCAUCUGUAUUUGUAGAAAGAGGAGAGGUAUAGUAGCCGAACACUAGCGGCAGGAUCGGAUCGGGAGUUGGCUUAGAGAUAGGGCUGGAGUUGGGAUCAUAAGUAGGUAAAGAAUAGCUAGGGAGCUUAAUCUCCUUUCGAAUGCCUACGAGGUGUUGGGAAGAAAGAUUCUAUUACUUGCUUUGAUGCGAGGUCAAGUACUUACUGGCUUUGAUACCGAAGCUUGAGAAGGAUCUGAUCUACCCACUAUCUUGUCACCAAGAAACAAGGAGAAAACUCAUUUUCGGGAGCUCAACCAACAAGCCCAGCUAACUCAAUUUAGAAUUGUUGAACUGAAGCUCGCACCCCUUCUAUGGAUCCUCUGCCUUUAAUACCUGGCUAAUGAGUCUGUCUCUCCGCAAUAAGGGCCAAGCUGACUUUAGCAUCGGAAGGAGAGUCGACCAGAUCAGAUGUUGUGCUAAAGUAAUCCCCCGAGUUGACAGUUUAAGCGGAAGAAGAAGCUGUGUUCAAGUAAGAUACGUAAGCUACCGGGCGAAAGUCUGCUACCAGUGCUACUACUACUAGAGUGAAGUCAACUCCAUUCUUCUACUUACUAUAUGAUAAAAGACAAAGAAAGCAUAUCAGUGAAAAGCUUCUUUCUGUGCGAGUGGAAUCGAGUGUUGAAUAAAGAUCUUCAGCGGGUAGUGGAGAAUUACCUGUUCCUGCUCGGGAUUAACCCUUCUUGAUUUCUUUCUUUCACUUAUGCUAGUCUCUUUGAACUAGUAAAUUCAAUCUUCUAAUAAGAACAGAUAGAUACAAACAGAGUCGUGUCUUGGUCACUUCUUUUGUUGGAUGGCAAAUCUCAUUAAAAACAUCUUGGGGGGCGGGGGCGAUGAGAAAGAAUGCUUUUUGACUAACAUCUUGAUGGUUUAGGGCUCCCUACCUGCUUGCCCGUAGAUGAAAACAGCAUGGUUCCUCUUCUUUCCUGUUCUUGCUGUUCUAGUUGAAUACCGAGUGGAAUGUGGUUUAGUAGGGAAUGCUCUUUACUUUAGGGUAGUUUAGUAGGGAAUGCUCUUUACUUUAGGUUUGCUACCUGCUUCUAUAAGACCUAGGCAUGGCGUGGAGGGGCACUUCUCAUUAUGCUUUUUCUGGACUUGGAUCAAUAGUAAUAGGUGGAUCUGAUCUGCUUUAACAGCUUGGAUCUGGAUCUGUGUAAUCUGUGCUUGUUGGCGAUUCUCUAAUUUCAUUCUCACUUUCCUACUGCAUGUAUAGAUUGCGGGGUUGCUGUAGGAUAAGAUACCCACUUUCUAUAGGUUCAAACAAACUGAAACUAUUCAACUGCAUUCUUAGAUUCGGGAUUCUAUAACUCCUGACGCCGAACACCUGGAGUUCUUUUGCCAUUACUUGUUGGAAGCAAUGCUGUGAGUUUGUUACUGAUUCUCUCUCGUUGGUAACACUCAGGAGAUUGCUGCUGACCUCUGACUUGCUUCUUGGGCCGAGUUAACAAGGAUAAUUCCAUCUCUCUUCUUUCGAGCGCAGAGUAGACAAAGAAUUCUUAUAUUUCUAUUGAAACUCCUGGGAUUAAGGUAUUGUAGCCAGUAGCUCGAGGUAUCAGAUAAGAAAGAAAUUAGCAGAGAUGAGCCAUAGGUAUUUCUAUAAGAAAUCAAGAUGGUUGCCAUAGGUGUAAUUGCCAUAACUGUCUUUGUUGCCAGAGGUGGAGGAUAACAAGAAGAGAGGAGAUGGAGGCAAGAACAGACCAGAUAGAAGUUGAGGAAGUCCUGUGUUCGGCUGCUAAGGCAUAGAAUGAAGCUAAGACAUAUCAGAAUUAGACCGGUACCACCGAAAAUGUAGCUAGCAGAUGUAAGACUGAAGCUGCGUAGGCUCAGGCUGAACCUAAGGAGUCCAAGAACCAAACACCGCAUUCCAAGGCUUAUGCUAUUGCUGGUAGGUAUGCUCGGAAUGCAGCUAAGACUUAAAGCAAGGGUAGCUAGACUGAUUCUAUUGCUAGUAAGACUGAUGCCGGUGCUGGGCAGAAUACAACCACUAAAUCCAAGAAUGGAGCUAUUGGGUAGAAGCCUAAGCCCCCGGGGCACGUAUACAGAAUUGGCCUAAGCAGUCAAAGGCUGAAACAAGUAAAUCCAAGAAUGACGCUAAGUAGGCUCAGAAUCAAACCACCGAUACAAGGAAUGGAAAGGCGACGAGAGACAGAUAGAAUUGAACUACUAAGUCUCAGAACCAAACCCAAGAGUGCAAGCCUGAUGCUGGUGCUUCCAACACUUAUGCUCUAAACUCACUCCUUCGCUACUGCUUUUCAUUAUGAGAUUACUUAUUAAGUUCUCUUAUAUUAUAUUGAUUAGCAUGUUAUUAGGGGGGCACAAAAGGACAAUUGCUUUUCUUUUUGUGUAGCAAAGUUGUGGUUUUUCUAUUCUCAUUGAAUUUGAUAUGGUAGUGCGGGUGCUCAGUAAACAUAAUUCUUCGAAGUAGAGUCAAUGAAUGACCUAACCGGUAUGUCCACCUCUACUGUUUCUUAGUAAGGAUCUCCUCUUGACUUAUUGAACCUACCUUUCCCUGUACCAAAUCAGAUAUCCCCGCCUUUGAGCCCCCUAUGGGGAUGAUCCGGUCUUUCCAACCCGUUAUUAGAACUGUUCCCUGCAUUCCGUAGUCCUUUUUUCAUCCUGACAUCCCUUGCUUGAAAGCUGUAGCUCACCUAUGAACCACCAAACACCUCACUUUAGGAUCAAACUAGGGCAUAUGAGACUGUAGCCGCUUACUUCAAUACUUGAUCUUUGAGUAAUGAAUUCAAUUAGCAAAAGCAAGGGCUGCAAAGCUGCUGGCUCAUUAAGCACUAAAGUCAUUCUUGUUAGUAGUGGUAUCGGUCUAAUAGACUAGUUAGUAGUUGCCCUUGUCCCGUUGCUUGUCGGGUUGGUUACCGGAAUCCUAUAAUAUUAGGUGGCUCAUUAUUCUGUUUCUUCUCUUUCAACUGAUCAAUAGGAAUAUGCUUACCCGACCCCAACAACUUGAAUUGCUGCUUCCUUAUUUCCAUGGGAUUAAAGUCAACCUGGAAUUUCUUUUAGUCAUUCUCAUUGAAAUUACUUAGUAUCUCCAUCAGUCCAGUGCAACCAUUAAAUAAGUCUGGGCCAGCCAGGUUGAAGCUACCCUAUCUCUAUAUUCUUAUUCGAACUCACGUGAGCACACCACGUUAGCACACCUCGCAACAAUAAUGAUUCUGUUUAUUCUGUUGCUUGCUUCCUUUCCUAACAAAACUCCUGACUUACUACUUUAACGAGUAGGCGCACCCCUCACAUAAGCGCAUUAGGUCCUUGUUCCCCGAGAAUAAGCGUAAGCGCACAACUCUAAAGAAAGAAUGGGAAUGGAAUAUAGCUAUACACAUAUUGUAUUGAGAUGGGGUAUAAAUGACUCUGAGAUAGGAGAACUCUGAGAUAGGAGAACUCUGAGAUAGGAGAACUCUGAGAUAGGAGAACUAUGAGAUAGGGUAACUCCGAGAUAGGGUAAAUGACUUUCCAGGACAACCAACCUCGGGUCGACCGCUGCAAGGGAAAGAAAAACACUAUUAAGUAGAAGGUAAAGCACGCAAAGGGGAAAGCUAACUCAAAACCUGUCUCUGACCCGGCUUCUAUUGUAAAUGAAUGACACUCUUGAAAUUCACUCCUGCCGCUAGUCAAUUGAAGGUUGGAAUGAAACUACCUCUAUCCCUUAACUAAACAAAUGGGUUCUCCUCCUUCCACUUUCCCACUACUUGAAGGGGCAAGAACUAGACUUGAAUAACAGACCUUGAACUAGACUAGCACUACUCCUUUAAGAAUUGAGUUAAGGAAACUACAGGGGAGAGGAAAGACAGAAAGAAAGUGAGGAUGUAAGACAGUUGCUCUACCCCAGACAGGGUAUCUAUUUCCUAUCUCUUACCGGACAGGCGAACACAGCACUUGUUUCUUGCACCGAGUCAAACAGCAAAGGAAUGCUUCUUUUGAACUGGUUGUUGCUAAGGUCGAAAACAGGUUCACAAUUGCUCCUCCUCUGACUCCCGUUAGUGCUUCCUUGCAAGUCAUAACUGCUUCCAAAGCUUCUGAUCUUGAAACAGCUUCAAUUCAAUCUACUGGCUCCCACCCCAGCCUUGACAUGCCAAAUCUUAUAUCCGUGGCUCUAAGCCUUGCUUACGCCCCCUAUCUAGUAGAGCGAAUUCGCAUAUUUAUAAAAAAGAGGAGUGACACUGCUGCUAACAAGGCUAUAGCUAGUGUAAACAAUACAAGUUUUCAUAAGUAGGGAUCCGUUUCAGUAGCAAUAGAUUUCUCUCUGGCAUUUCAACUCAUUACCAUAAGAAUCAUUAAUAUACUAAGGACUAUAAUGACACGGAGCUUCCCGAGCCUACCCUUGCAUACUUGCUUUCUGUACAGCUGAUCCGGAUCUUAGAUUGAGCAUAACUCUCCCGCUUCCAAACCUUUCUCUUGACCUCACUCCUGCUGUUCGAGUCUUAUAGUGGCCUAUUUCAUUGUGUAUCUGGAGUGUACUCCGGCCUUAGGCUUAAGGUGUUAAAGUAAAGGCUUGAAAUGCAUUAAAGCCCGAUUAGGAGUAUGCAAAGGCGUACACGCAGCAACACCAAAUAAGUGAUGUUCUCAUUCUCAUCAGUAGUAGUUAGUGGAAUACCCCUAGUUUCAUCCUAGUCUACAAGAGAAUCAGCAUCCUUAGAAUCAGAAGAAGCAGCUCGAGUGAAGUCGGCUAGUAUAGUCUCUUUUGCCGCCCGCUUUUGCUCCGAGUAGAGUUGCUUUCUGUUUGAGUGGAAUUGUAUUAAGAAGCCGAAUGCAAGUCAGUUGCAAGCGAAAAGUAAACCAGAGUUCAAGCAGAAGAUAGAAAGUAUAGUUCGACAAGAGAAGAACCAAGGUAAGGAGAAGAGGUCAGAGAAGUGAGAGAAGAAUCAAGAUCAUAAGUCGGGAGUUGGGAGUUAGGACGAGUUAUUAUGGAGUCUUGUUUGGGGGAUCUGCAAGCGGGAAAGAAAGUGAAGAGUAUGGUUGUUUGACUUUAAGCCGAGAAUCCGCAGUGCCAGUGAAAUCUAGGUUCGGUGCUAGUUUCAUCCUUUAGAGGAGAGUAAGGGCUCGAGGCUGUAAACCCAUAUUUCGAAUUCACAGAACUCACAAACCUAGUAUAAGAAUUCCACAACUUUCCUUGAAGCCGACACCACUGAGUCUGGGCCUAGACUACAUUUCUUCCCCUAACAGCUAGCCAGUACUUUCUUCUUCCCCAGAUCAAGUUUCUUACCUUAGAGUGGAAUUCCCACUUUCAAACUUCCAACUAGCCAAGUAGACAAGCCCGACAAGCUACUCUCAAUCUGGUGUUACAAAAGAAGCAAGCUACCAAAGGGUUUCCACGGCAUUCAGUAAAUUCUUAAGAAACUUCCUGGUGUGCUCUCCUCAGGUACUAUCCUCUGACUAUAGUAGUCUAUUUGAGUCACAGUAAAAUAAGAAUUCCUAACUUCAUUCGGUAUACCUCGACUCUUGCUCUUUGACUAUCUGAUUGCCCAGGCUGCUUAUAGGAGUUAUGAAAGUGCCCUGUGUCCCUAGUAGUAGAAUAGUGUAAUCCCCUGUUCCUUUUCUUGGUUAAUACCGGCCAAGUAACUACUAAUGUGUAGCGGCAGUUCCAUAGUACUGUUCUGUAUCGAAGUUGCUGUAAGUAAACACCAUUCUUUAGUAGGAACAGGCGAGGAAGCAAGGCAUCUUCACCAAAACCAGAGGUGGAGGGAGCCGGAGCAGAAUUAAGGUAUGGUUCGACAAGGAAAGCUGUUAGAGCCGAGCCAGUAGUUGUGGAGUUGAAUAUGAGCGGAGUGAUUGUGCUUGUUAAGUAUAGUAGUCCAGGUAGUCCCGGAGCUAAGGAUUCUGUUUCCUCAAUGGGCACUGCUUCUCUUGACUAAGAAUUGAACUAGUAGUAAGUAGUUAAGUAUUGCCUGUCGGCUUGGCCUAAGUAAGUAGUUUAUUGCCUGUCGGCUUGGCCGUUGCUUGGCGGUCAUUAUACUAAGCUUGUCCAGGACUAAGUUGUCCAUUUGUCGACUAGAAAGGCAAGUUGAAGUUUCAUCCGUUCACUAGUAGGAGUAGCGUAAGGGAAGGUCAGAAUAGAUUAAAGGAAAGGAAGACAUAAGUGGCUGAUUCAUUCUCCUUAGCAACAGCACCAGGACUUGUGAAACUAACUCUUACGUAAGCUGAAGACAGGACUCGGUAAUAACCUUUGGACUUGUCUUUUCCCUAUGCCUCUGUCUCUUAUACGUAUAUCUCUGGCUCAUAUAGUAAGUACUGGUAUGGCUCAUAUUGUAAGUACAGGUACUCUAUAGCUGUUAUGAAAGCUGGAUCAUAAGUAGGAGCGGGUAAAGGCUUUGUUGCGAGGCGAGUAAGCUAAGCUAUAAGUACGGAAGUCAAGAAUGGCUAUCAAACCCGGUAGUACUGGCUUCAUUCUGUUACUUAGUAGUUCCCGAACACAGGACUUGGUUUAUUACUGGCAAUGAAGUUAGCAGAGAAGAGUAAGAGGCGAGGGAAUCUUUUGUUGAAAUUGAAUUCUGCACUUCAAUACCAGAUUAGAGGNNNNNNNNNNNNNNNNNNNNNNNNNNNNNNNNNNNNNNNNNNNNNNNNNNNNNNNNNNNNNNNNNNNNNNNNNNNNNNNNNNNNNNNNNNNNNNNNNNNNNNNNNNNNNNNNNNNNNNNNNNNNNNNNNNNNNNNNNNNNNNNNNNNNNNNNNNNNNNNNNNNNNNNNNNNNNNNNNNNNNNNNNNNNNNNNNNNNNNNNNNNNNNNNNNNNNNNNNNNNNNNNNNNNNNNNNNNNNNNNNNNNGAAGGUUUCCAUAUCCUUUGUUGGCUUGGCCCACUCCUAUAUUAUAGAUUAUCUUUAUAUAGGUGAACGGAUGAAACUAGGGAACACCGGAGUCAGAAUGUAACUAAGGAGUGACAGAAUGAACCGGGUGUGUGAGCUAGUAGGAAGAUCAGAAUGCAGCCAGUGAAUCCAAGGCUUAAAGCAAGGGUAGCGAGACUACACCCAGUACUGCUCGGAAUGCGCCCACUGACAACCAGACUUCGACCGGGUAGACUCAGAAUGGAGCUAGUAGGUGUAAGGCGGAAGCUAGGUAUUACUGGUAUGGUCCUGUUGCAAUGAUCCUGCUGCAUCAGUAGUAGUAGCCCGAGUUUGAUUUUAGUCCAGUCCUGUUAGUGGGGAGGUUCUACCACUUAGUUGCAUUCUCACUUUGGAGUUGAGAGCGCAGGUGCUGUUUUCAUUGAGUUGGUCGUUAGUAAUAGCUUGCCCGGGUGCCGGUAAGAAUCCUUUACUUCUGCAGGGGGCUAAGUGGUCUAGGAUCUAAAGCUUAUUCAUUGCCUGUGAGAGUGGAGUCUAGCGUUAAGUCAUGCCAGGCAGUCCAGUAAGAGACCAACUCAUCAGGUAGAAUUACAGAAUUCCACUCAAAAGUAAGUAUCAGCAUCUAGGGCAAGAAAAGAGUUUACUUACCAGUCCUAUACUCAAGAAUGGAGUUGUUAGUUUACUUACCGGUAUUGCACUAUAGAAUUGAGUUGACUAAGUAGAGGCCAGGCCAGGAGAAUACUGUAAUUAAUGGAGUCAGAGUUGAGGUCGGCAAGGUCAGGGCUAAAUCUUAAUCAUGAGCUAGGUAUUCUAGUUGCCAGCAGGGUUCAAUGACUAGUAGAUGUAUCGGAGUUUAGGUAAGUAUGUAUUCUUUGUCUUAUAUGUAUUCUUAUCAUAUCUUAUAUGUAUUCUUUUCGUAGUUUAGUACCGGUGUAGUAGUGUAUUGAAGAACAUCAGAGUUUCUGACCGCUUCUUAUAAGUAUGUGCUCUUCUCUUUAUAUAGGACGUAAGACCUUGUGCUAACUAGGGUUAGGGCAAGAACGUUCACUGAUGGAAUUGCUUGAAUUGCUAGAGUUUACUUACAUGUAGUAGUCCUUUUGAAUCUGUAUUAGUUGACAUAGGUAUCGAAGCCAGAGAGGAGGAGAGACAGAGUGAAAAGUUCUCCUAUUCUAAUUGAUUCCGUUAAUUGUAUUUACUCUUUUCUAUACUAGGUGCCCCAAAGAAAGAAUGGAAUGGAAAACUGAACUAAUGAGUUUAGGUCUUGGCUUAGAGGACCAAGGAAAACAAAGAAUACUGAAUGAAACGAACAAGUAGGAAAGAGUGACUUCACACUGGUAUCUUCUCUGACUUCUAAUACUUAUACUGGAUCUGAAACUCCUAAUACAUACUUUUGACUAUGAAUGCGCAGGUGCCGGUAUUUCAUUCAACUCAUUACUACUGGGAUCCGAAUGAAGGUAUAAAAGAAAUGGAGUUAUAUGAGCCAGAGAAGAGAGAGGCAAGGGAACCUUCAAGGGAAGCUUUUGAGUCAGAAGGAGAGGCCGAAAACUGUGAAUAGUUGCCGAUAAGAGCAGGGUGAAAAGAGCCAGAGUUAGGGUUUAGGGUCAAGAGAUGAUAGGCUGUGAGAGUGAGAGUUUAAGACCAGUAGUAGUUGUAGUAUACGCAAGAGUAGAGUCGACUUGCCUAGUUUCUUGGCUGUUGCCUAGGAGCCGAAUGAAGUUAGUUACGGUAGCCAGCUGCUGGGAUUGUUUAAAGAAGUUACUAGGGGUCGGGUAGUCAAAAGAGAAACCCAUAGUUGUGACUUGGCUCUAAGCUUGGUGAAUCAAACUAAGGAGUCCAAGAAUGAAAUAAGGUAGUUACAGGCUAUAGCUACAUUUGCCUAGGAAGGGAGCGUGGUCGGUCAGAGUGAACUCCAGUAGUCAAAGAAUGAAUAUAGUUCCCCAUCUGCCGCAUCUAGUACUGAAGUAAAGAAUAGAACUGGUGCUGCUCAGCCUGAUAUUAGUGCAUCUAAGACCGACCCGAGUGACAGAACGAAACAAGCGAGUUACAGGCUUUAACUAGUCCACUGAUUCCCCGGAGAGAGACAGGGAGUCCACCGAUGACCUAGUAGAACUAAGCCUAGGAAUUGAGAGAGGGAGAGGUGAGCGAGUAGUUUACCAAUAAGAGAGGUGAGCUAGUAGUUUACCAAUAAGAGAGGUGAGCUAGUAGUAAAGUGAGAAUGAAAGUUGACUCUGGUACCUGAGUAAGGAGUGACACUUGUCUAGUAUACGCUUGCUUGGUGGACUCCAUAAGGGCACCGAACUAACUAACAUUAUGGGUUUAGUCCGUUAGUAGUUACUUGGCCGGAACUAAGACUUGAAUUACAGCUUCUACGCCCUUGUAUUAACUCUUGCUUAUUAGCUUCGAACUGCGACUAUUCUUUUCACUUAUAAUAAAGAGUCCAACCGAUGCUGAUGAGACUGCUACUGCUUUAUCUUAGCCUUACCUUCUUUGCUCUCGUUCUGUAACUACCGGUUAACUAGGAACUUGGAAUCAUAUCAAUACUAAUUCGAAUUGAACUACUACUGAUGAGACCUGCUACUAUUCCCUAUUAGUCUGACUCCCUUAUGCCCUAAGCCUUUCCCCUUUCGCUUUCGUUACUAAUACAUUUCUUUCAGAUAAAAACCUUUCACUGAAUUCUUUACUUCUAUGCUAUUGGUGUUAUAGCCGUUCUUAUGGGUCCUGUAGUGGAGACCAGUAUCCUAGCAACCGAUAACAAGAAGUCAAGCAAUUCCUACUAGAGAACGCUACUUUCAAUAUAGAACUUCCCCUCCUGUUAAUAAGACUGGGGCUGGUGCUUCUACUACUUGUUCCUCUAAUUAGGGAGUGAACUGCCGUUAACAAGAAUGCACUACUGCGCGAGUGGAUCAAACCAAUGAGAAAAGGAAUCAAACUAAUAAGUAAGGAUCAUCGUCAGAGGAACUAGAAUGGCAAGAAAGUUGGAAAGUAAGACAACAACUCAAAAGCGGGAACCAACCUCAUAAAUAGGAAUUCCUUUACUCCUUUGAAUACUUGAACUUGGGGCCAUUGGUUCUUCCCUAUCUCCAAUGAAGUAUUCCGUUUUCUCAUAUUCUAUUUUCUAUUGAUUUAUUAGGGUAUAAAAACGAGAGUGGUUUUCCGUGUUACUUAAGAUCUGUAGCUGGGGUGUAAAGCGCUAAUAACUCUUUCUUAUUAGUCUGAGUCAUUCUUCUAAGUAAACAACAUCUCCCCAGUGCCCCAAUCACUCUGAGUAGUCAGCACCAUUCUUCUAAGUAAAAAGCAUUAUUGGUAGUCACAUCAUUCUUAUUAGUAUUAAAAACAGGCACUCGUUAGCUGCAUUCCCAUUCUCUUGUUUUAGUAUGCUUUCAUUCCCGGUAGUUGCUAAGUAGUUGCUGAUCUACCAGUUGCUUCUGCUGAUACUGACUUAUGAGUUUCAUUCCCACUUUAGUAUACGCUUGGCUUGUUUCCUUACCUGGCUUCUUUCUUUGAUUGUCCGGUAGAGUGGAUUCCUUCCCUCGAUCUGGUCUUCUUUAACAAUCUGAUCUUUCACUUUAUUAUAUUAUGCUAUUAGAUUGGGGAUCCUAGGUGGGAAAUAGCAAUAGCCAAGUGGUGCAGGACAAAGAGUAGUGGAACAGACUCAUGCCUUAGCCCCUUUGCUACGGUUCUGGCCUAGAAAUAGUCCAAUCGAUUUUCAUUGACCAAGCCUUAUAGGGAAAAGGCAGCUCCUGCUCUUGGUCCCCAGGGAAAAUGGGGUUACAAAGAGGAUACAGUUUCACGGCUCCUCGCUCGUGGGUACCGCUCAUUUCAUUGUUGGAAGUUUGGAUUCUUUAUAUUCAAUGGUUAUUAGUUGUUUUGGUUCUUUCUGCUUGGUAUAUUAACUCAGUGUCGUGCUUUAGCCGAGCCGUUUCAGUGGGUUCCACCAUUGAGCUAUUAGGUUAUGCCCCCCUCCUAAGUAAGGGGAGUUCUGCACAAGAGAAGAGGCACAUCAAACCUUCCCCAGUACUGAUCGAUGCCAAGUCGAAUAAAGUGAUCACUAGUUUGCGAAGCUACUAAGAACCGAUCGGCUGCUCUUUCCGCGAUGAAACCCGUCGAAGCAACCGGAGGGGGCGCUCCCCCAGUCUUAACUAUAACAAAGGGCUUUUGCUUAAGAGAGUACCAAGGACUCGGCAGGCGAGCCUACACAACUACCUUAACCAACCUGUCCUGAAUUGAACCUAUCUUUUGGUCAAAUGUAGAAUAAUAGAUUUCCGCUCACCUCGUGUACCUAUCUAUUCCUCUUCCUCGAGCCGAAUAACGUCUUUCAGAGCCUAGUCCUGUACGGCGUUGACUCUCUCUUUCCCGUUCGUCUGAGAUCCCGCUCGUUCCCGUCUUUCUAUUCAGUCCCAUCAAGUUGCCUUCUAUCUAAGAUGGUAGGUUCAAACCAUCCUGUUUGAGUGCUAGCUUCCAUUGCUAUUGUAAAGCUAGUUUCUGUGUUUUUUACAGAUGAAGUGGAUUUGCUUUGCUAUCGGUCUCGGCCAGUUGAAAGCUAUCUAGUUGAAAACCGGGGUAAGAUUAAGGGGUUGUCCCCCAUUUCCCUUCAUAAAGCCAUAUCCUAGGGUAUUUAGCAUGAUCUAUCUCUAGACCAUUUGCCCUUCCUUCUGAUCGGGUUCCGCUUGUAAUAAAGAUCAUUGUUGAUAGCGCCUCGUAACACCUCCUAUCGUCCCAAUGCCUGUUGGAGUGCCAUUGCUAAUUCAGAGGUAUAUAGUGGUAAGCUAAUAACAUUCAUUUUCAGUAAUCAAACACAGAGGUAAAUACGGAAUGGAGUUUCACCCACUAAUCAAAGAAGUGCAGAAUUGAACUACCAAGGUAAAUGAGUUCGAGCGCAGAAAGAUUGGAAAGAGCGCAUGCUCCUGCUGAUUCAUAUGAGAGAGUAGACUUUGCACUUGCAACUGACUUGCAUUCGCGUGUAGAUAACACUGAUUGUCCCGACGAUGAAACUGAUUGUACCGCUCUGCUUACCGAAACACCUCUGAUUCUUAAUAGGGUAUGAUAGGAUUCCACUCCAACGGAAAGAGACUAUAAGCCAAGAACUAUCACUGGCACUGACCCGGAAAUUGACCCUGCUUCUUGACUUUCCACUACUAGAAGCAUCCAGAUAGUGACUUAGUGACUCGAGUUCUUGUAUAGAAAUCCUAUUUGUAACCAGACAUCUAUUAUACUCUCUUUGGGCACUUACAGAGUUCACCUUAUAUCUAACUUAUGGAAUGAAAGUCAGCUGGAAACAGAAUAGAAUCCGUUCUUGUUAAGUCAACGACAUAAGAAGCAACAUAUGGUGAGUAACCGGGAGAUAGAGUAGGCUCUGGAUCAUAAGUGUGAGUUGAAAGAUAAGGAGUCGGAGAAGAAACUGUUGAAACAGAGACAGGAGCCAGAAAAGUAUUCGAAUCGGGAAGUUCUGUUUUGUUCGAGCAAAGGUCGUAGAGAUCAUAAACUGGGUCAUAAUUCUGAAAGUAGUCGUAGGAGUGCCUCAUUAUUAAAGGAAGCUGUGCUGUCAUUUACAAUAGAAGAAGCAUUAGAGUGUUGUCUCGUGGAGAAUGCCCUGACCGAUGUAGCUCAAAGUAGUGGAGUGAGGGAUGCGCGUAAGGGAGCAAGAGUCGAGGCGAGAUAUUCUAUUAAUGAAUGAUGAUGAAGACAGUUUACACUGCAAUUCCUUACAUUUAAACAAGCUUCGGGAACAAGUAGAAACUUAGAUAACACGGUACCGGUGUCCACGCCUCUUUGCCUCUGUCCAAGUUAUUUGUAUAGGGCCUGCAAGAAAGGGUAUCUCCACUGAAGCUUUGGAUUUGGAUUCACAAACUCGCUAACGUAACGCACAAGGGCUUACUCUAACUAAAGAAUCUCUUUGAGUGCACUGAUUGACGAAGGUAUCCUGGCAAAGCAACCCUUCUGAUCACUUGCACUUGAGACGUAAUCAUGGAAUUGAAUCUCUCUUGCACUAGAUCUAAAUAAAGAUACAGAACGUACAAUCACUUAUGGAACGAACAAGACUUGAAGAUCCUAUUCCGACUCCGGAUCCUGAGUAUUCUAUUGAAACGACUUCUUCUACGAGUUUUCCUCGGCGCAAAGAAAGAUGAAGCGUUUGUUGAGGAAAUUCAUUGAUUAUAUAAGUCUAUAUAUAAAGAGAUAUAUUCCUUUCCUAGUUUUCCUUUUUGACAAGGUGAAAGAGAUAUUCCAUUCAAGGUAAGCCAAGCCCGUUGGAACUCGAAUAACCGACAACACCCGAACAACCUACAACUUAUGGAACAAUACUUUUACCACAUCAAAAGCACAAAGAGACUCCGCAGACUAUAACGGGACUAUCACAGCUGGUAAUCCGGCUUCAUUCCCUAAGUUUCCGCCAAGGUAAGAAACAACUUAUAUAUAUUUUGUUGGAAAGACACACCUUGUUGGAAAGACACACACACCCCGUACCGUCAGGCUCUUAUACGGCAUUGACGCCUCUAAUCUUUGCCCGGUUCCUCCACUUAUUUAUGCCCUUCCCUCCAGUGGAUUGGUUGGUGCCUUUGCUCUUGUUGAAGAGAGCGUUCCAAAUAGAGAAAUUAGUCAUAUAUCACCUCCGCUAACUCAUUUAUGGCUUUUGAUUCGAACUCAUUAGCGCACCCGCUCCAUACUUGACUUGAACAAUAGGGGGAGUAGGACCAGAAAUAGGGGUUUCUCUUAAACCUUACCUUACCCGAGUUGAUGUUCUUGAUACCUGCUUGAGACCUGACUUUAUACUUUAGACGAGACUUCUCCAGCACUCAAAACUAAGUAGGGAGAGUUGGGCUGGGCUACAUAAUCCAGAUCAAAGGGAUACUUCUCCUUUUUGUCUCGCUCUAGCAAGUAGGUUCGAUUCAAGUGCUUGUGUCUAAGGGUAGCUCUUUGUCGUGGAGUUCUAGUUUGUGGAGUUCCCCUAUCUGCUCUCGUGGUGCUAAUGCGCUUAUUAGAGUAGUGAGUCGAUUCAGUGAGGUGAGCGUUGGUAAUUAAUCGUUUCACCCAUGUUUCAACUUCAAGAAUGGCCGGAGUGAUGAAAAACAGAGCGCUCCACUCGAAAAGCUGUUAGAUAGGUAAGUCAAAAGUGUUUCUAUACCUCUAUAACAUACCAUGUGCUCGCUAUACAAUGUGCGAGAGAGAUUCCAUUCUUUGAGGAGAGUAAGGGCAGGAGUGAAGUCAGGAGUCAGUUGAAGCAAAAGGUAAGCAAUGCGGUUAGUUUGUUUCUUAUUUGUGCAAAGCCACUCUCCAGGACAACCUCUGGCGCAAGGGAAGAAAGAAAGAAAGCUAGAGAAUAUGCGAGUAGGUAAAGAAGCUGGAUCUAAAGAAUCAUCAAGAUCAGGAAAAGAGGCUGUUUUUGUUGAAAGAGAAUCCGCUGGCUAAGGUGUUUCAACAGAUUCGAUAGUUACUGCUGGCUCUGGCUCUAGGCUUCUACUGUUUACGAUCAGGUUAUUAUUUCAAUAUCUCUCUUUUAGUCCCUUGCUCUUGUCUGCCCGCCGACACUUCCCGCUUCAUUCUCUCUUUGAUGUUAUGAAAUUGCUUUUGCUUAUUCAUUAUUAAUAUAUUAAUUCAGAAAUGUGUUGUAUUAAUUCAGCUUACUUAUAUUAAGAUGGCUGAAACGCUGCCUAGCGAGAGAAUCCCAACUAACCACUCUGAGAAUUGAACUGGUGCCUCUCCUACCUUAACUGAAGGACACGAAUCAAACUACUCCUCCUAUUACUUAAACUAAGAACUCGGGAUUACAAGACUCAAUAUUAGACUUUAGUUGCAGCUAACGAGGGUGAAAUCACUGCAUACAAGAAGAGACCAGUCCCCGGGAGAGACUGGAAUCGCUACUAAUAGGGCUACAGCUAGGAACUGGGGAACGAGCUAUUAACCACUGAACUCCACUCCCAAAAGAGAGACUAGAACCGCAGCUUCCGGGGCUGUUACUACUGAGUUGGAUUCUGAUCCUAUGUAUCCUUGCAGCUGGGUAGUUAGAGUAUCCUUUUACAGGUGUAUCCCGAACUCCACAGUUGAUACAGCCCCACAUUCUUUUACUUAUUACUCAUAUCCGGACUUCCGUAUUUGAUUCUUGGAAGUAGACCCAGGGGAUCCCCUUACUUAGACUUCUAUAGAGUGAUGGAACACUUAACCAAGAGAAUUGGAAUGAGGAACCCUCGAGUGAAAAACAAACGAGGCUUAAAGACAUGAGCAGCGGACCCAGACAAGUAACUAAAAGCAUUAAAGGGCGAGGAAGGGUUUCUUUUUGAGAUAUAGUAUUCUAAGAAUUGGAGUUAGGUGUAAGGACCUGAUCCAAAGGAAUGCCAGGCUCGAGCUCAAGCUAACAGAUUAGAGAUCUGAACACAGGGUCUAGGCCUGUUAUAGUGGAAAUAUAGAAUGCAAAGGACAACCAGAAGACUAACUACCCGACAACAAAGGGAGUGGCGUAAGCGAAUGGUAAUCUAGGGUCAAGGUAGGGAAUGAGCGGUACUACUAUCAGAAUUGGGCAUUAGAGGUGUGACUCAGAUCAACCCCAUAAGAAUCAAUAAAGAAACUACCUUACUACAAAUAAGGGGUGAAAGCGAGCCCAAUAGGUUAACAUACAGGUUUCAGGACUGCAAAGUAAGCCUAAAACAAAGAAAGUCAGCCUGUUAGGUAAGGCGUGGACUGCCCCGGGGUGAUUCAUAAGGCUUGUCUUCCUUAGUUUCUGCUUUUUGAUAGGAAUAAGCAAUAGAAUGGGCUGUUGGAUUCCUUUUCUCAUUGUUUGGAUCCCUUGUUUCUUGUUAUCGUAGUAGAAGCAUUGGUUCCAUUCUUAACAGUACAGUAGCGGUGUCAGUUUCAAAUACUUAUAAUAGAAACGAUCUGUAGGCUUUCAGCACCUUCUUAUAAGUCAAAGCAUGAGUAGCACUGGUGCAAUUAUUGGUAGUAGCCGAUGUGAUAUCCGUCUUAGAAGUAGGAGUCCUAGAACCAAAGUAAGGGAAGCAAGAUUGAUAGGUUCAAAUCAGAAUCUCGGAUAGGAGGGACAGCUUUUAGUUCAAUGGCUAAAAGAUCCGGGGGUCGGUGGCUAUAGCCUUCAAUUAAGUAGUUGGUUCCCUAUCUAUGGUUCCAAACCUUGUUCUACUGGCUAUCAGGCUAGCUAUACCGAUCUCACAUCUUACACCCCUUACUAAUUCUUUGACUUUAUGAGGUGAUUUCUUAUCUUGUAGGGAGCUAUAGCUCAUUCUGACUUCUGAUAGAAACUCUUCUGUUGUAUAGCUUAGGUCUUUCUUCUACUUACGAGUGCAAUGCCUAUUAUGCUCGGGUGUUAGGCUAUUACUCCUUACUUCAAGGCUUGCGGGUAGGUUUGCAUUUAUUAGAUGGGCAUUAAGUAGUUCAAAACUGCCUCUCCUUAUGUAAAGUAUACCGCUACUGACUUUGAUUCUUCAAUUGCUUAUAAAUUGUCGUAUUAGAUUGGAUUAGGAACUCGGGCUUUCACCGCUGACUUGGAUUCUUUAGCUGCGGAUUUCGAUCCUUACUCCUCUUCUUUUGAUUCUAAUACCUAUGUAGUUGAGUUGGAUCUCAUAGGGUAGUAGCGCAUUCCCAUAGUUUAGAGUUAAGGCCUUGUUGCGGCGGAGUUCAAUCAGGUCUUUCUUCCCUUGUAGUGGUAUUUUGAUCUAUCGGGCAGUUUCGUUUGGAAUGAAAUAAUCGGGGGUGUAGUUAAGUUCUCAAGUAAUAUAGUGCCUGUCAGGCAGGGUACAAUAAACACUCUGGAAAUAUGGAAUUCUACUAAAUAGUCAAGUAAUGAGAGCGGAGCGAGGGGAGUCAGAUUGACUACUUGUCAAGUUCAUUAUGAUUUGUAUGGGUUUCAUUCCGAUAGUACUAAGUUGGUAGUAGGCUAACAAUCACACAUAGGCAUUGUGAAGGGACAGCUAUAGGCAUUGCAGGGACAACUCCAAGAGUGAAAUAGCCAGCUAGGAGUUUCAGCCUACAACUAAAGGAAAUAAAUAAGUCAGUAGAAACCCGGAACUAACAAGACUCUAGGACAGGGGUUAUAGUUGGAAUCAAUAGAUAGGUUCUUGAGAUAGGCAGAGGCAUACUUCAACUUAGAGAGCGGGAAUGCCAGGAACAGGUCUUCAGGGCCUAAGAGUUUUGACGAGGAAUAAGAAUCUAGUAGUUCCAUAAAGAAUGGAAGGUAAGAUAGGCAGGCUCAUAUCCAAAGUUAGGUGUGCAGGGUUGGUUCGGAGGUGAGGUAGAUUUUGUAAAUGACAAAUAAUUCUGGUACAAGCACAUAGGAAUUGGUUUAAGGGAAUUCUAGUUUGAUAGCUAGGUUAGAUAUACUACUUCUCUGGUAGGCGGAUAUUUAGGUUUCAAGCAAGGGAGUAAUAAUAGGAGUGUAAGGGAGACAGCUUAGUGCCCCGGAGAGCUAGUCCUAUUUCUUUGUUUGAUUCUUUCUAUCAGCAGUUUCCCGUCUUAGAAGCACUGGUUGUUGUCCGAUCUCUCGCUCCCCGGCCCCAUUCUGAUGAUUAGCGCUAUUAUUCUCUUAUUUUGGGCAAUCCGCUAUUAUUCUAUGACUAGAUGCACUUACUUAUAGGCUUACUUUACGGGCAACCAUACAACUCUUCGAAUACACCUACGACUAACAAGGCGGUAGCUCUCAAACUGUAAUUGAGCCCAAACACCACUGCUAAUAAUAAAAAACACCGAAGACAGGCAAGCAUGCAAGGGACAGGACUAAUCUAUUUCUUUUGAAAGUCAGAAUCUCUCUUUUUUGCGCUAAGUGAGAAUAUCCACUCCAAAGUAGAAACCCUAAGCUAAGGCACUAAACUAAAGCAGAGGACCUAAACAAAGAAGUCGUCUGUCAUUCCUUGACUACAGUAUUUAUUGAAACUAGUAGCCUGUAGCUCAUAACUCCCGAACUUACCUCUUGGGGCACUAAUAUCAAAUAAACCCCCAUUCCUCCUGUCUUAAGGAAGAAAACUCAUAACUACCAAACUACCGCUCCCGUCUUUCGCUCUGUAGUAGUAGCUUCGACCUUUACCCUUGCACUAGUCCACUCCUUCUUAAAGUCUGCUUUUCCUUUUGAUUAAUCUGGCACUCUUUAUAGGCAUUCUUGACUUGUCACUAUCAGGACUAGAUUCCUUUCUUUUAGCCUUACCUAAUGGCCAACUAAUCUUACCUGCCCGGUUCUAACUCUUCCCCCACAACUUACCAAACGAAAACUACUAACUGGCUCUUUCGCUCUUGGGACUUGAGUUGGUCUCUUCCACCUACAAAUAUCAGAAUCAAGGCCCCGCAACUACUAACAAUAGAUUUCAGUAAAUAACCGACUCUUCUCUUAUUCUAUCUUAUGCUUCUAAUCUUGUUUAUUCUACAACUCCGACUUAUUAGCUUGAUCGCCAAAAUACGGACUUGCUCUUAACUCAACAAAUACUUACGGAAAUGAAUCUAGCUCUAGCUGAAGCAAAAAAGAGAACAUUGAAUCAGGUAACUCACUGACGCUAGAACACACACAGGACUUUUGAGAACUCUACGGAAUUAGGACUUGCUCAUUGUCUAGUAGUUACUUGGCGUCUGCUUGUCGGCUUGUCUACUUGUCGGACUUGAAACUGUAUACUUUGACCUCGAGACAAUGGAUGGAAAUGAAUUCUUUGUUGACUUUACAAGGCGAUCGAAAGGUUCAGCUAACGUUGGGGCAAUUCCUAUGUUCUCCUAUGUUCUAUUUAAAAGAUAGAGAUUCGGCUGUUCUAGUUUCAUCUUAUAAAGAAGCAGGGUGAAUUAGGUCUACUUGUUCUGUUGUUGGCUCUAAGUCGGCAUCGACAAGAUCUGAAGCGGAUCAAUGAAAUUCCAGUCGAGAAUCUCUUGGGCUUGGGGUAGCUUUAGAAGCAAGUAAACAAGAAGCAGAACCAGUUGAAAGCUUUUAAUGGAAAGGGAAGAAACGGAAGAAUGUGAGUUCCCCGAUAGGUAUGAGAUUGUUACCCGCUCUGUUUAAUAGAUAUAAGUAAACACCCCUGUGCUCCAUCUCUCUAGAGAGAAGUAAAAACCCCUGUGCUCCAUCUCUCAUAAGUUAGAAUUGAACUAAUAACUAUAAGAAUGGAAACCAUCAAUGAAAACUUGACUCGUUAAUAGCUCGUGUUGAAGCAAGUGAUGAAGUGUAGUUUGGGACAGAAAGUGUAGUUUGAGAUGCAGGAUCUUUCUCUUUAUCAUCAGCUGGAGCAGGAUAGUCUCUUUGUGCUGGCGAUGGGUCUAUUUCAGUUCCUCACUCAACAGAUCUAGCUCCUGCGGAUUAUGCUUCUCUUGCGCACUGCUUUAUAUAUUGAUUUGGAUUCGGCAACUGCUCCUACUCCUGCUUUGCUUCAUCUACUGAUCUGGUUUACUUAACAAGAACGGAAAGCCAAUGGAACCGAUACACGGCCCUAAACGGAUACCUGAACUCCGACUCUUAACUGUCCUAAGAAUUAAUUGAAUCUCCUUCUUCUCUUGUGCCGAGUCAAACUGUAAUGGAAUCUUUUGAUUCGGUUUAUGGAACUCCACCAGCUACAGGGGGACAACACCUUAUACAACUUUGAGCUAAAGCCUACUUAUACUUAACCGUUACGUCGACUUCUUCCGAUCCGGCAUCAGAUCUUUAUUCAUCUCUAGCAUCUUAUCUCUAGUGAACGAGUCCUGUGUGCGCUGGUCAUAUGGGUUGCAUUCUUAUACUGAAUAGUGGAAUUCUUACCUGCUGGCUUGGUUUGGCUUUGUAAGCUAUGAAAGUCUAGUUAUUGCCCCAACUAGUAUACGAGUAGUUUCAUCAGUAGUAUACGCUCGGUCAUAACCUGUUCUUGAGUACCCGGACUUUAUUCUGACUCCAGUAUUGAGUUAUAUUAAAUACUGAUACCUGAGUAAGGAGUGAGUUUCAUUCAGAUUAGUAGAAGUAGAGAGGUCGGGUACCAAUACUAGAGUUGAGGUCUAAGUUAAGUCCCAUCCCAUACUAUUUCCCCAUUUGCAACCAAAAAUCCCGGGGCCAAACAACUACUAAUGUUGUGCGGCAGCAAGUAAUAGUCAUAACAGAGUUAUUACAAGUCCUGUGUUCGCGUCAAAUUGUGAUUUCCAUAAGGUCACUCAGGAGGGAAAUUGUCAGUGCUACCAAAAAACACGGGUUUCGUCAAAAAAGGAAGAUACAUCGAACCCUUUAGGAGGGAGAAUGCCCAUGCUAUCCAAAAUCCCCGGGUUUCGUCCAAAAUGAAUGACUUGGGGACCUAGCUAGCAGGGGAAAUCUUGUUGCAGCCUUUUUUCCCGGGUUUCUUAAAAAGUAGCAUUCCUUUUUGGUUCGAUAGGAGGGCAAAUCACUUCACUGCCUUUUUUGCCGGGUUUUGGUGAAGUGGAAUUACUUGUUUACUGACUUGGCGGGUAGGUUUGGAAUGAAGUGACUAGGCUCGGCAGGUUGACUGACUUGCUUGUUUGUUGCAGGUUUACUGACUUGCUUGUUAGGGUGGUAAACUGACUUGCUUGUUAGGCUGUUGACUGACUUUGUGAGGCAGGGAGAGUUUCAUCUGUAUUAGUUGGGUCUUGCAAGGGAAGUGUACUAUUACCCAUAGGUAUGAGAAGCAGAACUCACAGAAGCUUACUUGCGGAAUUAAUAUAUAAUAAUAUCCGUAACUAAGGUAAGAAAGAGAAUGCCCAGUGCCCCAAUCCAAUGUUCCUUUGCAUUUAUUAAUCCUUCUAGCUGCCUUAAGCCUUUGCAUUUAUUAAUCCUUCUAGCUGCCUUAAGCAAUGCUUUAGAGUAAUUGAUUCUCCCGAUAGUCCACAAGCUAAGAUAUUAAUGACGAGGAAGGCUUGCUAUGCUACUACAAAGCAAAGAAUAGGCACCGAAAUGAAUGGACACCUUAUCUUAUCUCUGGAUAGUUUGCAGUGGCCUCUACAGUGGAAAUAGAAUAGUCAAAGCGAAGUCCGUUUUCAUUUCACUCUUCUUCAUGCUAUCGAUCCCGAAUCUUUCGAUUCCUAAAACAAGCAAGUAAGCAGAUACUCAAUAGUGGAAAGUGCAUCCCUUGAAGUUAAGAAAGAAAAGGCGAAUGAAUCCGCGCUUCCCGAUACGGCAUGCUGCUAGCUGGUUGAAACUAAACUAAUAUAUCCCCCUCCCCGCCGCAAGCUAAGAUAUUGAAACAGUCGAUUCAGGGGUAGAGAGAAGUAUCAAGGGGUGUAAUCCUUGGUUGGUAUUUGAUCACUAGUAAGUUCUACUAUAUAGGGAAAAGAGUAACUAGUAGGUUAUACAAUAGAGGAGAAAUAGAUUGCUUUGCUUCGGCUUGGAACCUCCACGUGCUACCUACAACCUAUUGGUCUCAAAUACGGGUUUUUUUCGCUUUAGUUGAUUGGACAACCGGCCUUAAGGGCGCAGAUCUAUCCUUCUCUCAUUGGGAAGGAGAAGGGACUAUUGCAAUCCUCGACAGGCUUUCCUCAACAAACAGGCUAAUAAGCUUUCUUUCCCUCAUUUGGCAGUUGCUUUAAUUCCUUUAUUUGGAUGACCAGUCGCUUUCUUUCCCUAACCAUUGAAUAUCGGCAUCCCGAACCGAACUCUCUACCACUACUGAGAAGAAUAAGGGAUCUACUAACUGAGAAGAAUAAGGGAUCUACUAACUGGGCCAAUCUGAAUGAAGUUAUAGGAGCAGAGGUAGAUUAGCCUCAUUCAGGUAUCAGAGUUAGAGGAGAAGAAUGCAGUUCAUAGUAGGAAAGUAGUAGUUACAGAAUCCAACUAAGUGGGUCAAAACCCAGCUACUAGAGCAACAAAUACAGAAUGAACCAAGGAAGUGAAAGAAUGGAACCCAACCAUAGGAAGUGAGAAUUGGACUCGUUAAGUAGAAGCCUUAAAGCAGUGACAGGUGCUCCUUCUCUCAACCAGCGAGUGAAAGUCCAAGAAUGCAAGCAGUAAGUCCAAGAAUGAAAGAAAGGGUAACAGGGCAUUGAACUCAUCAGACAUAGAAUUCCACCGAUACUACUCAGAAUUGACCUAGGUAGUCAAAGAAUGCAGCUCACACCAACCAGGCUGAACCGAGGCAGUGAUAGAACGAAGCAAAGCCGACUAAGAAUUCAACUCAUCGGUGAGCUAGGUGAGCUAGGGUAGUAAGUGAGAAUGAAACCAGUCAGUGGAAGUGUUUCCUCUGCCUUUGUCCUGUGUUCGGGUACUACUACUGCUACUGAGUGGUUGUUUGCCUACUGAUUUACUAACAUCGGUGCAUUUACAGCUAUUGGAAAGAGUGGAACUAGUGCUUUACAGGCUCUCUAAACACCCGACCUAUCUACUUCGAUAAAAGAAAAGAAUGGAAUUGAAGACUACCUGCUACACACCGAGCUUACCCGAUACACCGAGCUUACCCGCUACACCGAGCUUACCCGAUACACCUUAUAGUAUAGGGAACUUUGUUGACUUCUAUAUCGGGAAUUACUGAGAUGUUCAGUUUCCGUAGGUGAUUGUGUCGGUUCUUCAAGUCGAGUAGAGGUUGGCAAAAGGUAAGUAUUGCAAGGAAAGUUUACGACUUAAUAGUGAAAGAGAAAGAUCCUACUGGAACUCUCUGUACUGAAGCUGAAGUCUCGUAUCUGAGUGUAGAAGGCAAGGCCAGGCAAUUCAAUGAAGUGAGAAUGUAAUCUACAAUAGAAUCAUAGGCUAAAGCAUCAGCUAGAGAAUAAUAAUAGGAUUUGAAAGGAUCUGUUGCUUCUUCACUUGUUGGAAAAGAAAGUAUAGUGUGAGUUGAAAGAUCAGGCGAGGAAUAAUUGACUGGCGGAGAAGCAUAAACAAGACUAAGUGCUCUAAGGCAAGUUCUUCGAUUUGUGCUAACGUUAAGUGAGUUAGUUCCUUUUUUGUCAACGAGAUCUGCAGCAAUGCGAAAGUAAGUUGUCGAUGUAGUUAUCCGUGUUGUCGACUUGAUAGGUUCUUUAUUGGCUUGAUUGGUUUGAUUACCUUUACUUGGAAAUAAACCUUCUUCUACGUAAGGUGGUUCUGCGCUCUACAUCUGGAUCUGGCGUUCCUGCCUAAAACUAGAAACUCAAGAAAGAAGAUUGUGUUCAAGCUUAUAACUCUCAAGAUGAUGUUGAAAUAAGAUCAGGAGCUGGCUACGAUAUAGAAUCAUAGGCUCAAGCAUAGUCCGGAUCUGAAGCUGAAGAAGGAAAGUGGAGUUCCGGGAUAGAAUAUUUGGCUGCUAUCCCCCCGAUCUGAUAGACUUCAAUCUUUUCCUGGUGGGACCCUACGCUAAUUUCAUUCCUGUUUGAUCGGCUAAUGCGAGGUCGGGCAAGACAAUCCUUGUAGUUCCGGUUGGGCAAGCCUAAAUAAGUAAGGGCAGUGGAAUCAGUAGUAGCAGCAAGCGGGGUAGUAUAUAAGUCAGAAGUUGACAAGUGGGGGUCCUGUUUCAAAAGAGACUGUUCGAGUGAUAGGAAUUGUGAGCCUACCUUUAAGGAUUGCUAGUAGAAGUAUAAGACUCAGAAUGAAACUCCGUAGUAACAGUAUCGGUCGGCAGGGCAAUAACAAGUGCUAACUGGUUUACUGACUUAGUUGACUUACUUGUUUCAUGAAGUGACUAGGCUAGGCUGGAAGUUACUUGUUAUGAAGUCUUUUACUAGGCCAGCAUCUAGACUAGUGGAAUUAGUUGCAUCCCCAUAUUCCCUUGUUGCAUCCUAGUCUCCCAGAGAAGAGUCAUCGGCAGGAUCAGUAUCAAUAUAAGUAGUAGCUUGGCAGUUGCCAGAGCCCGGAUAGCAAGUAGUAGUCCCAGCAUUAAGGUGAAGGUAAGGCUUAAGAGGAGAGGUGAGUCAGUAGGAAAGUGAGAAUGAAAGUUCACUGGUCAGAAAUCAACUAGUAAGUAGAAGGCUUAGGAAGGUAAGAAAGAAACCAGUAAGUAGAAGGAUCAGACUCAGUUUCAAGAUCAUAAGCUAGAUUAGGGGUUCGCGCUUCAGCUGUAAUUUCAAGUCGAGUUAGGGAUGCGAUAACGGGAGCAAGAGACGAGCCUAGAGAUUCAAUCAAUUCUGAAGCGUUAAGUAUUGCCAGGCCCAGACUCAGGAGUAGGAAAGUCUAAGUCGUACGAGAGCAUAAAAGUUGGGUUCUGUCCUUUACCCCUGCACUAGAUGGCCUUCCCGCUCACUCACCAGGGGGCGCAUAUAACGCAUAAGUUUGGUCAAUAUGGAAAUUGGAGAUAUCAAUUCCAUUCUUAUAUACUAGCUUCUUUCUACUGUUCCUUCCGUGUUUCACUUCCUUCUACUGUUCCUUUUAAGGAGCUCAAUCCUAUGAUUCUGAUUACAAAUAGUCUUCCUCAAUACCAUGAUUAAUGCUAAAGUAAGCGCUAAGUCAAUCAUACGCGUUGGUUCCUACGAGUGUUAAGAUAGAUUCUUAUGUCGGCGAUGUAGCUCCUUAUCGGCCACCGGUUCUUUUGUUGUCGACUCGAUAAGGUGCUGUUUCAAGAGCAGAUGCUGUAUUUGAAGCUAAUAAUUAGGGAAUAACAGAAGUUAGUGCAAGUAAAAGGUGCAAAUGCAAAAGUGUGUAUAGAUUUGAGUCAUCUUAUUUCAUUAUAUGGAAUCUCGGUGUUGGCGCAGCUGCCCGCUCAAAGUACUUUCUACAAGUUCAAGAAACAAGCUUUGUAUAAUAUGUAUAGCGUUAGCCGAGUUUGUUGCUUGUUCCCUUGCUUUAAGAGAGCGUAACCCAAUCUCAUUCUGCUGGAAUACGAGAGUUCUCUAUAAGGCCUCCGCCCGUCCUUUCGCCUUUGUUUAUGAGUUUAGCGCAUACUACUAUGGAAUACGAGUACUACCAAUAAGAGUGGAGCUAGUAAGUAGAAGCCUAAGACCUCCUUCCACGUAUACAGAAUUGACCUAAGCAGUUUCAGAGUGAAACCCGACAAAGACAUCUUCAAUCUGGAAGGUGGAAAACAGACGAAAAGAAUGAAGGGAGAAAACCAUCGAACAGGAGUAGUGAGUUGGCAUAUGUAUUAAUUCUGCAGUGAAAGGUAGAAAGGUAGAGAACAAGAGUGGUCAGCAGAGCAGGAGUUUAGAGUUUACAGAGUGAGAUUAGCAAGAGAAGAAGAAAGAUCCGGGUCUUGUAUAGAAACAUCGGUAAUCUUACCAACUUAUGCCCAUCAAACUAAAGAAAGUGUUGUUUUAGUGCUUUUUCGUAUAUACCUGUUUAUAGCUCCCGCCUGGUGGUAUUAUAGAUGAUAGGCUGUUCUGGUUGAAUCCGUUCUCCUACUGGUGGUACUACCCCUGUGACUGUUGGAGUUAGAGGCCAAACAACUACUAGACGCCAAGGCACUGGGCAAGUAACUACUAACGUUACGCGGCAGCAAUAAGAAGUAUGUUAUGACGUAGUUAUAACAAUUCCUUUGUUCGGGUGCCGCGGCAGGAGCUGUUGGGCUAAUGUGUAGCGUCAGCGAGCUAAAAGAGCGGCAGGGCUGUUCCCCCGGUCCCUUAUGAUUAUUAGUAGGAAUGCCGGAGUGGAAGAUUAGGUAGUAAUGCCUGAGUGGAAGAUUCGGUUUCAUACCAGGUAAUUGAAUGAAAGAAUGAAACCAGUAAGUAGAAGCCUUUGAAGCAAGGUUUAGUGGAAGUAGUAAAGUGGGAGUUACAGAAUUGACCUCAGCAGUCCUCGGGCACUUAUUAGAGUGCGGGUCGGGGUUCGUUCCUAUUGCCUAGUUAAGGGGUAUGUAGAAUUCCUAUACAUGGAUUAGAUGCUUGUGUUAAGCAAUGAUACAAUCUAUCUCUUUUGUAGGCUUGUCCCCUACUGAUUUCUAUCUGUUAUUAGUAAGGAUUUUGUUGAGAAAGAGAGAAGCUGCUUUAAUAAGAGAAUAGUUGGAAGUUGCCAGAGCUCGGGUCUAUUAGAGGUCGGGUCGGGGUGCCUCUCUUCAAUGAUUGCAGUGCCUUCUAUUCAAUGGUGAGUGGUGCCUCAAUCUAUCUUUGCGCCUAGAGAAUCUGAUGGGUGAGGUUCAGUGAGAAAGUUAUGAAAGUUAUUAUAUAAUAAAGAAAGAAGGUAGUUAACCAGGUAGUUAACCGGGACAGACAGAAAUCAAUCCAGUUCGGGGCGGGGCAAUCAAUCCAUUGUUGCUACUGCUGCUAGUGGAGAUGAGCCAGAAGUCUUAUAUAAGAGAUGAGCCUUAGUUCAAACAGUAGUAGUUGACAGUUGCAUCAGUAUUAGUUGACUCCGGUAUCGGAUAAGAAUUAUGGUAUUGUUGCCAUAGCAGAGGUGGAAGAGCCAGAGUUAUAGGCUUUGAAGCUAAGCAAUAAGUACUGAAGUCCAGAAUGCAACUAAGUAGUUUGAGAGUUCAACUCGGUAGUCUUAGACUGAAACCAUCGACAACCAGGCUUCAACCGGUAACCAAUCAGAAUUACCUCCAGGAGUGACAGAACCAAACCAGUCAAUCAAAGAAUUAGACCUAUUACCAGAUGUCUUCGUUGCGGUAAGUACUGAGUGGAGCCUAGUUGGGGUGCCUAUUGCCUAUUCCAAAUCAGACUUAGUUGACAGAGCCAGAGAGAGAUAGUUUCAAGUCAGAAUGAACCCAGUAAGUAUAUAAGACUCAGAGACAACCUAAUAAGGUAGAGUUACAGAAUUGAGCCAGUGCUUUCCAAGGCUGAUACCCCCGCUGCUAGUACUGAAGUAAAGAAUAGGCUAUGUUGCCCGAGUUGGAUGAGCCCGAGGUAUUCUAUAGGAGAGGUGAGCCAGUAGUAAAGUGAGAAUGCCACUGGGUAGUUACAGAAUGCAACAGUAGAGGUGGGGAUACGGAAUUCCAGAAUGAAACCGGAUCCGAGUAUUUAUAAGUUGCAAAUAGGUUGGAUUCUUGUGUUAGUGCUUACGCUAUAAGUCGUAGAGAGAUAAGUGCUUCUUCAGCUUGUUCUGCUCGAGUUGAAUCCUUUAUCCCAUAAUAAGAGAGGGGUAGUUCCUUGCCUAGUGACUUGGUGAUUUCGUUUUAUGGUAAAUUCCCUAUGUUGCCUCAGGAAAUGACCUUAGAGUGCUUUUGAGUCAUGAAAGAGAGCCGUCUCCUUCUUGCUAACCCACCUACAAUUUCAGAAGAGUUAGGUUCUUGCUACUACAAUUAACAGAGUUCGGGAAGUAUAGAAUUGUAGCCAGUAGAAGAGGCCUCUCUAAUAAGUUUCGAGAAGCUGUUUCAUCUUUUCUCCUUUCUUUUUAAAGAGAUAUCCAAUUUAUAUGUCAUUUAUAUAGGACAAGUAACGACUAAUGACCGCUAAGUCACUACUACAAACUCAAAGAAAGCAGAGCAGGUAGAGAGCCAGUUAUUAUUUAUAAAGAGUAGUAAAAACCUAGUAAGUUGAUGUGCUCGUAAGUUGAUGCAAUCGGUAACUAUUUCUUUUCGAGUCGUUGCUUGGCCCCGGUGAUUAGUUCAAUUCAUUAGUGCACUAGCUCAUUCUUAGCCCUUGAGCACUCAGUCUGACUUGGGCCUCCGCUCACUUGGGUUAUUCCUAUUCCUUUGAUUCUGAGUUUAUAGUCAUAGUCUCCCACUCCCAUAUUACUAGUUUCAUUCUUGUUAGUGAGAGUUCGCACCUUGUUGGUUGAUUUCUUUACGAUAAGAUUCCGUAUCAGAAUCAGCAUUUUCAGUCUUAUUGGUAUGAGUCGAUUUCCUACCUUUGAGUUGUAUUCCUUUUAGUGGUGGCUUAGGUAAAGUUUCAAGGUAGGCUGCUUCGGGGGCUGCAGUGAAGGGCUGAUGGCUAUUAAUUGAAUUCUAAUAUGGGAGGGUUUUUCUUGUUCAUGGAGUAGAAUACUCAAACUAACAAGCAAGCCUAAGAGGCACAGGCGUUGAGGAGCAAGAGAUAAGGGCUAGAGUCCGGUGCUAUAGUUGAGAGUUGGAUUCCUUAAAGUAGUAGACAGGCUCGGUAGACUAAGAAAAAGGGAGGGCAGCCUUAGGUCCGGUAGUGACAGUCCUAUAUUUACUAGUUUCUUUAUUGAGGAAAGAAGUCAGUCUUAUAGUAGUAAUAAGUAAUAAGAGUAAUGAAAUAGUAGCAAUAAGAGUAAUAGUAAUAAGAGUCAGUAACGUAGGAGUGUAUUAUAAACUCUAUAAUAGGAAUAAGAAUAAGUAGAUGUUACUGCCCUGUUGCAUUCUGAUCUUAGUACUUACUAGUCUUUUACUUACUUGUUUCAUAAACGGCACUGCUUUAUGGUUUCCCACUUGUUAGUUCCAUUCUGAAAUUCCGUAUUCCUAGUUGAUAGCUCCAUUCUUGUCAGUAGUAACUCCAUUCUUGUCAGUAGUCAUUGGAUUCUUACUUGCUAGUGAAAGGACUGCACUUUUCCCCCACCAUAUCAGACUGUAGCUGUUGAUCCAGAUCCUAUGUUAUGUGGGUUGUUGCUACUAGUAUGUCCCUACUCACCUGAAACUGUAUUUCCUCUAUAUCAAUCUAUGCGCUCUACUCGCUAGUCUUACUGUACUUUCUCUGAUUCUUAUUGCCCCUGACAAAAUUCUAUCUGUUAUUCUGACAUUGCUUGUCAUUAUUCUGUUGACUUGUAUUAAUGAUAAUUAUUCUGUUGACUUGUAUUAAUGUAAUGCAACCAUUAAUUAGCAUAUAUUAACAUUAGAGUCAUUCCACCGGUUUUCUUAUUGAAACUAUGUCGGAACUGUCUAUUGGUCCUAUAACCUGGCUUACUUAACUACACUGAUAAUAGGGCAUUGAACCAAUAAGUCAAAGAGUCAGAAUACAGCUCAUAAGUAAUAGAACCAAGCUAAGUAGUAAGUCAAAGCUACCGGUCUGAAACUCUCACUCGACCUGGAACAGGCAAUUAUCUUUGAACUCAAAACUAGGAAUAAGGAAUGGAAGAAUGAAACCACAACUAAGGCGAAUGACACUCAAGCGGAGGCUCUUAGCACCUUACUUACUGCUUUGACUGAUUUCUUUGUUUACUUAUUUCUGUAGGUCAUAGGUGACUUUCGGUAUAUAUUAUGCUGUUACUUAUUUCUUUGACCGGCAGAUUGGAAUCGGUCAUAACCUCACUUUUGAACUGGAACUGGGGCAGCAGACUGCAAUCAUCUUUCUGAACUCUUUCACUCCCGGCUCAUCUAACUCAAGCCCAGAAAUACUCCAUUCCAGCUCUUUUCACUCUUUCUCCUCGGAUCUAGCCUCUGAUCUUGAAACUGAUCUCUCCUCUUCUCUUGCUAUUUGAACUCAGUUAGUUUAGUGCUUCUGCCUCACCUCUUUUUCAUCCACCUCUGUCAACAAUCUAUUUCACCCUGCUAGCUACUAUUAACUGCAUUCUUCUCCUCCUGGUCUCUGUUUCUGUCCGGAAGGUAUCCAGCAAAAGAAUCCAACCUACUACUUAAAGAAUCAACCCUAAAGUAAGACCUAUCCCUUAACUACCCCAACAAGUAGUAUUGACCCAACAAGUCGUAUUGAAUAGAGGCGCCCCACACCCCAACAAGUAAGUUCACUACCCUAGCCGACAAGCUACUCGGGAUCAUACUAGGUAUUCCACUCUCACAGGAGCAGGACUCCGAUUGAAGAGCCAUAACCUGAACCUCUAUCCUCUAAACUAAGUCUUGUCAACCUCACCCCCGCCCUCGUAUUGAAGGGAAGAAACCUCUCUAACGCAACCGCUCCAAAGGAGAAUCAUGGAAUUGACGCAAGGCACUACCCUUUCUUGCAGGCCCUAUACAAAUAACUUGGAAAGAGGCAAAGAGGCGACCCACCUGUUAGAUAAGAGUUGAUACUUGUUCCCGGUUUAAAUGGAAGGAAUUGCGCUGGUGCUCAAAGGAAAGAUGGAAUUCUUUGUUUGAUUGCUCUUUGCCUUAAAGUGAAGGAACUAAUUAUCUCCUUGUUUAAGUAAGUUGUGAAUGAGUCUGGUCGUUUAAGGCAUGUUAAACAAUGAUUAUAGCUCAUCACUCAUGGGAUCCUCGUAACCAGUCCCAAAAUGCAUUUGUAGCCCGGACUUGCUCUAGGCUAAAACUUUACUUGAAGUGAAGCUGACCUGACCAACUUAUAAGAAUCGAUCCGACCUGACUUGCAAACUCACUCCUGUCCCGACUGCUUACUUGACUCACUCCUUGACUUUCAUAUAAGAUAGAACUCCCAAGGUAAAGAACUGGCCGAGUCGAUUCGGCUUAUGGAACUCCUUCGCUAACUCCUGGCCUUCGACUUCGGUGAACUUCGUUAGCGUCUAAACUCCGUAAGCUAUACAUUAGACUAAGCUUGUUGGGCAAACCGUACUACUUGACGCCUAUCUGGUACAUUCCUAUAAAUCCAUAUGUAUUUCACUCUACCACUUGACUUUCUACCCUUGCUUUCUUUUGUUCAAACUCCUUUAGCACCCCCGCUCGCUAACGGGCUUGUUGGCUUCUACUUUUCUAACUCUUCUCUUAUUUAGUUCAGCGCGGUGUACUUUUUUCAUUGUUCUCUUUCCUAUAAUGUCAUUUAUUAACCCAGGCUCUGGCUCUAACUGCUGAAGCUUCGCUUCCUCUCUGGACUUUGAAUCUACUGAACAAGCAACGUCAAAUAGAAAGUGACAUAUGAGUGGUGUUCAUGGCGUUAGCGAAAGAGCUCGAAAGAUCUGUUGUCAUCGGUGUUAGUUGAGUGAGUUCCUGUCUUCAUCUAAUGCGAGUUGGGUUGAUAGGUCAAUUACAGGGGUUUCAAUUCAUUGAGUUGAUAGGUCAAUUACAGGGGUUUCAAUUCAUAGGAAUAGAGAAAUCCAAGUUUCUGGGUUUACUGUUUGAGUUGCGCUAGUCUGGAUUUUUCUUAUUGGAGUUGUUGCGGGCGGAGCGGGGAUAGUGAGUUCAUAUUCCAUGAUUUUCUGCGCUUACGGGAGUUUAGUUGACAAUAUAAAUGGGGUUUCAAUUCCGUUUGAGUUGGACUCGAUGCAAGACUCAGUGUUGUGCUAAGGCGAGUUGACCGAACAUGUUGGCUCUAGGGGCUCUUCAAUUCCUCUUCUUAUAUGACAUGUGUGCAAGAGAGAUUUCUUAAGUUCAAUGGAUCCGCACGUAAGGAGUUUGCCGGAAGGGAUGCUGUGUUGAGUAUAGAAUAGAAUGGUUUUGUAACAGGAGAGGACACGAAGUAAGUAAGAGGCCCGAUCAACUCACUAGCGCUCUUAGAAAGCAGAAAAAGUGUUGUAUUCUCGGGAACUAAACCACACCUAGUGCCUAGUAGGGGAGAAGAUACCUUUGGUAGUUCUAAUGCUGCUUUGGAGAACUGAUAGACGAACUUGUAUUCAUGGUAAGGACACGGACAAAACCAACUCCCCGCUUGCAGUUAAUAACGCUUUGUAUUAUAGUAAGAUAGAAAAGAAACGAACAAAAACUCAGGGAAACUUAGAAAUAUAUAUUGCCCGGCGCGCUGAAAGGGGGAUGACACCGAAGAAAACCAACUGAGAUGAGAAGAAAAGAAGGGCAACUAUUUGAGGGGAAAAACCCGAUAGGAAGCUGGUAACUGAGUACUGAGGAAGCUAGUAACUGAGAGAAAGAGUGUAUUACCAAUCUUACGCAUUUAGUACUAAGAUACAGAAUUGUGGUGAGGCCGAACAACUACUAGAGCAAUAAAGAGAAGAAUCUAGAGCAAUAAAGAUAAUAAUUCAUUUCUGGUUUCUUUAAUAAGAUAAUAAUGAAUUUAGUAUGCUUUCUUAUACUGUGUCUGUACUGAGUAUGUAUAUGAGAAAGAUGAGUGGUUUUUCGGGUUUAUUGCAUUUAUUGGAUUCCAAAACUACCCCCAUGUAUUGUAAUUCCACUCAUAAACUAAGAAUAGGGGUAAUCGGGGCCUUCUUUCGCAUCCUGAGAUGGCUUUAUGGCAAAUAUUACAUUUGCUACCCCCUUAGGGGCCAAAAGAGUCCUUUCUCACUAUAGGAUUUUUGGUCUAAUAAAGGGUUUAUACCGGCUUUGUUGCUAGGGUAGUCAAAAGAGAGUACCAUCUUGUGACAGGACCCAUACGCGGCACCCACAUCUAUGAAAUUAAUUACACCCCGACCCGAACUAAACUAUGGCUCUGUACUCUUCUCGACUACUGACUUUAUAACUACUGUUCCACUCUAACAAUAACUGGGGCAGUGAAAUUAGUGACAGCGAAAUCUCAUUCCAAAUGGCUUAUCUCACCCAAGAGCAGAAGCGGCAGUUACAAGAUCAGAAGCGGCGCAUCUCUAAUCUAACACCCAGCUACGGCAGCAACAAAUACAGAAUUCCACAAGCCCCAACCCCACAAAGUAAGUCAACUAAGGAAGUAAACCAACCGACCCUGUGAAAACAUUCCAACAAGAAUUCUCUCUUAUAUAAGAUUACAGAUGAAACUCGGCAAGUAAGUAAACAAAGUCAGUAAACAAGCCAAACCUAGCAACUUGACCAAACCUAGCAACUUGACUAGAGCGUAAGCACCAACCCUACCCGAGUCACAGGUAAAUUCUCCACUUCCCCGCAUCAAACCGGGAUUUUGGAUAGCGAAGUCUACUUAGCCAGUACUUAUUGCUUAGCUUCCUCGCCUUUACGUUACUCUGCCCCGACCCGACCGACCCUACUUCUGGAUAAGAAUUAAGGUAGAACAAUAAAAUAAGGUAAUGACCAGGAGCCCUGGACCGGUUAGACCUAUUAGUACCCUACUCUGGCAACUGACACUCGGUCUUCAACAAGGAAACAAGGGUCGAUGUCAUUUAGCUAUCACAAGAACAGGAGACCAGUAGAGGAGGAGCCCCAAAUACGGGAUUCUUUCUUGCCCAACCCAGUAGUGCUUCUUCACAUACUACCCGCGUAUCAAAGCGAGCACUCGAGAAAGCCUGUAAGAUAGUCUUUCCCAGAACUGCUAGGGAGUACUUUCUUCUUCAACUUACAAUAAGGGCCUCUACAUUCCCUAUGGAUACCCUAUCUCUAAUUCAUUCCUUAUACCCUAUCUCUAAUUCAUUCCUUAUAUAUAUAUGCCCGAUCUUGAAAAGCACUCUCAAUCAGGUUUACGGUGUUUAUUUAACAGUUCUUGUUCUUGUAAGUAAAUGAGUAUUUCUAACAUGAGGAAUGUAGUAGCACCGGGUAGCAUACUUUUUCCCGGUAUUCGUAGUACUGGUAGCAGGGCAGGGCGAAAUAAAGGUUGCCAUCAAUGGUUUCUGUUCUUAUUAGAAGAUUCUAUUUCCACGUUCUGUAUUCGAGCUAAAGUGAGCUUACAAGUCGGUUAAGGCAGUAGACCCAACUAGUCACUGAUAGAGCAAAGAAUGUCUACGACACGAACAAAACACUUUCGGAACUGUUCACUCCUUACUUGACUCAAAGAAUGGAAUAUCUAUAUGAUAUCUGACUAUGAGGCUAUUAACUAAAAUGAACUCUUGCGAUAACUACACCUCUGGCAACCUAACUUCCCGCUUCUUUUAGCACUUACUUUGGCACAGCUUUUCCUUAUGAGAUGCAACUUGAACGGAGUCUGCUCCUUCUUUGGCUCCUGUUACUUACUUCGUGUCCUCUCCUCUGACUUUGAAAUCUAUACAAAUCUAUGAACUGGAGUACUUUGAGCUUCAAAACCGGUACCAGAGAUCUUGUUUCUGCUGAUGCUAACGCUGAAAAAGGAGACAUUCUAAAGCUUACUCUACUGGGCGAGAACCUUUGUUAGUUAGAAGGAAGGUAGAUUAGAGAAGAAUGAUCUGUUCAACUAGAUGUUGCUUAUUCUCCUUCCACUCCAAUCCAAUAAGUGUUAGCGGUGCGAGUACCAUUGAUAGUGCUUGCUGUCGGUUCUUCAAGUUUCAUUUUCGCAAUUAGAUCUUCUGCUUGUUCAGGUUUUAAGCGAGAGUUUUGUGUCAGAGUGAGUAGGCAAUCUGAUGGACUAAAAGAUUAAGCUACAGGGAGUGUAAAGAGCUAGUCUAUUUCAUUAGGCAAAAAAGCAUUAUUAGAGCAUUUGUUGGUUUUAAUGGUGGAUUUUCCAUUAGCAUAGUUUACCAAGGCUUCACUUCAACUUAGCAAAAGAAUGAUUUCCAGCUAGAUAAAGAAAGUAUAAGCAACAUAAGGAUAAGGAUCUUCUGUUGUUCGAGUUUUCUCCUAAGCAAUGAAAGUUGACUUCGGGUCGGGGUCCGCUUAUUCUCUUGAAACUCAAAAGUGACUUUAUACAGUUGAAGAUCGAGUCACUCUGUUGUUGAUACACUUCUAUAUCUUCUGAUCUCGUUGACUUUCCUCUAUAUGCAUCCUUAAUAGAUUACACUCAUUCACUUAGUGCUGAAGAAGGCUAUAAGAAAGGUCAAAAAGGGCAAGAAACGGAAAUGCUAGUGUUGUCCCGUAGAUAGAAGAGAAGCCAGGUGUUGUCCCGUAGAUAGAAGAGAAGCCCGCGCACGCCCCUUCGUGUCAAGAUCAGAACUCGCUUUCCUAAUGUCCCAAAAGAAGAGAAAAGUAGAGUAUAAACAGAAUAGCCUCCUUUUAAGCGCUAACGAAGCUAGAACCAGCAAGUGCCUUCUGUCCUAAAUAAAUACUUGUUCUGGGAAGUUUGGAAUGGAAUUGAACCUAUGCAGCACCUGGAUUUCCACUAGAAUCAUAAGGGAGCGUAGAACAAAGCUUUGGCUCUUUCUUUCAACUAAUCAUCAUAAGGGAACCGGGGUAAGCGCGGGAAGGAACGGGAAGUAGACUCCAAAAUCAGCAGUGCCAGUGAAGUCGAUGAGAUCAGUAGCUUGAUCGGAAUAAGGUAAAGAAUAAGGAUCAUCAUAAGGAGCAAUAAAGUCUAUCGGAACAGACGCAAGAGCCCUUUUUGUAAGUUGAAGCUAUAAGCGGUUCUGAACGGAUAGUCUAGUUUGGGGUAUAGUAGUAGCUUGGAAGUUUACAGAGUUAGAGGAUAAGACGGAGCCUAGUCUGUAGCAAGUGGGUUAGAUAAGAGUCCAGGGCUAGUUCCUGUGAUAAAGUAUGGUGAGAAGAGUUCGGUUCGGGUGCUAGUGUUAUAUCAACCGGGCUUUCCCCUUGUAUACGAGUUAGGCUCGGAUGCUUGUGUUAAGCAUAGAAGAAAAGAUAUAAUUGUGUGGCUCUGAUCCCUACUUGGCCCCUACUUCAUUCAUGAUUAUCUUAUUAAGGAUUGAGUUUAGAAAGAUAGAAGCUCCACAGGGUCGGGGUUAAUAAAGAAGUGUUGUUGAUUCUUUACCGCAAUUAAGGUUAAGGCACUGGACUCAAAUCUACCUCAUUGGCAGCCUUCACCCGGAGUUUGCCUCUGACUAAGCCUUAGCUUCACCUUAAAAGAAUGCUUGGACUAGACCAGACCACAGAUCUUUUGUAAAUGAAAUCUUAUAAUCAGAACAGAAACUAUUGAUGGCCGAACACAGGACAGAGUCAAGGGAGGCUUCAUACAAACACCGCUAUACUUGCUACUUGGGCAUGAGAACUUCGAUUCCACUCUAAAAGAAAGAUACUUGACUGACUUUUGAAUCUCUAACACCAUGCUACCUGGCACCUGACCUAUACAUUACUUCUAAGCCUUAACCUGACUUUCUCACAGGCACUGGGGCAGCAGACUUUCCUCGCUCACACCUCGCAUCAAAGGCAUUCCAUCUAAACCUUCAUAGCUGUAAGUUUGAUCCUAUAUGAAGAAUUGGAAUUCAGGGGCAGAUAUCUAAGUGGUUUUCUACCUUCCUACGUAGCUUGUCACCCUCCGCUUGUCGUUUCUUUGUCGGUUUUUCUUUUGAGUUUAGCUGUUGGUAAAAGAGUUAAGUCGGGUCUUCUACUCCCUUAUUCUUACCCGGCUCCAAAAAGAGAAGUAAAAGCUCUAGUCUAGCUCUAGGUCUCGAGGCCUCCAUAAGAAGUCUAGGGUGCAAGUCCAGUAGUAUACGCUUGUUGGAUCAAGACUAACUUCCCCGGCUUCAGAUCUUGUUCCUUUAGUUUGAUACCCUCCCUUCCGUAGGAGUCCGCUUGCCCACUUGCUAUAUGGUUUCAGAAUUCAGUUAGAUGAGCAAGAUAAGAGUAGAGGUGUAGUUGCCUUGCCUUAGUGGGGAGAGUCGCUCUAGUUGAAUGAGUUGUCGAUUCAGAAAGGGAAGCUAGUAGUUUCUUUAUAAAGAGUUUCGUUGACUUACCCUAUUGCAGAGAAUGGGGGAACUCAUAUGAGUGGAAUUCUUUGACUAAUGAGUUUGAUUCUUUACUGAAGUACUUAUAGCUUAGCUUCCUGGCAGAAGCCUGAGUUCAAAUAGUCUCUUGAGCACCAGAGUUGGGUUAGUUGAAAGAAGUUAAUAGGCUAGGAAGGAAGUUAGUAGUUAAGUUAUGAAGGAAGUUAGUGGUUAUGAGGGAAGUUACUAGGCCUGCAUCUUAGGCAAAGGCAAAGAAAGCAGAUAGGGAGAAGAGAGGAGCAAUAAAAGUCUUAGCUGACAGAGCAAGAGGCGAGGUAGGUAAGGGAGUCCAGAGUCGAGGUUUAGUUGACAGCUGCUGUUCUUGUUCGAGGUGAGGCGUGUUGGUGCUGCCGAAUUACUAUAAGGUCCUGUUCUGGUUGAAUCCCCAGUGGAAUCCUUAUUAGUUGCCCGAGUUGGAUGAGCCAUAGGUAAGGUAGUAUAGUAGCAAUAGGGGUCUCAUAAGAAAGAAAGAAGAGUUUCAGACCGGAUAUCAGUUGGAAGUAGUGGUCCUGUCGAAUCUGUAUUAGUUGACUCCCCGGUAGAUGAGCCGGAGUGAGAUUCGAUGAGAGCAAUAACAGUAUUAGUUGACAUAGGUAUUGUAGCCAUAGUGAUAGUUGACAGAGAUAGAGUUGACUUGUCUACUUUCCCUUAUAUACAAGCGGAUUUACCCUUCCUUUCUUUGCCAGUGACUUGGCUGGGAUGAAACUAAUUCCCCUAUAGUAGUUUAAGAAUAAAGUAAAGGCUUUGAUACGAGGGUAGUUUACUGACUUAGUUGACAGAGCCAGAAGUAUAGUAUAAGAAUGAAGUUAGAUGAGCGCUAGGUAGGGUGCCAUGCCAGUACAGUUAUAGUCGUUGGUGAAUGAAUGAAAUAGUCGUUGGUGAAUGAAUGAAAAUAAGGGGUGGAGUCUCUUAGUAUUGGUAGGAGAGUCUUAGUUGCUGUUCUCUUAUUCUGAGUAUUAGACCUACUUCCUUGUAUUAGUGCUGAUAUCCCAGGAAACUGUAUUUGUAUUAUAAGUAUUAGACCUAAUUCUUUGUAUUAGUCCUCCCUGUGUUUCUCUUUUGAUUGAACUUCAUUCCACAGCCAGGCAGAGGGGCGGGGUAAUGUUUAACUCAAAGCUUACUCAUACUUAUUACUUCACUGGCAUAACUCCCAAUACACAACAAAACGAGUUUCUUUCUUUUUAUUACUUAACUCUACUCUACUACUCCGCACCGGCAUAUUCCACUCUUUCACUUAGGGCAGCUGACCAACUUAUCAUAUUUCUAUAGCCUGUUCCUUUGCCGACCACAACUCUACUAGGUUAGCCAAUAACUUCUCUUGCAGACGCUGCAGAACUAUCAUUGGAAGACCCGCUUGCUGUUGAUAACUUGGAUUAGGCUCCUUAUAAAGAUACUGAUUCAGUUGUCGAUGUCUACUUUCAAUCUUCUGCUUAAGGGUGUGGGUUGAGGUUAGUAUUAAUUAUUCCAGAGAUGAGAUUAGGCUUCAGUUUACUUUACUUCAUACACUUCGACAAAAGUGCUUGUGUUGUCGGUGAAGAAAGGAUGGUUCCGGUCUUGGCUUGGCUUAGAAGAAGAAUGAUUGUUCCCACCCGCUUCCCUAUUAUAGAUGUUGGUAACCAACCGGCGUGCUCUCUCUUUGCCUACCUAGUGCUCGAAACUCAAAUGGUUGAAUGAAACUAAGCUUUAAUAGAGACCUUAUAGUAAGUCCCUUAUAGUAAGUUAGCUUGUGUUAAGCAAGUAGUAAAUAGAGAAUAUAGGACCUCCUGAGGAAAUAGAUAAUAUGGGACCAGUACAAGCAGAUGCCCUUAAGUCAUUGGGGCAGGAGAGGAAGCUUAUUACUUCAGAAAUAGGAUUAGGAACAGGGCAAAGUCACUACUGGACAAGUAGACCAGCUCAAUAGAUCUCAUUUCUAUCUGAUAUAGGAAAACGGAAGCGGCAGCCGCUCUAGAUUAGGACUCCGGGCCAAUCAACUACUUAGCUCAGGGCUUUCAACCUACCACUCCACUACAGCAGCUGGCUUUCAUCUUAGCUCUGCUCUUUACUUCCCCGAACCCCUUUCCCUGUCCUAAUUGGGGUGUGAACCUGCAUUUGAUUCCCGAGUUGCCGAGUUGGGGCAAGCUAUUAGUUUCUUUAUAAAGAAGAGAGUUUACUUAACUACUGUUCCUGCUCGAGUUGCAUCCCCGAGUUUCAUCUGUAUUUGUUUACAGAGGUGGAGGAGCAAUCAAUGGAAUAGUUCUUAAAGCCAUCAAUAGUGAGUAAAACGUAUAGGAGCUGGUAGUAGUUAGUUACUUGUUUCGCGUACAGUACGAGUAGGAAAGUGAGAAUUCCCUUGGAAGGGCAUAAAUCUAAGUCCGGCGGUUAUGAGUAUAUAUAUAAGUCCAACCACUAAAAGAAUUGCACUCCAAGUAAAGGACAGAAACGGGUACUAUCUAGUGCAUUACCCAAGCUGGUACUAUCUAGUGCAUUACCCUAUCUAAAGCUGGUACUAUCUAGUGUAUUAGGUAGAACACUUAGAAUGAAAACGACUGACUUGUAUAUCAAGGGCAAUCUCUUCUCUUCUUGCAACUAAUACUGAAUCAACUGGACCACUACUUGAAGGCCCUGUUCUGGAGAGAUAGUAGUUAAGGUUUGAUGCUCAGCAGAUAUAGUAGGCUUUGCUUUCAGGCAAGCGUAUACUAGUUUCAUCCCGGCCAAGUCACUAAGGGCCAAUCAACUACGGGGCCUUAGUUUCAAAGUUAGAGACAAGCAACUACAAAUCCUCAUUUUAGUAUUCGUGGCGUUAGCGAUCGGUGGGAUUCGGUUGGUUACUUAGCUCUAUUAGGCGGAGCUCAUUCUGAAGUUUGCAUUUCAUUCUGACUUUAUGGUUGAGUUGAGAUCCCUUGUAUUAUAUUUCGAGUACCCAUCGAACAGGAAUUGGAAGAAUGAUGGUAUCAACCCAUCGAACUGGAAUUGGAAUAAUGAAGAUAGAAACCCAUCGCAUCGAACAGGGAUGGGCAGAAUUCGGGUUGGUGGAAGGAAUACUGACAGGAGUGGUGAGUUGACUUACUGGUAUUGUAUAAGAAUUCACCUAGUUGUCGACUUGCCUAGGAACACUAGCUAAGGAGCCCCGGGGAUUGAACCGUGUUAUGAUUUCUUAUGUUAUGCCAAAGCGUAUAUAGGCCUGAUCCUAGUAUGUUAUGCCAAAGCGUAUAUAGGCCUGAUCCUAGUAGCUCGCAUUCAUACUUACUAUUUUCUGCGUCAAAUAGAGAGUUGGAUAACGAAACCAACAAAAGGGUCCGUUUUUCUCGAGUCUUCUUGGUCGGCGAAGAGUCAUCACAGAUAUCCUAGUUUUUCUUUCGUCAAUCAAUUCUAUUAGCACCUUCGGAUCUGGAAGUUAGGAUGUUCUAGUUACAGAUGAAUGGAGGGGGCUUUCCGAGUCCAUAAUAUGGGAAUCGCUUGUUAUUUAGCCGACUGUGCACGACACUCGAAAGGGAGGGGGCGUAGAGUAAGCCGCUUCACCUUCUUGUACUAACUUAGAGCAUUACUAACCCAAAGCAAAGCCAAUCCUUUAGGGCAUUAGCUAGAACCAGAUAACUUUGGCUUGAUGGUAAUUCACCAUCUCAGUGAUAAAGUAGUCUGCUGCAAGCGAGGAAAGAAAUCAUAUUACUCCGCCGCUACAAGGCCUUAGAAACCUAUCCCUUAUUACCAAUAUUCUGCAUUUGAAGUCGUGGUUUCAUAUCUAUCGCUCGCAAUUCUCCAACUCUCUUCUUUAGUAGAGGACCGGAGGGAAGGUAGAAAACUACAGGUUUACAAUUGAUAAACACAGGCCAAGCUACAUCCUUAUUAUAUGGCAAAAGUGAGUAAUAACAGCUUACUUGCUCACCCAGUGCUCUUAACCAACCAUAGCUACGUUUUCAUCAAUCUCGUUUCUUUGGGUGCUUCAGAAAGGGGAGUUGACUAUGACCCAUUAUCUGCAUUAGUAACUGAGGUGCCCUAACUAUAUAGUACUGAAGUGCAGAAUUGACCUCGCCUCUUGCUCUUGCUCAUCUACUUCGAAGUUAUUCACAAGUACUGUAUUUUAGGGAAUGUUUUCAACUGCGAAAUCUAAUAUGAAUUGGAAUUAAAGGGCAGAUUCCAGGGCUGAUAUAUAAGUAGUUUAAUACCUUCUUUCAUCUUAGAAAGAAAUAGAUAACCACAAAGAGAUAGGUAGCUUUCAAAGGGAGAUAAAGAUUCCACUUGCUUUCCUUUUGCCUGUUUAUUGACUUUAUUGGAAUCAGCAGUUAGAGAAUCCGCUGUGCGAGUAAAGUCUCCAAGAGAGGAGUCGGGUGCUUGCCAAUCAGUAGAGAGAAAUAUAGGGUCCUGUGUUGAUGCUCCAGCUCUAAGUCGGUAGAUGAGACUGUAGGUCUGUUAUGAAAGUGAAGUUCAAGGUCUGUUAUGAAAGUGGAGUUCAAUUGUCUAGCUCCUCCUGUGUUCCUGUUCGAGUGAGAGUUUAGGUUGGAAAUGCAGAAAGUCAGAAUGAAAGUAGAUGAGCCAGAGGUCAGAGGUAUAGUCGUGACUUGGCCUCCGCUUGUGGAAUGACUUGUUUUAUUCCAUGGGCAAGGUAGUAGGUAAGAAAGGUAGAGAAUAGAGUUUACUUAACACCUUAGGAAUAGCUGAAUUCAAUGAAAAAGAAGUGCAAUUUCUCAUAUACCAACACAGUAUACACAUAGUAGGGGAAAAUAUAGGAUAAUUUGGACUCUUCUUAUAUAGGUGAACGGAUUCUACUCUGAAUUCCUAUACGAGGGCAGGGUAGUGAAAUCACAAAUAGGGCAAUUCCGUAGUUAAAGAAUUUCACAAAUAAGGUAUCGGCUUUGAAUCAGUAGAAAGAGAAUCAGCAGUGCCAGUUACAGUUCUCAAGUAUGGUUAUGAGAGGUCGAUAGGUAGGGUCGGUCGGCAAGGGAACCAGUUCAUAGUUGUAAGAGGGAAGCAGUUCAGGAGGUAGGGUCGGGGUUAACACUUAUAAGAGAUAGGCUCGGGUAGUUUACCUAGGCUCGGGUAGGCUUUUUGACUUACUUGGCGGGUAGGUUUACUUACUUAGUUGACUUACUUGCUUUUUCAUCUGUCUUUGUUUACAGAGCCAGAGUGGAGGUCGGGUUAGUAGCUAUAGGUACAGAAUAGAGGUGAAGUUACAAGUUAUAGCCAGAGCCAGAUAGGGAUGAGAUCGAGGUCAGUUAUGAUUAUUAGUGGGAAUACCUUUAGUUGUAGUCCAGGUAGUAGUGGUCCAGGUUGCCAACCCAGUGGAAUCUGUCUUUUGACCCCUAGUUUCAUCGUAUCUAUAGGCAGUGAGAAAGUAUGGUGUGUUGGUGCUCUAGCUCGAGUAUAGGCUUGCCCCUGUUCAGUUCUAAGGUAUCUCAUGGAUGUGGGUAAUUCUAAAGAAAAUAGAAAGAAACUAGAGCCAAGUAGUGCUGUUAAAGAGGUGGGCAAGGGAGGAAUCAUACUAUACGGAUCUAAAGCAUAAGCCGGGUGCCCUUAUGAUUAUUAGUUGAAGACCUGAUUGAGAGUGAGAAAGUCUGGUGUUGCGCAAGAAGGAGCCAAUGGGAUAGAUAAGAUCCCGACUACUUAUUAUAAGUAAGGGCGCUAAGAUAAGUUAGUUCAAUUCUGAUCUAGUAGGCGACUCCCCCUGCUUUAAGUCUUAUACUCCCUAGGUGCUUUAAGGCUUCUACUUACUAUAUGAAUUCUUUGCCUACUGAGCUGCAUUCUGACUUUCCACUGGCACUCCUGGCUCGUUGCUUGGCCCCUUACUUGCUGGUUCUAUUCUGAUCUUAGUACUAGGUGUGGCAUUGCAGUAAGUCAACUCCCCUUCCAGCUUCAAAGCCUUCUACUGACUAGCUGGCUCUAAGGCUUAUACUCACUACUUGCAUUCUGUAAGGGACACUAAGGGGUCUUCUUCAACUCCACUUGAAACUUGAAACAAGCAAAGCUGCUGGCAACCUCUCCUCAAGCGUAUACUACAGGGCUGGGCUCGCUUACCAAAUCAUUCCACUUGCUACUCUCACUCGAACAGGAGCAGAACUACUCGACUCUCACCUAGACUCAAAGCCGGAGUCCUCUUCAACACCCGACACCUACCUCGUAAUAGAAUUCCCUGGACUGACUCUGAUUACCCACAUCCAUACUCAAAACUCUUAUCCAUUAUUCCUAAGCUUGUUUAUUGUCCUGCUUACCGCUUUCUUUUUUCUACAUUAACAGCUUUAGAAGGAAUUCAUUCCGCCUCGAACUCACCUCUUGACCCUUGCGUAAGCUGAAGACUGGAAUCCAACUCGCUAAGCGUCAGCACCUAUAACGUUAGGGCAACUGAUCUCCCUGAACUCGCCUUUAUUCAUCGCCAACCGUAAUAGAAGUGACAACUGGUUCUUAUCCAUAGAUGUAGUACCCAUUCUCAGAGGCUUGUAUUUGAUAUUACUUGUUUCUAUGCGCUAGAUAAAGUACCUUUUGUUUCAUGAUGACAUUGCAUUGGAUUUCUGAAUUAAAGUAAGGAGCACUCGGUGAGGUUGGUUGGCGAGAGGGAUGGCAAUUCUUAGUUGUUAGAUCCAUUUCUUCUCCCUUCUUCGCUCUUGCUUGUUGACUUCUCUUCUGGAACUCUCCUUUCAGUAACUUACAAUAAGGGCCUCCACAUUCCUUCCCGAAUUAUAUAUUAGGCCUUCUCUAGCUCUAUCUUCGGUUUCUUAUACAUGUGUGAGUUUAGUUACAUCCUAUAUCCCUUAAUGCAGAGUUGGGAUAAGUAGUGAAUUCCAAAACUAUGACUUUAAGGCGGAAGGAGUUGGCUAAGAGCACUAGGCUGCUGGAGUUAUAUUCUUAUUAGUUGUGGGUUCAUAGUAGCUAAGUAUACGCUUGGCCCCUUACAGCUUACUUAUAUUAUUUAGCUCCACUAUAAGGAUUACUUUACUGUAUAUAAGGAUAGAGCUACUGCUUCUCUUCUUCAUAAAAGAAUAGAGAAUAACAGUAGUUAGUAUAAGAAUGGAUAGGUGGCGUAAGGUAUCAGAACAGCCUACUAACCAGUCAAGGAAUGAAAGUGUCUAGACAUAAUAAAACAAAGAGUUAGGGCAUACGGGAGUGGAAGUACCAAUCCAAAAAAGAGAACUCGGGAAUCAACCGCCAAGCAACGGCCAAGCUGACAGGCAAUAAACUACUUACUUAGGCCAAGCCGACAGGCAAUACGGAACUACUGACUAGUUCAAUUCUUAGCUUUGAGCGAACACUACCCCGACCUCUUAUAAGUGCCCGACCCGAACUAACUCUAUCUCCCAGCUACAGCUUCUAAGGCUUUCAUUCUUGUUAGCACUAGCUCAAGUCUGAUACUUCACAGUUGCAUUCUUAAACUUAGCAGCCCCAACACAGGACAUAGCUUCCCUCGCCUACCUCGACUCGGGCAACUCAGUCAACUAAUUCUGAUUUCUUACCCCGACCAGCUCCAUUCUCAUACAUACGGGUUCGAGCCUGUAACUCACUGGUUUGGUUCUAUGACUCCCGGGAAUAGACUUGUAUUCUUACUUCACCACAACACUAGCACCCAAUACUGAAGCUUCAAAAGGUGGUUGAGGCCUCUUUCUCCUUCUAGCCAACCCUAGUACAACUCAAAAGUCAAAAGAAAACAUAUCAUAUAUACUCAUAUCAUAUAUACUAAUAUUUAUUCAAAGAGGAGGAGGACUUCCACUUUCAAAGAGGAGGAGGACUUCCACUUCCACUCAAUUACUUACCUAAACUAAGUACUUACCAGAACCAUCAAAUUGACAUUACCCUCAUUGCUUAACACAAGCACUCGACCCUGUCCUGAGUUAACCUUCAUUUGAGUCAAGAGUUUCACCUGUGUUCAUUGCUUUGAUACGAGAGUUUCACCUGUGUUCAUUGCUUUGAUACGAGGUGUCCAGAAAGAGUCCGAUAACACUCACUUCACUCGCCCAUCUCAUGGGAAUGUCGUCUAGGAAAGGUGCUUGGUUGCUCCUUCCUUCCUUUCUGAAUUGAGUGGAAGAGGGUAAUAAUUGAACUCCAAGGUCAGAAACAGAGGAAUUAGCCGAGUAUGAUAGAAGAAAAGAAGGUAUAACUUCGUGCCCCUUCCUUUCUGAAUUGAGUGGAAGGUUGCAUUUCAUAAUAGAACUGUCAGCAAUAAAUAAAGAAUGCAAUUCCAAAGUGAGAGUUUACCUCCUUCUCGCUAACCGCCAAGCUUAGUAUAAUGUUGCGCGGCAGUUGCCAACUCUUUCCCGCCAACCGACCGAGUUCUCUUACAAAGUAUUCAACUUUCAGGUAAUAACCAGAGUGCUGAGCGAGGUCUGCUAGAAGAAUAGAUGGAAGAGUCAAGUCAUAAGAGUAGUAAGAUAUCUAAAAGAGUCAAGUCAUAAGAGUAGUAAGAUAUAGAUUCAACGUCUGCUAGAAGAAUCUAAUAAUCAAGUCAGAAGUAACCUCGAAACGAAGAUGGCUACGCAUUAAGAGAUAAAAGAAGUCACAAACCCAGUACCUUACCUUCCCUUAAGACAUGAUCGACUACAGGAUCAGAAGCGUCAAAAGCCGGAUCCGGUGAAGCAUCAAGCGGUUCCUUUCCUUAAGUGGAGGUCGGUUCGGGUAAUAAAGUGGAGUUCCUUGAGAUCAAAGGAGGCCAGGCCAGUUCCAGUUACAGUUCUUGUGAAAUAUCAGCUAAUGGAAUUGUAUAAAGAAAGAAGAUCAUCUCUUUUCUUUGCUUUGCGGCAGAUAUAUAAGUAGCCCACUACACUCCGUCGGUGAAGUUGAAAGCUGCUGGUAUUUAGGUAUAGGUAGAGGCCAGUGGAGUAUCUAAUAUAUAGUCAAGGUUAUAAGAUCAAGAUUCCAUUCCAUAGUACAGGUCAUAAGAUUCCCUAGUCAAGGUAAUAAGAUCAAGAUUCAAUUCCAAGAGGAGAGUGAACAGUAAUCGGUUUUUCAUGAGUUUCAUCCAACAAGCUACUACUAGACGUUGAGCCCGAAAGACCCAAUUCCGUAUUAGUUGACUCUGCACUUCAGGAAUAUGCGCUGAAGAAGGGAAGAAAGAAUAGAUGCCUUAAAACAAGCAAAUCUUACAAGACAAGCCGACUAGUAAGUCAUAGAAUAGUAUGUAGAAGUAGAAUACUAUGUAUGGUAGCUGGUCGCGGGUAACUAACCUACCCUAGUGCUCCUUCCUUGUUUCAUUCAGUAUAAGUUGGCGGGUCUACAAGUUCUUUCUUUUGAGUUCGGGUGCUAAGGCUAAGCAAGUUCCAGUGCUUUUUCUGGCUUACGUUGAGGUCGGAUAGCUCUGUGGAGAUCUCCGUUUGAUAAGAAGCCUCAUCUCAUGCCCACUCAGCAGUUAAGCGGUCAAAUUGUCUGUAAGUCAUACUUUCCCUGCGCUCUAAAGGAAAGAAUAUUCCAUUGAGUAUAGAUAUAGAUAAGAUAACUUACUUAUAUACUAUGGCAAGAAAGAACAAAGAGUACUUCUUUCUUCAGCGUCAAGUUAAGUCAUGUUAGGCCCAGCCCAACAAACAAGCUUAGGUGAGCAUAAGGGAACAAAAGAGAAGAGAAGGGUUUUGGUGUAUUCCUAAUAUAUAUAUAGCAUAAGUUCAAUUAUCUAGUAUAAGUGCAAUUACAAUUAAUAGAUCCAUUUCAUUUGUGGAGCUUUUCGAGGGGCAAAGAUAGGGAAUUUCCAAUAUUGCUAGAGUCGAGUGGAUUCGGCUUACUUAUACGAUGAAACGGAAACUGGUUAUGCUGCUGCACAUUAGAAGAAAGACUUCCUUCUCCUUCUCCUGCUACACCGAACCUAGAUUUCACUAGCCCUGCUUGUCAUCUCGGAUAAAAAACCAUCCCAGCUUCUUAUUAAAUAGGAUCUUGAACUGGGCGAACUGGAACUCUAACUGAACCUCUCCCCUCUCCUGUAACUGAGUUCUACACUACCGUUACUAUAUAUAUUCUAUUCCACAAUUCUCUUCUUGUGGUGAACAGGACAUUAUUCAUCUCUUGUGGUGAACAGGACAUUAUUCAUCGCCAACAACAAUAACUCCUUACUCUACUUACUCGGAUACUGCUGAUCAAGCUUUUUCUCUCGGCGGCCUUUCGCACUUAACUGCAAUGCAACAUUUCAUUGAAUCUCUGUUAGCGCUUACAACAGAUCCGUUAGCUCCCCAUUAUACAAAGCUUGUUCGUUCGGUUCGGUGCUUGCUCUUUCGAAACAGCUUGUCCAAAGAAUUUCGUGCACAGUUCCAUUGCUUAUAGAAGAGUGUAAAAACCGAAGUUCUGCUAACGAACAACUGUCCUCUGUCCCUCAAUCCUAUGAGAAGCAUGUCCCUGAGUUGCUUUAAUAAUUGAGUGCAAAAGAAAGAAAUAGAGAGGCACACGUUGCUCUUUAAUCAAAUUCUAUUUGAGAGGCACCCGUUGCUUUAAGAUUGUCAUCUUGAUUGGCAGCUGCUAAGUAAAGAACUCCCGUAAGCUAUUAUAAUGGCCUGAGUCAAACAGGCAAAGUCAAGCGUCUCAGCAGAGUCAACUCAAAGAUGGAAAUUGGACGUUAGCACUUCGCUUGCUGCUUCCUUUCGCACCCCAAGAUAUCAGUAAUCACUGAGAGCUUCAAAGCCAGCCGAAUAAAGGACAAUGAAUUUCACUUGCCCGAACCUAUCUCUCUGCUCUGGUAUACUUCCUUCACUAAACCCGGCUUGGUCAUUAGUAGUUGCUUGGUGACUCGAACCACAGCUUCUAAGCAUUAAGCUCUAACCCUCGGGCUGACUUUUGACUUCAUCUAAUUCUUCCAAUCAAUACCGAAGUUCUUUAUUUUUGACUAUAGGUUGGUCUGCCCCGGGGUGAUAAAUAAGGCUGGCAUUCCUAUGUCCUAUUAUUAGGCAUUCCCAUGUCCUAUUAUUCGGUAUGCUAUUUUGACUUCUGUUAUUCUUAUACUACAAACUAUAUAGGUGCUGAAAGCCUGCCGCCAAACAGGCUCAAAUGACUAAUAAGUAGAAUCAAACGGGUACUUCUCUGACUUGAAACUCAUAGCCGGGAAGUCCACUACGGAUAACAAGAGUUGAACCACAGCGACUCGGGCUUCUACCCGGGCCAAGCUACUUAUACAAUUAUUAGACUCGAACAGCAGCUUCUAAGAAUGCAACAAGGGCUUCACAUAACAGGAAUGAACCAAGAGUAUAUGAGUCCAACUAGCAAGUAAGGUGUGUGCCCCACGGUACAAGACAAAUAGGAUCAAAUACAGAGAAUGGAACCAAUAUCGAUGAGAGUGAAAACACUUCCAAACGCGGCCAGGCAAACGACUAAUUAGAAUCGAGCAGGCAAUAAUGGAUAUGAACCGGGCAUAUGAUACUGGCAUCGGGGCUAACAAGACCUUACCUCACACCCGGGAAUGCAAAGAGUGCUUCCAAUACCGAUACUACUUCCUAAUUGCCUCUCCUUACUCGCUUUGAUUCUCUCUUUUAUUAUGAUAUUCAGUAAGAAGUUAUCUUAUAUGAAUUUCGACUCUAUUUAUUAGUAGUUUGCUUAGCGAAACUAGUUUCAAAAGCACAAUCGGUAUUCUCUUAUCAAUUUCUAUGCUUGUGCCGAUGUGAAGUCCAAUCUUUUCUCUUAUCUUAAUUACUCUUAUCAUCGAUGCAUACGGGACGGUCCUGCCACCUACUCGGCCAGUGGCCCUUACCUCUUCGAUCUGUUGCCCGACCACUAAAUGAAUGAGCUAUUAUACUAUAAGAAUGGGCUAUGUAUCGCUUUAACUUAAAUCCAAGAAUCGAGCUAAUAGGAAAAAGCCUUCCCUUACGACACUCAAACCUUGCUCACUGCCCUCACUUUCACUCUCAAACUACAAAAUAGAAGAAUUGGUCCAUCCGCUAGGAACUCUACUAGUGCUGACUGGACUGCUGCCGCUAACUCCUAUUUUGACUACCAUGUCGAUAAGUCUGUCCUGCCUUACUUGCAAACUCAAAAAACACUUCCGAGGUCGAAACCACCACGAAUAAUAGAAUGGAGCUACUGGAAAACAGGCUUACUGUCCUUUUGGGCUUGUUCUUUCUUUAGCUUAUCGCCGGAUCCUUGCUUUACGUGCCUUCAACCUUAUACUUAUGCUAGUUAGUCAGUCUGCCUAUCCACUGUUACUCCCCCGGCUUUCGUUCUUAAACAAGUGCUUUUCAUUCUUUCACUAAGGGUCUCGAACCUUGCUCCCUCCCUUUUCUUCUUACUUAUCUAUUUGAUUAUUAGAUUCAGUACUCUUUUCUCUUAUACUAGAAUCAAGCCAGUGCUACCAAUACAGCGAAUCCAAAGCUUGAAUCCGACUAUUACUAACAAGAAUGGAACCGGGUAUACGGGACCCACUAAGGAGAAGGGAUCCAACCAAUAAUACAAUAGAUCGAACUGGUGCUAACAAGGAAAAACUAUACUAUAUAGAAAUGAGCUACUGUUGGAAAGAAUGGAACCGCUACCGACAUAGUGACUUAUCUUUCUGUAGCAAACAACAGCAAGUUCUUUUUCAUUGAACAAUAAGAGCUAUGGUUGGGGUGUUCUGUAUAAGUAACAGAAUCCAACUUAGCAGUAACAGACCUAAGCCCGACAAGCAACAGCGUAAGGACUCUAUUCAAGCUAAAAGACUUUCAGACGGGAGUUUACAUACUAGCACUCGCGCAUAGGCAUUUCAGACGGGAGUGGCAGGCUAAGGGGAGCAGCUGUAUUCUGCAUUUACUGUUACUAGUUUAGAGCGCUGGACUGUGUGCUACGUCCUUAUCCUUAUUCUGGAACUAAUGAGUUCAAUCCUGACCGUGUCCAUCCACGGCUCAUUCUCUGGUUUUCAUCCUUACCUACAGGACAAAUAGCAUCGGAUUCUCUUUCUUAUCAUAGCUUAACACAAGCAUCCGACCCUAACCCUUACUCUCCACUUGAUAACCUCUUGCUGUUGAUUUGAUAACUACUGAUUCUGUUGAAACUGCUCUAACAGCAGACUUGGCGGGCAAAGCAGUCAGAUUAGAAGACUUUAUAACAGCAGACUUGGCGGGUGAAGCAGUCAGAUUAGAAGACUUUCUCACUGCUGCCUCAUCUGAUACUGGAAUGGAUUUGAAUUGAGUCUAUCGAACACUAGAUAAGAAAGUAAAGAAACUGCUUCCCUCUCUUAUGAAUCAGAUCCAGAAGAAAGUAAAGAAACUGCUUGCUUCCCUCUCUAGAGAAAGAUUCAAUGAAUUAUUUGUUGAGUAAGGAAUUGCUUGUUCAUUUAAGUAGAAAGUAAAGUAGAAAGUGUAACCGAAGUGAAGUAUAUAGUUUUCAAUAAGAAAUGAGUUUUGAAGCAAAAGCGGAAGGCAAGCUGUUAGAUUGAAAGUAAGGAGUUGAGUAGAUUAUCUGGCAGCUCUAAGGCAAGCAGUAAAGUAUCAUCGUAUGAGACUCAAUUGAAACCCCCGGAAAGUAGCUCUGAGUGCUCUUCCAUUCAUAUGCUUCUUAUAUGUGUGAUGUGCAUUCAAUUCCGUAUUAGUUGAACAAGCAAGGUAAAGAAAUGGAACUGGAUUAGUUGAACAAGCAAGGUAAAGAAAUGGAACUGGCCAAGCACCAUCAUUUCCAAGCACAGCGGAUGCGGAUUCUCCUAGUUAUUCCAGAGUCCUAAUUCUAUCUGCCGGACUUAGAGCCCCAAACAGAUCUUGGAUUCUCUCUACUCAACUUGUUCCUUUGCUUAUCGAGCUUUGAAACAGGUAAGAUGCUAGGCUAAGAUGCACCAGAAGGACUGUUUCCGAAAUCCAUCAGCUAGGCACCUACGUAUAGUAGAACCGCUCCUUAGCGCAACUAACAACUAAGCUUGGCGAGCAUUUCUUUUGUAUAGUAAUUGAAGAGCAUUGCUAGCAGAAAAACAUCAAUUGAACAACUUCCUAAUACGCCGAGUCAAACAGUAAUGGAGUCUCUCUCUUUGACAUAUAAGUUCUUAAUUGCCCCAACGUUAGCUGAAUCAAUCGAGUCGAGCGCAGAGCUAUCAUAGCAUCUAAGUUAUUUGGAUUACCCCACUGGAUUCUGAUUAACCCCUUAUGAAAUCUAUUUCAUCUCGCAUUACCGGCUUCAAUCUAUCUCCUAUUACCGGCUACCUUUUGCUUCCUUACUAGCAGGAUAAGGAUUGCUUCUUCCAACUUAUUGUUCUGUUGCAUGUUAAGAAGAUCUUCUAGCAGGAAAAUAUAUUAGCUAUGAAGCUUAACCAGAAGGAAGAAGAAGAAGUGCGAAGUUCUGACUCAUAACCUUGCCUUGCUUUUUCUAUUUUGCAGUAGAAAGAUAUAAAGCAGUGUGAGCUCCCGAAUAAGCUAUUCGAGGAAAGGAUUCUCAAUCAGGUGGUUCAAGCGGGAUCUGGAAAUAAUGUUUCUGUUCGCAAGGAAAGUAACGUUCUAGGCAAGUAAACGAUAGAAUCAGCGUCAGUUCAAUCUCAUUCUGCACUAACGGGGAGUUCUCUGAGGCUUCUUAACCAGUAAGAUAUGGAUCUGAAGCGGGAAAGGUAGAGUUUCCAGAGUUGGUAUAGAAAUUGGGUAAUACUCAAUCAAUAUGCUUUUCCUCACUUUCGGAUAAAGGUAAUCAUCUAGUACUGUUGAAGCGGUAAGUACUUAAUACGAUUGUUUUCCAGUGCUCAAAGUUAUGAAGAAGUUUUAGAAGAUGGAUCAGGUAGGGAAGACGUAUUAGAUGUGUUCUCUUUAUAUGCUUCUAUACCGAGUGCUCGAUAAGAUAGAUAUGAAAUUGAAAGACGAUUAGAAUCCGGAAAGUCUGUGUAACUUGCCGAUACUAGUUCCAGGGCUAUAAGGUAAGCUCCUUGCUAGGAUGCUCAAGAGAAUCAUCUCUCUAAAUUGCAGACUCUUCGGGGUAUAUUCCUUUCUACUAUGGCAUAGGGAUGGCACUUCCUUGAAACUGUUNNNNNNNNNNNNNNNNNNNNNNNNNNNNNNNNNNNNNNNNNNNNNNNNNNNNNNNNNNNNNNNNNNNNNNNNNNNNNNNNNNNNNNNNNNNNNNNNNNNNNNNNNNNNNNNNNNNNNNNNNNNNNNNNNNNNNNNNNNNNNNNNNNNNNNNNNNNNNNNNNNNNNNNNNNNNNNNNNNNNNNNNNNNNNNNNNNNNNNNNNNNNNNNNNNNNNNNNNNNNNNNNNNNNNNNNNNNNNNNNNNNNNNNNNNNNNNNNNNNNNNNNNNNNNNNNNNNNNNNNNNNNNNNNNNNNNNNNNNNNNNNNNNNNNNNNNNNNNNNNNNNNNNNNNNNNNNNNNNNNNNNNNNNNNNNNNNCCCCCAUAUGCUAAGAAUGAAAAGAAAUAGACUCACGAACGGACUUUGAACAUGGAUUGGAAUUUGACUUGUCGUACCCGACCCCAUCCAAAGUGAUCCAAUGACUUUAUUAGCUUCUUUCUCACGUUGAGUUCUAAUCGAUACAAAGGACAGAGAUUGACAAGCCACUCAACAAACAAGCAAAUUCAGAAUCUCUUCCUUGGGUGGGGGUUAUUCCUCAUUUUAAUCCGAGACAACCGUCAGCAAUGGGGCUAGCUUCUCUUUUCGAGUGUAACUCUUCUCUGAUUAUCUAAGGUUGCACAGCUAUUAUAUAGAUAGUCUACUCCUCAGCGGAAAGAAAGAACCUAAUUAUGCUACUGGUACCUGUAUUCUUGUUACUCUGCAAAGAGCGCAAACGAGAAAGAAUGGUUUUAUUGACUAGAAAGUAGUAAGAAGGUAACUCGACUAGAAAGUGGUAAGGUAACUCGACUAGAAACUAGUAAGGUCACUCCUGUGCCCGUCGGGAAUAAUCCUUUUCUGAUGCUUGGCACCUGUCGGAGAACAUCUUUUCCUAACAUGGGUUGUAGUCGUUACAGCUAUGAAUGGUACAGAACUGCUUCUUUUUCUGACAAUGAAAAGUCAUAACUUAAGCAAAGUGGCAAAUAAGGAACCUUGUGUCAACCCGUCACCGAUAGUGGCCUAUGUUCCAAGAACCAAUGCUACCUACCAAUAAGGUCAUAACCUACCACUGAAACGAUGCCUGCUGCUGAGAAUGCUAAUAUUGUGCAAAAUGCACCUGCGGAGGUGAAUGCUGGUGUGGCUACUUGGCUUGGCUCGCCAUGAAAGCGGACUCUUUCCAAGGAACGUAAUGUAUCCUGUAGUAGAGCGCGAGCGAGAGGAAGAGAAAGGCGGAUUAUCAAAACAAGAACGAGAAGAUCUCGAAUAAGGAAAAUGGGGUUCUUUCGCAGCUAGUGGGUCCAAAAGACAUGAGAAAAGCAAGGUGCUGAAAGCCUUCACCCAUUUUCUAAGAUCUAUUGAGUGAGUAAGUAGUCUAUAACUUCCGUAUUCUCCUUCUUUGACUUCCCCUCCAAUUCUGCUCUAUAACUAAAGUCAUUCUCUAUCACUAAAGGCGCCUACCUAUUCUUAAAGGUGCCAACACACCUAUUGAUUUCUUGAAACCACUCGGCUACACACCUAUUGAUUUCUUGAAACCAUAGUAUGGUGCAUCGCAACAAACACUUUGUUUAGUAUCGCAUGGCACGCGCAACCACCACAUGGCCCAGAGAAACACACACACCAUACACAUACCCAAGGGAGAAACUUAGGACGUAGUGGAUCAUUCACCCAUGAAACGAUGGUAGUAUCGCCCCUAAAGUCAAUCGCUCGGUCAUUCAACGGUCGGUCGUCCCGUCCACACACUCAUUCAUAGCAAUGGUCAAUACACUCUGUCUUCGGGAGAAACAACGGUCGGUCGUCCCGUCCACACACUCGUUCUGUGCUCUGGUCCAGCAACUACGUCCCGUCUUCGGGCGUACGUAAUUAACUUAGUCUUCGGGCAACCAUCGGACCAAUCAUUCGCAGACCCCGAGGCACAAUUCAAUCAUGCAUUCAUAGGUAGGCGUUGUUGGGCACUAAAUCAUUCUUCCGGCAGUUCAUUCUUCCGGCAGUUACGCACAUUCUUAAAGUAGAACCGAUCAUUCCUCGGGCACCGUAGCUCACGCAUCAAAGGUUCAUUGGACAUCCUUCGCUUCGUGGGUGGGAGCAACAACAAUAAGGUUUCACAGGGGCAUUCGUUCUUUAAGUAACUACGCUCAGCCUCGGAGUACCUACGCUUAUUCUUUCCCUUAAGUGAACAUAGCAUUAAUAGGGUUGUUGUUCGUGCACCUACUCGUUUAGUAAGCGAUAUAAUUCACCAUCGGCGGCGCCAGGUUAUUAAGUGGGUUCGUUCUGCAAUAUAACUAUUUGCCCCCACUUAAUCAUUCUCAUUCUGAAAGUGACAUAAAAAAGUAUUAGUUGGCAUGGUCGGCGAACUCAUUCUUUUGCCUAGUUUCGGGGUAAGUUAACUCAUUCCUUCGGUGGGUUAACAAAUUAUUGAAGCUCCAAUUAACUCACUCAGUAAUCGAAGGUACCUUGUGGUUCAUUAAUAGAGCGGUCGGUCGUGCACCAACUCAUUCAUCGGUCGACACAACCAACGUGCAUGUGGUCGGCACCGCCACAACAAAUAUAUCGUGAUACAGAAAACAACUACCAUUUGAGAAUCCAAAAGUGAUAUAGAAGUCACCCUAAAACAAUGAACCUUUUCUUUCUACUCAAGUACUUAGCGAUGUAAACCUGGACCGGAUUUCUCUAAGGUUAACCCGAUUCGAAUAGCUUAUUUACUUAGCGCUGAAGAAGCCCAUAAGAGGUAAGGGCAAGAAGUGGAGUUACCUACAAGACAAGAAGUGUUACCGAAUUCAAUCGAAAACUUCAUUAGUAAACCUCGCCUAGUACUCUGUCUCACAAAUAGGAAUUAAGGAAUUGCACUCCUUGUAUAUACGGGCAAGCGCCACUAGGCAAGUAACUACUAACACCCGUAGCUUGGCCCUUUAUGAACAAGCCCAGUGUUUUAGCUAAAGUGAGUUCCUUAUUGAGUGGAACAUAGGUCUUACGGCGAGAAAUCAUGGUUUACAGCCCCAACCCCCUCCAGUAGUGGUCAAAGGAGAGUCGCUUUUGGUGCUUUUGUUCUCGAUAGGUUCUUGAUUGGCUUGCUCCUGCGCAGGAGUACGGUUUACUGACUGUUGUGGUAUCAAGAAGAAAUCAUACUUAGGUGACAGAUAGAGAAGGAUCGGAAGAAAGAGAAGGAUCUGAGGAAGGAUUAUAAGCAGGAGAUCACACUCUAGAAGGCAAUUAUCUAAGUAAGGCUUUCACACCAGAUGUAGAGCACAGAACUCCCGUAAGCUGAAGAAGGCAAGGCGGAUUUCCAAGUCCAAGCAAGAAGGUGCUAAGAGCCUCUUUCUCAUCGUUUAAGCAAGUCAGUUUAUAGGAUAGUCUCUUUGCCUGCUGGGUUUGAUCUUUAUCUUUAUGUGCUUUACUUCUACUCAACUUCUUGCAUUAACCACUUUACUUCUACUCAACUUCUUGCAUUAACCACUUUACUUCUACUCAACUUCUUGCAUUAACCAUAAGUGGGACGGACGGACUUUACUGUAUUAACUAAACACAGCUGUAUUAACUAAACACAGAAUUCAUUGAAUGAACAACUUCUCUAACAGACAGACAGAAUGCUUAGCCCACUACACGUAACGGAGCGCUUAAGGGAAUCAGAUAAUAAAGUACAGGUUUUCAGAAGCAAGAUCUUGAAAGUAUCUCGGGCGACAAGGAAUCCAAUAUGGAGUUUUCAAGUCCUGUUUAUAGUGUUAGUGAGCUCCCUUUACGAGAACUGGAGUCACCACUUAUAGCUUACUUUAGUCUUAACCGAUUCACUAAUGAAUCUUCUUACCCUGACCUUUUGCCUUAACCGAAGCACAGCUUCUAUCUUAGAUCUCAGAAAAGAGGAGCAGUGUGCAGUUUCAAGUCAAGUCUUAUCAUCUGGAGAAAAGGGAGGUCUGGCUCUUCCGCCUUCAUCUUAUCUUGUAUUCCUCGGUUCUCUCGUUUUCCAAAUUAGGAAACCCGGCCAUUGAGAUCUAAAGCUAGUGGCUUUCUUUGGGUAGCGAAUUUCCCUUAACCCUAAGGUUUCUCAAGUGUCGCCCUCCUUAUAAGUGAGUUGAGUAUAUUGUUUCAAGUAAUGUUAUUCCAUUAUGCUCUUAAAGGGUAGAGCACAGUACCUCCAUUCUAUCAUAUGCACAUCAAUCAUAUUCUUUCUUUUCUGUAUUACCUAUAACUAUCCCUGCUCCAUGGGUCAAUAAGUGAAGUGAUAGCGCCUAAUAAGCUUGUUUGCUUGUUGAGUCAAAAGAGCUGUUAUUGGACUUCUUUCCUUGGCCUUCCAUAUUUGGUGAACUACUCAAAUACGACUCUACAAUAGUUGCUUCUUAAUAGCAAGAAGCACGGAAGCGGUUGCCUAAAUGAGAUUGGUGGUGCCGUAAUAAUAUGGAGGUGCGUAAGUCGAGGAACAGGGAAUACGUUUCAAAUACAACACAUGAGUUACUGGACAUGCGCGAGUUUUAUGUAUCCCAUUUGAUUGACCACCUACAUCUUACUUAAUGUCGAUGAAUCUCUUCCAUGAUCUUCUUUAAAUGAGAACCCCCUCGAGAGGUAAGUCAAACCAAACCUUUAACAAUCAAAUAUGUAGCUAUGAAAAGGAAGAUAUUGACUCUUAGGAAGAUAUUGACUCUUGGUAUAUUAUUAGCAAUCGCUUGACUCUUGGUAUAUUAUUAGCAAUCGCCUGAAUCAACCAAGCAAUGUCUAAUAGUCUUUCUCCAAUAAACAGUACUAAUAGCAUAUGCAUUGAGUUUAAUAUGAAGUCUACAGAAGCAAGAAGCAGGGGCGGUUCUUCUAUUCUCUCAAGAAGCAGGGGCGGUUCUUCUAUUCUCUAUAGGCAGAGGGGCCGAAAAGGCGAAUGAUUCUCUCUAAGAUUCCAGACUAGCUUCCAAUGAUCCUAUACACGGUUUAGAAGGGGGUCGGGUCGCAACGAGUUGACCAUGAACUGGUGAAUGAGCUGUCUUGGGAUUGGAGAGAUAGAGUACCUGACGGCGUAUGAAUCUGUCUCUUCGAAAGUUAUAAAUGGGUGAGUUUUAAGGAAGCUCCUUUCUUCAAGUGAGUUCUUAGUAAACUUAUUGGACAGAAGAGCCUCCCUCUUGAUAUAGUAGCAUAGUGGCUUCCCACUCUUAGUGUUAUUUUGAGAACAGUUGUACCGGCACAUUGAUUUCUCAAUCCUUACCUCGCCAAGCUGAUCCACAGAAGCAGCGCUUUGACUCUCAUCUCUCUUUCCGGUGUGUCUUGUUCGCUCCGUUUUCUUUCUUUGAGUUGGCUUUCUAAUCCUCUUUAUGUUUCUUGUUUGCCAAAGAUAAGUAAGCAGGAUGGAAAGGAUCAUUUCUAUCAUAGGGACAUUAAUAAGGAUUGUGAUAGAGGUCCUUAUUAGCCAAUACAUUCACUUUCGCUUAGAUAGAUUUAUGGGGAAUACGAUCUAUUAUUGGAAACCUAUGUAUCGUAAAGCAAGAUUAAUGGGAACCUAUGUAUCGUAAAGCAAGCCCUAUACCACUUCCUUUAGCCAUUCAGAGCGGGCAAUUCAAUCAAAACCACUUAUUGCCUUCUAGAUAGGACCUAGGAGUUUUUUAGAGUGGGGAGAAUAAUCAAAACCGAAUAAGGGACAGAGAGUGGAAUGAAUGAUGGUUUUCCUAAUUGCAUUCGUAUUUCUUCUUGUGUGGACACCACCGAAGAAUCAAAGUCAAAGAAAGAGGGUGAAAGGCGCUUGCUUACUGUCAAAGCGGAAAGCACUUUCAAGUCAUCAGUGCUAUAUCGGACCGAUCUUCUUUAGUCCGGGUCAUCAGUAAGGUCGUCCUGCCUAACCCUUUACUCCGAGCGAGUUAGUAUUCAUUCUAAUAUGAGCAGAUGGGCAAGCUUCGUGCCUUGGAAAAGAGUCUUGCUCAAAAGAUCCAAUAUUAGGGUAGGGUACCAUAUGUAGAAAGUGUUAGCGGGAAAGCAAGGUCCGGCCAUAUGAUGCAAGAUUGAGACAGUAAGAUGCACACUAGAUCCAUUAAAGGACAGUUCCUUAAACACACACUGGAUUACCCUUAUAGAAUAUCUGCCCAGAAUAGAUAGAAUAGCUCCGGCCAAGAAAUUAGCACAACACAAAGAGAGGGAAAAACAAGAUACGAGACUAGAAAACGUUACCCUUACAGGGGUCCUGUCCUGUCCUAGCUUAUGUUCGUCUUCCGUUCAUUUGAGUAUACUAACAAAGGCUUCUCUGUCUGCCUUUAUAUCUUUUCCUAGGCUAGGAUUAUUAUCCCGAGCAGAGUUCGGCUGUGCUAGCUGGUUAGACAGUAGCUGCUCCUACAGCCCUUCUCUUGACUACAGGAACAGAGAGCGAACUGUUAGCAUUCCUAUACCCAUAAGUGUAUUAGUAGGUAAGAAUAGGAAUUGGACCUGAAGAAUGGAAUGUUGAAUGAGAAACUGCAGAAUCAGAGUUCUUGCUUUGUCAACUCACUCCUCUCCUAUUACUUACUUCGUGCCCUCUCUUUUGACUUGUGCCAUGUAAUCUUUGCCCUCUAGCUCUCUUUUCUACGUCAUAAUCAAGAUUCCAAAGGGAAGCCGUAAAGUACACAGUGAGAACAAUCAACGGAACAAGCUUAUUGUGUUAGGAGAGGAGGAGCUUAAUAAGGAAGCAAUGCUCUUAAUUGACUCUAUUUUCUCUUAUAGAAUGUGUGCACUCAAUGAAGAAGUUCAAUAAGGCUGUAAGCAGUCAGGACAGGAGUAAGGAGUGAGCAGUGAUUUUCUCUACUAUUCGAGUUGGUAAGUGAGCGCAGAGUGCUUUUACUGUGCUUACUUUGACUAGAAUCUAGAUUGUGUACGACUUAAACACCACUUAAAUGAUUAAAGCAACGGCGGUCCUACAAGGGCAGUAAGAAAGUACCAUAUGUCUAGCCUUCAAUGUUUGCCUCAAUUCUCUUCUUUUUCACUAGAUUCUAUUGCUAUAUCCAGAUUCCAUUCAAACAAUCAACUUGUUGUCUCGGGGAACAAGCUAAAUUCAGUAUACUAUGUUCCCUUGUUCUAACGUGAGGAAAGAAAGUAAGCAAACUCCCUAACACGCCCCAAAACCCCAGAAGUAAGCUAACGCACGCCGACUUGGCUUGUUCGCCCAUAUGAUAUCUAUUAGGAAGCAAUGCUCUUAGUUGACUUCAAUUAGGAAGCAAUGCUCUUAAUUGACUUCAAUCUAUGAGUGAUGCAGCCCUCUCCUAUUUUCUUCAUGAUAUUGCCCUUGUAGCAUGUUAGUUUGUUAUACCUGUUCCUUUACCUUCAAGCAGUAACUACGAUUGACUCUUCCAGUGUGGGUUUAAUAAGAGCAGAUAGUCGAUAGAAGCUCGCAUCCCCAUCCCCUUUCUAUCUAUGUGUAGUUUGUCCUAUUAUAGAGUUCGGUUGUUAGCGAGUUCCAAUUGUUUCAUAUAAGUAUGAUAUAAUAGAAUAAAUAAAUGGGUAUAGAGAUGCUAUAUUUAUAAAUAAAUGGGUAUAGAGACGCCAUAUUGAAGUAUAAUCCAUGAUAGCUUGACAAAGAGAACGUAUAGGGUUUGGCAGAUAGCUUAAGUAAGUUCCUUAUGGGUUGGGAAAGAUGAUAGCUUUUGUGAGUUCCGUAUGGGUUCGGAAACAGUAUUCCAUAAUCUAAAAGAAAGUAACUUCAAAUAACUGCUAUAGAAAAGGAGACAGUACUGGUUCGGGUGUUGACAGGUAAUCUGAGUCAGUCCUGUUUCGGGAGUUGAGUUAGAAGAGAGAGAAUCUGAAAUGCCCAGCAAGAGAAAGAGAGUCCAAUUUCCAUUCACGAGUUUCGGCAGUAGUAACAAAUAAGAACUCUAUAUAUGACUAUAGCUUGUUUCUGUCCUUCAUACGAGUUUCCUUCUGGUCGACAAUACAUUCAUUCUUCUAACAGUCUUGCUUCAAUGAGUGUUGCGGUAAGCGGGACUGAAAGGAAAGUGUAGUUCUACUUUCAUAGUAGUUUCAUCCUUUAUACAUAAUUUCAUGCUCAUCUCUUUUCUUGAGGUUAAGCAGUUCCAUUCCAUUCUUACUUCUUUUCUUUGUCAGUUCAAUCUCAUUCUGCGCGUUAGGGAAGAGAGUUCGGGUUGCGUGCCGACUUGUAGUUCAGGGUAUAGGUCAAACCAAACAAUAGAGAGCUGGAUCUUAAGAUGUAGUGGAAUAAGAAUCCUAUGUUAGAUCUUCCGCGCAAGAAACAAGUACACCUGUUUUCAACUCGUCUUUAUUCCGCUGACUGCUUUCAUUGCACCCGAAGGCAUAGAGAGUAAGGAACAAAUGAAUAUAUAUUAAUGAGCUAUGAGCUAUAGUCCAGUGUCCGCGUCAUUAAGUAACAAGUAUGUCAUUAAGUAACAAGCACUGCGUAAUGUAGUAACAAAAACACAGCUCUGACUUUCUUUAUUGAAUUGGACCCGCUUCUUUCACUUCUCGACCAGAUCUGACUUUCUUUAUGGAAUUGGACCGCUUCUUUCACUUCUCGACUUGAAUUGGACCGCUUCUUUCACUUCUCGACCGGGACUUCCUCCUAUAGAUAAGAUAAGAUACCUGAUAUAUGGAUCUAUGGGCAAAGAAGCGGAUUUCUAAUUCUCUUCCUACACAAGGAGAAUCUAUUGUACCACCGAUGGAAGGGAAAGACAAUAAGAAUCUAUUGUACCACCGAUGUAAGGGAAAGCGGACUGAGAUACCACCGAUACCCUAUGAAAGAGAAGGAAGGGUAGAGAAAGAAAGCACUGUAUGGCCCUAGGUUUCAAGAAGGAAGGGUAGAGAAAGAAUGAACCCAAGGGAGCGGUCUUCCACUCAGCAGUUUCACUCGCUACCGUUUAGCUCAACUCCUACCGCGGCACAUUAGCAGCAAAAACAACACUGCCGCGCUUUUAGCUCGCUGACGCGUCAGCGAACACAGGACUCCGUAACAACUGGCGCACUUAGGGGCUCCUGCCGCGCAACAUUAGUAGUUGCUUGGCCCUAUUGUCGUAGUUGCUUGCCGACUUGUCUAGUAGUUGCUUGGCGGUCAUUAGUAGUUGCUUGGUGACUUAAAGCAGUGCCGGGCAGACUGAAGCUAUGUAUACUCAAACUGCAGCUUAGGUGUUACAGGCUUAACUGAACCCCUACUUCAGACUGAAAGCACUAACUCCAAGCCUGAUACUCACUCGUCACAGAACCAAACACCUAACAAUCAGACUUAAAGCACUAACUCUAAGGCACCAACAAGUGCUGGGCAGACUUAACCCAGUGCCUUGGCGUCUAGUCGUGCCUUGGCGAUUGAAGACCGAGUGAACUAACCGGUAUGGAUUCUUGCCCAUACCUUACCUUCCUAGACCAGUUGUCCAAACCUAUCCCCAAGCCCCACUUUGUAAACGAAAUCCUAUGGUUACCUCUAAGCCUCCCUUUACUUACUUUGAUUCUAACUAGAAUGUUUCUCGUUCUCCCAAACGCCCUAGGCAGUAUAUCUCUCUUAGCUAUAAAACUAGAAAUACCGACCUGGACUGGAUCCUUUCUUUGUAGCCUUUCAACCCUAUAUUACUACUGAUGAAACUUAUACUAAUGCUUCCCGUAAUCAAUACAAGAGAUUCGUGUCCUCGGAUUCCACCUGCCAAGUAACAAAAGUCAGCAAAGACAGGCUCUCAUAAAUCCAAGUAAGGAUCCGGCUCAGUAGUGCCAGUACCAUAUGCCCAGGUUCCAUUCCAAUAGUAACUAGCUCUAGCCUUAAAAGCCGUACUCUGUGGAUUCUUUAAUUCAAAAGUCAGGAUCCAAUGCAUUAGUUACAGAGUGAAAGGAGCAAAUACAGACCAUAGCGAAGUCAGUCCUAGUUCCUAGUUGAGUUCACUGAGUUUAAUCCAGUGUUUUGAGGUUGGUUGGGAAGGGCAGUAGUCCAUUCCUGUAGGUAGUAGCCCAAACCCUUAGGUGGACCCCGGUUCCUUAUUUCAUUCCCUCUAGCAGUGAUUUCAAUCUUAUAUUUAGUGGAUAAAGUCCUAAGUCCCGAGUGCAAGUAUGAGAGGCACCAGUUCCACUCUCUAUUAUGGGGUUGCUUCUUGCUAGUAGCAAUUCAUUCCUUUAUUGGGCAGUAGUCAAUUCCCACAGUCUCUAGUGAAAGCCUUGUCGGUAACUGGCUUUUCUGUUUUUUUCUCAAAACCCAGCUAUACUUUUGAAACUGCAUAUUAGGCAGUUUGUGUGGGUAGUCAGUCCAAUGUUGAUUCUUAUCUUAGUGCUCAUUCAGGCACUUCCUCUUAGUGAAAUAUGAAAUAACAUCCCUAACAGAAGUAAGGCUUUGACUCAUAAGUAGGAAGUCCAAUGCUGUUUCCAAGGCUCUAAAACACCAAUCAGAAGAAAAGUCUCUAUCCAUAUAGAAAGAAUCACUAACAAAAGUCAGAGAGACAAGUAUAACUACCGGCAAUGAAACAAGGGAAUCCACCCUAGGUGUAAGCAGCAAUACUGCCUAUGUAUAAGAGCUAUAAGCAUAAGAGUCCUAAUUGGGUACCGAACUAGAGAGAAUUCACCCAAGAAAGGAGCAGGCUAACGAAGGCAAUUAGAGGGAUCAAGCCAACAAGCAAGAGUUAAUACAAGGAGAAGUAGUCUGAAGCCGGGAUUCUAGUUCUAAUUGUAGUGAAGUAUUGUUGGCAUCUGUAUCAGUAUAAAAGUAAGCUGAGCAAGGACAGCUUUGAGGUGGGUCACUAAGGAAUCCAAAUAAGGUACUUAAGGAGAAAAGAGAGAAUGAAAGCAAUGGUAGUAAGCCUGAGGUUGCAAGCGAACAGUAGAAGACAAAGGCUUAUAGGCGAACUACAGACUUAAGACAAGAAGGCCAGACUAAGGCGCAGUAGAGCAAGGACUGACUAUAAGGGCCACCACUAACAAGGUUAGAAACUGCCCUAAAGACUGACUCUUCACCUUACCCACUACGACUAUUCAGUAUAUCUUUACUAAUUCGNNNNNNNNNNNNNNNNNNNNNNNNNNNNNNNNNNNNNNNNNNNNNNNNNNNNNNNNNNNNNNNNNNNNNNNNNNNNNNNNNNNNNNNNNNNNNNNNNNNNNNNNNNNNNNNNNNNNNNNNNNNNNNNNNNNNNNNNNNNNNNNNNNNNNNNNNNNNNNNNNNNNNNNNNNNNNNNNNNNNNNNNNNNNNNNNNNNNNNNNNNNNNNNNNNNNNNNNNNNNNNNNNNNNNNNNNNNNNNNNNNNNNNNNNNNNNNNNNNNNNNNNNNNNNNNNNNNNNNNNNNNNNNNNNNNNNNNNNNNNNNNNNNNNNNNNNNNNNNNNNNNNNNNNNNNNNNNNNNNNNNNNNNNNNNNNNNNNNNNNNNNNNNNNNNNNNNNNNNNAAACAAUACCAACAAUGGAUGGCGAAACUAUAGAGCACCGACCAAUCUAAGCAUUCUCUAUUGCGCAUUGAAACCGCCAACACGCCCUUAGACCUAAGGCGAACUUGAACUUGUAUCAAACUGACGCCUAUUCCUACGCUAUUGUUUUAGUCCGAUUUACCUUACUCCAUUAGUCUCCCUUUACUUGGUUCAACUCUCACUACUCUUGCUUUUGGCCUGUAGCUACCUACUUGGAUUCUCUAGCCGCUGGCCUAGAAGCUGCCCUUCCUCGAUUAGGCUUGAAAUGCAUUCUGCACUAUACAGCUCCCUACCGGCAGUGCAGUGACUUGUUUGUCUUACAUGAUCUAUUUCCUAUCAAUCCUCGGAUGUUCUAGUGAAUUUGGAACUGAUAUCUUUAUAGGUAAAGCAAUAAUCAAACGGGUCGAUUACAUUGAGCUGCUAUCAGAACUGACUUCGAACCUUGCUUUUUUACACCAUAACUUCUACUUGUUCCUGGCAUCCUUGCCUUCAAUCUAAUAAGCCAGUCUAUGAGCAUGAGCCCGCUACUGCUUUAUCUCAGCCUAGAUCUCCCGCCUAUGAGUAUUGCUUUACUAUUUCUAAGACGUUAACUCAAUAUAUGGCUCAAUACAGACUUGAACCCGUGCUUCUCAUCCUGCCAAGUCACUACUGGACAAGCAACUACAGAAAAGUAAGGCUUCCACCAGCGCUAACAAGACCUUAACAAGCAACCGGGAAUCUAGAUUCGAAUAAGGAAUGACACUGCUGGCAAUAAGGAUUUAACUCAGAGCCAAUACUAAUGAUAAUGAAAUUUCCCCCCGCCCAGGAAGAAUUUACCGAAACUGAAAGAAUACAUAUGAGACUGCAAGUAGAGUAUAUCCUAUCUAUAUCUCUUGUAAGACAUUCUGCAUGGAUCGACCUGUGUUACACUAGCCAAUCAAUUCAUUCAAUCUACGGUCGGGAUGAUAACCAGAGACACUUUUCCUCCUCUUCUUGGAGCUCAAUCACUAAGGCUGGAACCUUCUUUAUGUAUUUUUUGAGGAGCCUCCCCUGCUAGCUAGAUAAGGUGGGUGGCUUUCUCAUAGUCGGAGUUUAGAGAUGGUGGAUCAGGCUAAUAAGAAAGGCUUUACUUGCUCAUAACCUUAGGACUUGGCGGCAGGAGCGGUUAAACGCAAAGGAAGUCAAUCGCAAACUCAUGUUCAGUGAAAGAUCCUCGAACUAGUGCACCUAGUAGUGAAGAAGCCUUUGUUAGCAGGGAGAAUCUCAUUAUUAUAUAUAGAGUGUUCUCUCUUCAUGAUUAUAUAUAUAGUGUUCUCUCUUCGAUUCCCCUCUAUACUCUUGCUGCUCUUUCUCCCGGUACGCUUUACUACAUCCCUGUACUAACCUUGUUGGUAUGGUUCUUAGCUCGGUGCUUAGCUCAUUCUUUUACCCCGGACCGGACAUCACAUCAAAUCAAGCCGACGGGCACAGAGAAAGAUACUCCUCCAAAUCAUCACAAAUAAUCAUUAGUAUGACGCUCGGUGUGCUCGGAUGGUUCCGCUCUGUGCUUGGCAAUGGGAUCGCUUACUAUCAUGGUUGACCGUCUGGGUAUCACUAAUCCCGCUUGGAUCCAAACCCCUAACUGUCCUUACUGGAGGUUAAUUACAACGACUAUUGCACCACUCCUUAAGGUUAAUGAAAAGUCUAUCUUCUUGCCUUAUUACGCAGCUUCCAUCUAUAAGGCAGUUCGGGCUACUAUCUAUGACUCAAUCUUUGCCCAUGCUAAUGUACUCUUUCCUACCUAACUCUUUCUUACCUUGGCCUUUUCUCUUAUCGGCCGAAAACCAACCUUUGCUCUUACCGCUCUUGUGCAGCUACUACUACUUACCUUUUUGAUUCUUUUCACAGAUAGGGAUCCUUACCUAUGAUUACUGUCUUACCUGCUUCAUUACCUCACCUUUGAACUUGGACCACUGCUCAUUCCCUAACUACCUGACCGGGGCUACAGCUGCCUUUAUCUAUUACAAGCUGGGCGGAUACCCGCUUGCUACUCUUACUACGCGAGCUAUAAGCCCAACAUCCAAUAAGGCCUCUGCUUUCAUCCUUUUCACUGGCUACUGCUAGCUGAUCCUUUCAAAGACCGAACCGUCGAGAGAAGCGCGAUCGUAAACUCACGGCGAGAGGGAGUCUCGAAUCGCCAACGCUCCACUCCGGUGUCCACAUGAGGCGCAUCAAUGCAUAGGGUGGAAAAUCCAAGUCCUGUGUUCUGGAGCUACCUGUACCGUAAUACCUUCUGCCACACUUGGUCAAGGUAAUGUAUCUGGACACUAUCAAGGAUCCCCGUCCUUACACUAAAUAUAAGGUGGUGUGGAUCAAUUAGUUCUAACACUUGGUGGGGGAGUCUGCAGUGAUGAGUUUCAGUCGCCUGAACGGAACCCCGACGCCAGCGGAAAAGGAGCGGAGGGGGUGCUGUGCUAUCGAGAGCUGAGGAUGUGGCUGCUACUCCCAAUGCAUCUGUGGGGACAUCUCGUACAGUAGGUGAGGACUGAUGUAUAUUCGAUUUUCUUACCAUUUUGGUUGCAUCCAGAAGUUAUCAUACUCUUUCUUACUGGCUUCAGCCUUUAGUGUACCUGGCCAUAUUUCAUGUAACUAUUGUUUCCUAGAGAUACUGUCAUUCAGAAUAAUGAAUUAACCAAUAGAUGACUCCUUGUGCAUAUAUAAGGUUAUACUACUUUAUGAAUAAGGGUCAAAGCUGCUUCUUUAUCUUUUCUCUUGUAAUCUCUCACAAAUCGGUCUUAUCUUCUGAGUUGGGGUUAUAGAAUAUUUAUGGCUUUAUCAACUAGAGACCUGCAGUAGCAACCUCUUUAUCGUAUGGAAAGAUGGAUAUAAUAGAAUAUAAGUAGGAAACCUCUUUCUUUAUCGACAGAAAUAGAUUGAAUAAGAAAAAUGAUAAUGAUGUAUCCAUGCUAUGCUCAAAAAACAGAAAAAGCUGUUUCCUAAGCUGAAUAGAAUGCUCCACUUGAAAAAAGAAAAGGAAUAGAUGGGUACCGACCUUAGAAAACGUUAUCUCUUUCUUGCAUUUUGGUUGUAGUUGUUGCCAGGACUCAUACAUCAGGCCUGCGUAAGUCAUAAAGCUCCGUUGAGCCACCAGCGGAAAUUAGGGUUCUAUCGAACUCAGGCAUUAGUGACUAAAGAAUUGAGGGCAACAAUAUCACUUGCCAAACUGGAAAAAGCUGUGAGAGCCUACAUCACAUUUGCUCUUUACAAAAAGAAUAUGAGAAAAGUAAGCACAUAUCGAACAUGUUGGAUUCAACCUAGAGAAACAUUGACUUGGGUUUCCCCUGAAAAUCCAUUCUUUUUCUUUCAUUCCAAAGUGAAGCUAGAUUCUAUUCCUUUCCAUUAUUAUAUUAUUUGUAGUUUCCAUUUAUUUAAGUGGAGUAAAUUCAAACGAAACUCAAAACUUGGCCUACUCUCCCUUCUCUACAGCUCCCCUACUUUAUUAUAGCAAGUAGAAAGUGGAUUAUCAAGUGCAAAACCAAUUGAUAUGGCUGGCCGCUUCAUAAGGCUUCUUUCUAGUCUCGGGUUAACUCAUCAAAUGUCACAUUGCUUUUCUGAAUCACAAGCACAUUCUCUACUUAGUACUCGCACCCAAACAAACUCUAUUACUCGGUUAUAGGUUAAAGCAAAGGGAGGGUAAAGCCUCGCCUUAUAUAAUUGCCUAACUUAAUCAUGCAUCUGGCUGGAUUAGUUUCAAGUGGAGUUCCAGCCCUGAAGUUAAUGGUGUAGUCUACGAGUACGGUUGCUCACUUAUAUUACGGUUGCUUGUGUCUAAGUAAACAAGUCUUGGUUCAGGGCAAUAGAUCUUACCUAACUGGCUUUGAAGCACGGCGUUGAAUCGUAAAAAGAUGCUGGAUCUGUGGAAGUAGUUCAAAAGUCAUCCCUUGUUGACAGAAACUGGAGUUAGAGCAGCAGAAUGCCCAGUGUUAGUGUUGUCUCCGACUCCGAGAGAAGAUACUUUGUCUGCUGUCGCUUCUGCCCUCGAAAGAUGGAAUUCAUUAGUUGUUGAAGAGAAUGGAGGCCCGAAUUAGGACUUAUUCAGAACUCGUAGGAGACGAAGAAAGUACGCAGGUCGACUCGAUCUUAAGCUGUGGAAGCAAUGCGACAUCAAGUCAGCGGGAAAGAAUCAAUGUAUAACUCUCACAGGUCUCGGUUUCUGUCUUUCUGAAGCCUUGAACUUAGCUUUCCCUUUGUUGUCGUAUCUAGAAGCUCUGCGUCGGAACAGUAUCAAGUCCUGAGUUAGGUUUGGUUACUCCCUUAUAGAAUCAUUCACUUAUUUCCUUUCUAGUUUUGUCGUAGAUAGAUAGAUAGAGAUAAGCUCUUUUUGAAUGCGAAGGCUAAAGUCAGGGGUUAAUAGUAUCAAGUAGAAGUUCCACUGUAUCGAGUCUAGUGUCGCCCAGUAUAGCCUUCACCAAUAAGUACUCUCAAUAUUCAAUCCAAUCCAUUCCUGCUGCUCCGAAAUCCUAUGCUUCUGCUUAUACGCUUCAAUGUUUUCCUGAAGACUCCACUGUCCCACCCAACAAGAACAAGAUUAGGAACUGGAUAAGCUGUAGGAUCGGGUUAGGAAGAAAUAGAAGAUGCUGGAGAAGGUAAGUCGACUCUCAAUCCGGUUAAUGACUCGAAAAGAUGGCGAGAAAGCCUUAUUUGCCCUAACUGUUGAAGCGAGGUUAAGUAGAUUUCGAGCAAACAAGCUUAUUAUAUCAUCUGUUUCGGGCCCAUGAUAUUCCUAAUUCCAGUUUCAAGUUAGGAGUAAUAACUCGUGUUAGGAGCUCUGCGCUCGAUAAGAAAGAUGGUGUUAAAAGCCUGUCACUCAGAAUCUUGAUCGGCAUCAAACGAUUCUGAAAGUGUAGUUCCAACAGUCGAAAUAUCCGGAUUACUCGAAAGUCAGUCAGCUGCCCUUAUAAGAGUUAUGAUUCAGAAAGGGGAGUUCGCCGUAGAUGCUAAAAGGGGUAUAAAAGUGGGUAUGGCCUGCCUGCUUGACCGCCGGAAUCUAAAGAGACGAUGGUUGCUCUUCUUUGAAGCUGUAGUUUGCUACUACAUUACUAAGUGGAACUAAUUAAGACAGACCUCUCGUUGCUAACUUAACUCCUAGCACACUAGUUCUUGCGAAACUGCUAUUCUGGAAAAGAAUUGAGCGCACACAUAUAAUAACUGAGUCACGUAACUUAUGGCCUUUACUGGACUUGGGGCUUAUGAAGCGCUCUAAGCUGCUAUUCCUAUAACUUGGCUUGCUCCUGUAGCUCGUAGCUCAAAGUUGUUUAUUGGAGGAGCUUGUUCUCCCCACUUUAAGAACUCUUAUUGACACCUUGAUGUCAGCUAGGUAUUCCUCGUCUUCAAGUGAACAAAAAAGCCCACGUAGCGAUAUAAGUAGAAAGUAAGGGUUGCGAGUGUCAUUAAGGAGCGAUAGUAAUUAGUAUGAGUUAUUGGCAGUGUUUAGGGAGCUCGAUUGGCGCUCAAGAGAUUCCGCUAACGUUGGGGCAAGAAGAUCUGAAUGACUAAAAGAUUUGACUGCAAUUUGAUUUGAUGCUUCAUAACUAAGAUCUUUUCCUUCAAUAUUAUUAACUUCAAGGAGAGGUCAGGGGGGCAGAGGAAAGUAAAGGCUUUUAAGGGAUACUUCCGUUUUGUUUAGAGUAUAAGUAGGAUCUUGAUUCGAGGAGUAAUACCCGAGUGAGCAAAAAGGUAUACUUUCGGUUUCUGUCUUUCUGAAGCCUUGAACUUAGCUUUCCCCUUCCAGAGAUUCGAAUAAUAUUGAAGUUUGUGGAGCAUCAACUAUCACCAGAUGGUGCACCAAGGCCUUGUUUUAGCAAUAUGUUGGCAUAUAGCAUAGCUAAAAGAGCAACAGGCAGGGGGGAUCAAUGAGAUUUUGGUAGCUAUAUAGUACAUAAACCAACCCUAUAGAACAAUAACCUGUCAUUCAUAUGAAAUAGAAGGUUCCCAUCAUACCUUUUUACAGCUUGAGAGAAACCCGAGAAAUUAUAGAAUAUUGAAAAAAGCGAAAAAGCGAUUAUGGAAAGCCUUUAUACAGAGAGCAAAUGUAAGUGAAAUUGCCCAAACAAUGCGUUAACAAAAAAAAACAUCCUUGACUAAUGUAAGUGAAAUGGCCCAAACUCAUUAUGUUGAUCAAAUUGAACUCGAUUAUUGUAUAUAGAUAAUGAGAACUGCGUCAUUGUGAACUUCAAUAAACUUAUUUUCUUUCCUUGUAAUCCUAUAUACAUAGAAGAAAGAUGGUUUUCAUAGAAUAGAAGAAAUAUUGGUUCUUGCAUCCGGGAGAGCCGAUUGAAGUUGGGAAUAUAGGCAAUCCCACCUUUCCUCUAUUAGACCCCACGAAGUUUGGAGUAGAUGCCCGACCUACUCGAGUACGAAGUGGCCGUUAUGGAGCCCGCAAACUAAGGGUAUAAGACUGGGGCUCGGCUUUAGCAAAGUAUAUUUAUUGCUAGAAAAGGGGAGGGGGAUUCUGAGGAGCAGGGUCAAUGGACUGGGCUACGGCGAACUCCUAUAAUGUAAUGCGAACUCCUAUAAUGAAUAUAGUAACCUGACUGCUGACUCUAAAGAAGGAAGGAAUAGGAACCGACUAUUAAUAGGUCUCCUCUUAUAGAACAGUUAAAGACUAUUAAUGGGUGUCUUCUUAUAGACUCUGGAAUUAAUAGGUGUCUUCUUAUAGACUCUUUAAUGGAAAUUCCCAGAUCUGAAGUUAAGUAAAGUCAUCUUUUAUUAUAUGAGAUGAACCACAUAGGAGUUCCUUUGUAGAUGAACCACAGAGGAAGGAGUUCUAUAGUAGUUUGCAUUAGUAGUUAGCAUUAGGAUCUUCUAUCUUGCAUUUAGGAUCUUCUAUCUUAUCUUAUCCAAAUACAUUACUUACCGUGGGAUGAAAAUGAGUCAUAGGCUAUUGCUUGAUGAGCAUCAAAACGGAUAGGGCUAAGCCUGUUUUUCAAAGAUGCUCGCUCCCCUUCUAGAAUUAGCAAGCGGUGGGCUGACCUCUGAGAAUGUUUGUAUGAAAUGCUGCUGACCUCUGAGAAUGUUUGUAUGAAAUGCAGAAUUAGCAAGCGUUGGGCUGACGCGAGUAUUUGAAUAGAGAACACGCAGUCUCCGGUUACUAUAUGAUAUCCUUAUACUGAAGCGCAAAAGGUAUAGUAUAGUGAGAGUUUCUAGAGGAAGAGUCAGCAAUAAGCGGUUCUGUUGGACUUUAAUCCGUAGCAAGCGGUUCCUUCACUUUCAUGUCGUGGAGAGAGGUUUGGUGCUAUAGUGUCAUUGCGAGUUUUCACGAGUUAUUACCAAGUCAACCAAGCUGCUACUAGUGUUCGGGAGUUAGGAGGCUUUCAGCACCAUACUUUGUACGAUGAAAGUUUUUAGGAUAGUAAGCAUUCCUGUCUUGCUUCAAGUUUUUAGGAAGGGAGCAGGGAGAACGCAGCAAAGGAUAGAAAAAACAGAGAAGCAACAGAAAGAAUGAGAUGAUCCUUCCUUCUUUAUGAAGAAAGCCAGAAUAUGGCACCUUACUCUUUGGACCAAAUGAUAUGAUCCUAAACCCCACUGCAUGUUUGCUUGUGCUAACGGGAGCUACUCAGAGCGUGAGAAGAGAAGGGCAAGUCCAACAAGCUACAUUAGUGGUUGUUCUGUUGUAUGUGGAAGUCCGUCUAUAAUGUAGGGAAGAACGUAAACAAAGCGAGUUUAGUUGUGCGUUAGCUUAACGGCGAACUCGAAACUGCAUUGCUAUUAGAUUCUUUAACUCAUAUCUAAGAACUUGAAACUGCAUUGCUAUUAUUAGAUUCUUUAACUCAUAUAUAUCGGCAUCCGAACUCUAGACUCUUGAAACACAUAUCAGCAUCCGAACGAACGACUCAAUUGCUUCCUUAGCGUGUUUGUUUGUUCUUUUGCCAAUACGGAAUUCAUCUAGCGUUCAUCAUAUAGCAGAGAGAAAACAAACGGAAUAAUAAGAUCAUAUAGUGCACAAGAAGAUAGGCAUCCCGGAAAGCCUUCUAGUAAUUCGCUAACAUCUCUCCAAAGCUUAGUAGCAUCUUUCUACGAACUCCCUUGCACUUAUACUGAGACUGACUUACUUAUGGAAGCACUUAAGAGUGUUGUUACUAAUUGAUAUCGGUUGUGCGAUAGAGAUUCCUUCCAUUCUGUAGAGUAAGGGCGGAAGCAAGGGAACAAGAAACAAGUAACGGAACUUGCUUGUUCGAACGGCAUUCUUUUGUACUGUUUAUACUAGAGUGACCUUUGUAACCUACAACCUUCUACUAGAGUGACCUUUGUAACCUACUACCAGUGCCUUUUGAAUCGACAGUUGUAACGAAAGGGGAAAUAGCUCCGUGUUGGUUAGAGUGCUGGCACUAAAUGUAACAAGCACGCCAUAAGUUGCGGUCAAAAGUUCCCCGUUUUCCCCGCCCGAUCCUCCAACUUCCUCCUGCCCGACCAUUUGGUCUUCACUGGAAGCUGCUGCUCCCGGUGUUGCAUUCCAGACAAUUAUUCCGUCUUUGGUCUCUCCCUUGACCCCUUCUUUUGUUUUGGGUCGUGUCGCACUUCAUGAAUGAGUUGAGAUCCUCCUUCCCUCCUUGCAUCAUACCAAGGACUUCGUUGCCACUAGUAGCGAAGAAAAAGUGUACCAUCCCGCUUCCCCCGUGGGGUAAAGGUUAUUCUCGGAGACAACACCAGUAAACAAGAAGCUGACAGAGCUUUAGUCAUUGGACUACAUCCAUCCUCCCUACCAAAACGGUAAGCCUUUUAUUGUUCGUUCUUCGAUUACGCUAGUGGAGACUCAUUCCCUUUUUAUGGCAAAUUAGGAUACUCUACUCCAUUCAUUCCCAGUGGAUCCUUCUUAUCCCUUUUCAUUGAACGAACCAAGUGAACCUAUACGUUAACUAUAGUGAGGAAGACAUUUCCAACAAGAAACUUCCUAUAUGGUGAGGCCAACAAGAAACUUCCUAUAUAGGUGAGGAAGACAUUUCCAACAUUCCCACUUAGUCCACCGUUUGACGAUUCUGCUGCUAGUUUGGAAAAGAGAAAAGGAGAAGCACAAGGGUGUCGCUAGUUUAGAAAAGAAAAAAGGAGAAGAACAGGGGUAGCUAGGUAAUAAAAGCUAUAACUAUCAAUUCCAUUCAGAAAACGACUCAUUCUCCCCAAGUAGGAUUCGAACCUACGACCAGUCAGUUAACAGCCGACCGCUCUACCACUGAGCUACUGAGGAACAACGGGAGAGAUUCUACCUCAUAGAGUGAAACCCCCGUUCUAAACCAAUGAACAAUAUGAGUCCGAAGCUUCGCUUCCUUCGUCCGGAACUUAUUCCUAGUAGGCUCCGUUCCAUGCCUCAUUUCAUAGGGAACCUAUCAUAGUGGCUGGCUCUAUUUCAUUAUAUGACAUUUCAUUAUAUUACAUCCAUAUAUAUCCCAAUUCCAUUCAUUUAAUAUACCUUUGCUUUGGUGUCAUUGACAUAAGAGAUGUAAGUUAGAGUCUAGCAAUGAAUUCUAAUAGAAAUCGAUUUAUGGCAAAUCACUAAUUCAUAUAUAAAGAAUCAUAUAUCAUAAGAAUGGAGAAAUUGCACCAAUAGAGCAAUAGAAAGGAAAAGGGGGUGGGUUUUGUGAUGAUUUGGAUUUAUACUAGGUAAGAAAUGAUCCUUAUGCAUGAAGAUCUGAAAUGGCUCGGUACUAUACUAGGUAAGAAAUGAUCCUUCCUUAUGUAUGAGGAUAUAGAAAAAGGUCGGUUUUGGUCGGACUCUAUUAUUGUUGGAUUUAUUACCACAUUCUAUAGAGGGCCCUAACAUCUCUUCCUUCUGCGAGCUCGGGUUAUAGAAUCAAUAAGGAACCGAUAAGUAGGUAUCAGCAACAACUUGUUUGAUUACGAGACAGCUCAUGAUGUUCAUAUAGAUCUAUAUAUGGGCCUCUGCAUCUAGCAUUGGGUAUACCUCAUACAAUAACAGUGUCCUAGUUCCUACCCUAUCUUUCUUUUGUUUCAUUUCUUCUGUAGUUGGAAAAAUCCAUUCUAUUCGAUCUAAAUAAAAUAGGCUUGAAGCACCUUGUGUAAGAAUUGAUCUAUUAUAUGGCUUGGCUCUAUCAGAAUGAAUUGAGAUCUUAUAUGGCUCCAUUUAUUAGUAUUCCAUUAUUUAUUACCUGUGUAUACUAUGUUAGGAAGAAUGCCUAAGCCUAUUGUCACUAAGAAACCUAAGAAACGGAUAGAAAGGGGAGAAAGUGAGGAGAGGAUAGCAAUGUAGAAACCACUUAGAAAGGUAGGAGACUCAAGAGGAACAAGAGGGAUCCACCGAAGAGGACAAGAAAGACCGCAAGAAACAUUAGUGCCGACCCUUCCCUUUAUUUGGAAGAAAAGGAGACAAAAUAGAUGAAACGGAAGAGAUCCGAGUGAAUGGAAAGGAAAAAACAAAGCAAGCAUGAAUUCCACUUGCACUUUCAAGAAAGACACAUGAUAUAAAGAUAGCCUAGUUGACGAAGAUUCAGAUCUUUAUACCUAUCAAUCUCAUUGGGAAUUUGGGAAGACUUGAAGUGAUACCUAUGAAUCUAAUGGGGAAGACUUUCAGAAGAGAAAAAAUCAAUAUGAUUGUUGAUGCAUAAAAGAAUAGAUAAGAAGAGAUUCGUCCACCUCACUCAGCAGAUAAGAAGAGAUUCGAAGAAACCCCACCAUAUAGAUAUGAAAAAGAAACCCCAACCAUAUAGAUAUGAAAAACGAAUUGCGCAUAGUAUUGUCUAUUUCGUGAGGGUACAGGGGGAAGUUCACUUUUCGAAAUCAGUAUUCAAGUCAAGCAAGUAUAUGAUAUUCUUAUUCGUCAAGCAAGCAAGCAAGUAUAUGAUAUUCUUAUUCGUCAAGCAAGCAAGUAUAUGAUAUUCUGAUUCUUCUUAUUUAGAUUAUGUAUGUAUCCUUCUCAAAGAGGACCUUAUUAGUAAUAUCUCAUUUAUGUAUCCUUCCCAAGGAAGACCUUAUUAGUAAUAUAUUAUUUAUGUAUCUUUUUCAAAGAGGACCUCUUAUUAUUCAUUAUGGAGAAAAGUGUCUUUCUAUUGUAAGUCCAAAUACUAUUGCCAUACAUAGUAACAGGAAGUGGAGGAAAAGUCGCCAUAGUAACUGGAAUAACAGAAAUGGUAUUAUCCAUGCUGUGAUAUGUAUGUUCCAUAAGAAACCCCAAUUCCAUAUUUCAUCAUUCUACUAUGUAUAGUCUAUUCCAUAUUUCAUCAUUCUACUAUGUAUAGUCUAGUCUUAGUAUAAAUCUCUAUUAAGGAACAAUCUAUCUAUUUUGAACAAUACAAUACAUGUCUUUCACAUACAACGAUAAUAAUGAGUAACCCUUUUGAAUGACAGUCCCCCAAAAGCUUACUUCUAUGUCAAAAACGUAUUCUACGAAAUCUCUAUAUAAAGAAGAUCAAAGGAUUAUUAGCUUAAAGGCUUUUUCUUUAGCGAAAUCGGCCAGGCCAGACGUUCAAAAGGUGUGUACACAACAAACAAAUAAGAAAUGGAAUACUGGGAAUUUACAUACCCCGCGAAUCACUUCAUUUUUGGAAUAUUCUACUAUUCACAUGCAUUUACUAUACCUCGCUUUAGUGGUCUUGCAACAAACAAAACUCUCCGUCAGUCUAAUUACAGCUCUCCAGGUGCGCAUUUGAUAGACCAGAAGAAUCACCAUGUGCUUAAUAGAGUUCAAGAAAGCAUUUCAUAAUUCCCUCCGGUUCUUCCUGUUCUGCUUCCCUUUCUGUUCCAGCGAGUGGGAGCUACUGCAAGCAUUAUAGUAUAGCAUCAACAGCUUCUCUUCUGUCUGUGCCGAACCUACCGUGACUCCUAACGGGUCGAAGGUCGAAGCUAUGCCUGGACGCUCUAUUAAUCGAUUCUUUGGAUUCUGUCUUUGGUCUGAUUGCUUGGUCUUGGAAUGCCCUCCCAUCUAACUCAUAAGUAAGUACAUCUUGGAAUGCCCUCCCAUCUAACUAAGUAAGUCAAGGAUAGGUAGUAUUCCCAUUGGGUUAUCUUUCUUCCACACGUGCCUCUUCAACUAUUUAACAGAUAAGAGAGUCCUCGUGCAAGACUUAUAUGAAAUAGAAAUGCACUAACUCUUGUUAAGGACUUAUAUGAAAUAGAAAUGCACUAACUCUAUCAAUUCCUUUUUCAAAACAAACACUUUUCUGAACAACAAACACGGCUUGGCGGGCAGGCUUGCUUAGUUACUUGGCGAAUCUUAUAGCUAGAUCUUCCCAUGCAUGUUAUUGAUAUUUCUCCCCUCCAUUUCAUAAUCUUUCAUUCGAACAGGACCCUUCCCCCUUCUCGCAGUGUAUCCAGAGCAAUAGUAUGAUGAGGAUCAAUAAGGGUUCUUUGAUCGAGCUGAGCUCUCGCUUCGGCUUCUUUUGUUGCCGAAGACCUGUCCGGCGUAGUUCAUAUAAAUCGGAUUCCGUUUCGUUCAAGUAUAGUAUAUUAAGAAGUAAUGUUACUAGUGUUACUAGAUUCUCUUUUGGAAGUUCAGGUUAGGCUUCUUUACUCACUCGUCGACAACACAAGCACCGAACCCGAAAGAAUAACUCGCUAUAGGCCGCAGCACACCCGCCCCGCUAAAGCAAGCACCAGUCUAUCGCCCUACAAUACCAAUACUAGCAAUAAGUUCAGUAUAUCGCAGCUACCCUACCAUACUUUCAAGCAGUCUCGUUUUGUAUCUCGUAAGGUCUCAAUCAAUUUCAUCGUUUUUAAGCUAAAAGGAAGCAAAGCAGUUGCUUGUUCCGUUGGUUGUUCGAGGUAGAAACAAAUUCAUUAAUGUACUGCUCCUUAUGUAAGCCCUAUGGAAUGUCAGCUCUCUAUUCAAACAAGCACAACAACGGCGCUAAGAAAGUAUAGUACUCUAGUCUAGGGCUCGGCCUGCCCAUAUGAUAUGGUUAGGGAAAGUCAACAGUCAGUUUCGGAGUGGCGAUAUUCUAGUUUGUUCUUAAAGAAGUGAUAUGUAAGCUGUGUUUUUCAUUCAUUCUAUUAGUUGUGCACGAGUUAGUUGCAAGAAGGAUCAAUUCCUAUCACGAGUUAGUUGCAAGAGAUCUGAAUUCAUCUCUUAUAUGCUAUGUGCACGAGAUUGAAUUGGGUAUAUGUGACUGAAGGAAUCUUAUAGGGUACGCGUUACCUCACACUGGCCCAAGAGCCUUGCUUGAGAAAUAGAAGCUUUCGUCAAGGUCACGUCACUCUUACUUGAGACUGAACCGCUCCGUAGGCAUUAGAAAAGAACCUAUCUCUUCAAUGGCUUUCGAGCACCCGUACUCGUUAGACAAGACAACAAAGACGGAAGAAACUGACACAAGUCUGGUUUUCGGGAGUUCUGCAAGCCGUUGUUAGUUUCACUUGCUUCUUUAUACUCUUCCUUUCCACCGCACUGCUUACCGCAACACUUUCACCUACUUAUCGACUCUCACCUCUGAUUGACUUAGGGCAUCAAAACCACUACUAUAUCUUUUUUCAAACUACCUAUCUCUGUGGUUACCUAUUCCAUUCUAUACAAGACAAAACCAUCUCUGUCUUUUGAAUCAGAUCCGGCAACACUGAUCUUGAAACUGGUUCUUAAGAUCUUUCUCCCCAAAACUGUACUUGCACCAACCAUAAUAUAAGUUAGCAACCGGAGCAGAACCCUCAUUUCCUGAUCCUGAGAAAUCUUAUGCUGAUGAUCUUGUAGACUUAACAAGAAUAGAAGGACACUCAGUAAAUUCUCCACAGAGCAUAACUAGCUUUCCCGACUGCUUCCCCGACAAACAAAUUAGCACGCACUUAAUCUGCGUUAUCAGUGACUUGUUUCUUGUUGGGACUGGACUGUCUGGCAGUACUUAGCGCUGAAGCACUUACUAUAAGAUUGCAGAAAAAGAAAGGUGCUGAAAGCCUUCUUGCUCCCCCAGGAAGAAUGACUUGCUCCCAGUGAGUUUACUUAGUUUACAUAAGAGGUGCACACUCCAUUAGGCUAUUCUGAUAAUACAUACCCAGAUCUUAAAGCAAGGGAACAUAGUCAACUGGUAUCUAAACGGAAUAAGCUACCCAUACAUACUAUUGCGCUAACGACUGGAGCAAGAACUAGUACAUCGGCGUAAGUAUCCUGAGUCAUAAAUGAAUUCUUUGACAAAGCGAAAGAAAGAUAUAUAUGAGUUUCCUGGGGACCCAAGCUAGAAUAUACUCCGUGGCAAAAAGCAAAGAUGACAAGUCCAGCCCCAGCUCUUAAAGCAAAGGUUGAUUCGUCCAGCACUGUCCACGACCUCUCCUUGAAGUUCAGAAAAGAAUAGAUUGAUGAUGACCAAGCUUAUACUAGAAAUCAGCAGGAUAAGAAACCGAAGAUGGAGAAUCCUAAGGAUCUGUAUCUAUUGCAGUAGAAAGAUCCGGAGAAGAAACUGUUUCAACUGAAUAAGCUGGAAGAAGAGAUUGAGCAGUGAAGUCGUAAGUGAGAGUUGGUGACAGUUCCCAUUCUGCUGUGAAUUGAAAUGAAUAGUUUGAAGCGUUAAGUAAGGCAGUUCUGUUCCCGAAAACAGGAGUAAGCAUCGCUGUGCUGCGGUAUCAAGGUUAAGUGCCAAAGCAAGCAGCAAGCGGGUCUGAAUGAGCUGUGCGAGUGAAGUCGUAGAGAGAAGAAUAAUCCGCUAAUUCCAUUCAACCAGCAACUGAAUCCACUGAGGGCUUAUCCACUGAAGUAAGUAUAGUUUAUUAAAGCAAGCAAGGGGAUAUUUCGAGUUAGGAGCGACAGAGCUCAUUCUGACUACAGUGUUUUAGGCUUGUGGUGUACACACGCUUUCCAAAGUUUACCUAGAGUCGUUUGAUGAGUACAUUACCUAGGGCAGGAUGAGUACAAAACACAGAAUGGAAUAACGGGGCGGAAGCCAAGCCCCCCACUAAUAAGAAUGUGUCUACUGCUAACAGGGCCCGAACUACCACUAAGCAGAAUCUACUACUAUCUCGAAGGCCUCGCAACAGGUCCCAGCAACCAAACUAAGAAAUCGAAAACCAACCACCGCUUUAAAGGAAGCCCCUCCAUACUUGCUUUUUCUAUAUUUGACCUUUUAGGAUGCCCGCUACUGUCUAUUAUUCUUGUUUAUGAGUUAGGGCCUUCUACUCGCCGGGUUCACUAACUUUCGCUUUUCUCCCUACAAUCUUGCUUAUAUCAAUAGCACAUAGUUAGUAUGCAUACAUAGGCACAUGGGUAGUCUCAAUACCUAGUAACAUAUUUAGUAUCAAUACAUGGAGCUCCUCUGAUCAGGAUGUAACUACCACGCAUAAGAGUUGAUCCGAUGCCUAACAUUGAUGUGUGUGUUUUAAUAUGAUAUUUGCUAUUAACCGGUACUACCGAUAACAAGAAGAAAUCUACCGACCCCUCUAGCUCCCCUAUUGAAUCAAACUCACGAAUAGAAAGAAGAGACCUAAGUCUCCUAAUACUUUUAGGAACUACGGAACUAAACUAGCAAAAGCAAGACCGAACUACCAGUCAAUAAGACCUUAGCUCUACCUCUCUACAAAAGAGUGGAGCGGCAGUGUGUUGUUAAGAAGAAAGUCUCCGAUGUUGGUCUUUGUCGCCUUAUUAUAAAGCAGUGGUUCGGGAAUUCAGCAAGGACAUGGAGACUAGUGAGCAGUAACACAAGGGUGUUUUGGCAGUGGGGCAGCCUUUAUGGCAUUCGUUCCAGUUUAAUAGCCAGUAAAGUCAUACUUAUAGGCAUACGAGGGAGGACUCGGAUCGGUAGUCUUAGAAGAAAAGUCGGUAGUUGGCUUCCCAGCUGACGGGGUGAGCCUCAUUGGUAGUGGUGUUGGCUUCCCAACUAGUAUAGGAGUGGGUUAAGUCCCAUAAGUUCCAGUCCCAUUCUUUAUCAUAGGUUAGUAGCGCUGGUCCAACUCUUAUUGCUAGUAGCGAAGAACACAAGUAAGACAGGGCAGACUCAAACUCAUUUAAAGGAAUGUAAGGCAGUAGUCAAAGAGUGAAUCUCGCACAUAGGAAUGUAAGUAACAAGCCUAGCCUUAUGUAGAAGGUAACCAUAGAAAUAUUUGGUGUGUAAGUGCUUAAGCCUGAGAAGGGGAGUCAAAACUUUCAGGCAGGGAUGCCAGUGCUCUAGUUUCAUCCUCGAUAGGAUAGUUUGGAAUGAGGUACAGUAAUGGAAGGCCAAGAGCAAAAGGGCAGUGAGUCUUAAAGUAAAGCAAGUAAGGGCUUACUAAUAGGCAGGAAAGUAUCCGUAAGGAAAGAUAGACUGACCAAGGGUAGUAUGAGUUCGGUCACUUCGUUCGUAUCCAAAAAAAGAAACAGAAUCUAGUAGAUUGAUCUAGAGAAUUCUGAUUUAUUGCUCUAAUAGUUGUUUGCCUACUUUCUUUUUAUUGACUUUCUUUGCUUUUGUAGUAGUUGGUUGUCUCUUCUUUUCUUUUUCCGACCUAAACCUAACUUUCAGCCUCCCUUUCAAUGUACUCUCGUACUUAUUUCUAUACUAAUCUAUGAACAUAUAUUCUGAGAUUCCAUUCUUGAAGCUUAACUGAAACUAGUGUUAGCGCUUCAAAGCCAGAGUACGCAACAUAGGAAGAAUAAGUUGAAAGGUCUAGAUCAAAGACAGGAGAAUAAUCAUAAUAAGGAAAGUCUACAUCGACAAGAUCAGAUGCAUGAACAGAGGAUCUAAAGAAGAAGCUGUUAUACAAGAGAAGAAGCUAGUAUACCAGAGAAGAAGCUAGAUCCGGGGGGAUCUGACUCAGAAUAAAGAGAAGAGGUAGUUCGCGCUUAUUCCCUAUUCUACCAUCUACUAUCAACAAGUUCAUAAGCAAGUGAACCAUCAAUAUCUUAGGCAGCAGUCUAAGGGCUAUUUCCUAGUAUCAAUGAGUCUUGCCAUAAGAGUAAUUGAGCUUAGUUUACGUUUCAUAAUAGUUUAGAGCCUGAACCGAUACAAGUUGCACCGUUAGAAUUAAGACUCUCCUUUGGGUUGGUAACUCUACUUAUAGUCCUGUCCUAUCUUAUUCAGCGGUAAGUGAUUCAGUAGUGUCAAAGUUCCCUUAUUACCCUCAAUUUAAAGAACUAGCAUAAGCCCUUUUGCGCCGGGCAAAUAAGUGAUAGAGUUUCACUUGCCAUAAGAAGUAGCGUUAGCGAAUUGAAACACGAACAUAGGUCUUACGACAAGGUCUGAUUGUCUUUACUUCUUCAGCACUAAGUAAAUGAGUAAGGGAAAACAAAGUUAAUGUCUACACGAGAUCAGAAUUCGAAUAAGGAUCUGGCAGCAUAAGUAUCAUGAACAGGCUAAGUAGAAAUUCCGGGGCGAAAGUUGGGUCAUAUUAUUCUUUACUUCUAUACCUAGUGCUCAAUAAGAGAGAAGUUUUCCCUUUGUUGUCAAGUAAGCUACAAGUUCAAAGUAGAGAAGAAACUGGAUCAUCAGCAGGAGAAGAUGCUGUAAGGUAUCUAUUCAGUGGUUAAUAACUUUCAGUGGAUUACGGGGCAUAAGAAAGUUUAGGUAUUGUUGCGAGGCCCAUAACCAUAAGAAAGCAAAGAUCCUUAUUACUCUUCUCAGGUCACUGUUAUAAGGUAUAAUGCAUUUUCAGAGCGUGUAGAAGUCUUCGAUAGUGGAUUUCUUCUCUUUCUUUUUCAUCUGAUCGAGCAUCUUAUCGAGAAACUAGGGAUGAAACUCGGGAAGCUAAGGUAUUCAACUCAAACUCUAAACUAGGAGCCAGGCAACUACAGUUCACAGAGCUAACUACUCGUAUACUAGGAGCGUAAGCACCAAACGAAACUUCCCUUGAAGACCAGACAGACCCGUUAGCAGACCUCUUACCUGGUAGCUGACCUCUCCUCCUGCUCCGAUCUUUCUGAUAUAAUAACUUUGGAACUAACUCCUACUAUUGCUACUAGAUGAUUGCCCCAACCUACCUCAGAACUGACUGAUCUAGCUUAUUCUGAUUUCUCUUGGAUACAUUCAAAUUCAUAGUAAAGAAGGGCAGUUUUCUCUUGGAUACAUUCAAAUUCAUAGUGAAGGGCAGUCUAGUCUCUUUGAACUCAGGCUUGGCUUGGCUAGUCAUAGGUAUACCUCGGCAGAUUGCUAACAGCGAAAUCUCAUUCCAAAGCCGCUUCUUCUCUUGGAACUUCUGCUUCCUCGCCUCUCCGGAGUCAACUAAUCAAGUGAUCUUCUUUCUUGCUCUUGAAACUGGUUAUUCUCUCUUUAUACAGCGGAUUCUCGAGUCGAUGAAACUCUCUCUCUACUUAGUCUUGCUUAUGUUAUGCUACAGAUCUACCUAUAGGUCGGAAAGGCACUCUAUAAAUACAGGUAGGCACGGGAAGCUAUUCAAGGUUUACAGCCCAGGUUGACAGCCCGUUUACAGCCCGUUUGUUGAUUGCCUCUCUCUCCUCUGUCCAACUAAUACAGAUGCAACAGGACCAGA
rnacentral:lncRNA from 1 species